GAAAAAGCGUCCUUAUGGUGUUUUCACCGCAAAGCGAUCUGCUCUCUCGCGAUGUGCUACCAGCGCGGCGACGGCGUGGAGAAAAAUAAAGCGAUGGCGUUCGAACUGUACCUCAGGGCGGCGGAGCAAGGUUCAGCAGAGGCCGCAUAGAGUCUCGGGAGUAUCUACGAACGCGGCAAGUGCGGCGUGGCGGCGAACAAAAAGGAGGCGCUGAAGUGGUUUCGCGUCGCGGUGGAGCGCGGCAAACCCGACGCGGAACAGGAUGUGGAACUCCUCGAGGCCGAGCUCGCGGCGGAAGCGGCGGCGUGAACGAACGAACGAACGAACGAACGAACGAACGAACGAACGAACGAACGCGUGUACCGUGAGCGAACCUUUGUAACGAACGCACGUCGAACGUCGCCCGCAGCCAGAGUACGUUUUCGCGCUCGCGUGUCUCGAGAAAAACUCGACGGGUGCGGGUGUGAGUUUUUCAUCCCCCGUCGAAUGGGGGUCGCCCCUCCGCGGGACGCUCAGCGCCGGGACGCGACUGGAACGACCGACGAUAAACGCACACGCAUACACGAUACAUUACAUCGCGCGCGGCGCGAACGCGCGCCAAGCAGACGCGCGAGCGGUCCGCGGUCGCGACCGACGCCGCGUUCGCCCACCGUCGUGAUCUCCCCCCGUCGUGAUGCUCCGCGACGAGCGCGCGGUGUUCGCGGAGGUACGCGCGCGGGAGUGGAACGACCUGAGCGGCGACGGCGACGACGCGUCCGUCGUCGACGUAGAAGGCGACGUCGAUCAUCGGCACAGGUGGUUCCUCCGCGUCGGUCGUCGCCGUUCCGUCUUCUUCCGCGUCCUCGUCGUCGUCUCCUCGCGGCGUUCUUCCUCGCGUCUUCUUCGCGGCGUUCUUCGUAUUCUUCUUCGACGCCGCGGAAACCUUCGGGUCGUUCCGUACGAGCGAACGUCGGGGUGGAGUUGAAAGGCGUCAGAUGGAGGAGUUGAAAGGCGUCGAGGGCGGGGAUUGACCGCAAGGGAUGGGCGGAGAGAGACGACGGGCAAAGUCCUUAAGGAUCGGCGUUCACCACGCCAACGCGGUCGUACUGUAUGGGAACCAGUGUACACGUAGGGCUACUGUAUAGCCUAUCCGCCAAUCGAUCGCGGUGGUCAGCGAAGAUGACGAGGACGACGACGAGGACGCGCCCCCAGCCUCGCCUUUUGCUGUAGACGCGUUGGACACCCCGUCGUCGCCCGUGGUGUCCCGUGUGCCCGCGACGCCCGCGCUGCUGUCGACGCGAGUUACGCGGGCCGCGCCGAACCACGCGUCUCCAUACGAGAACGAGGAGGGGUGGACGAUCGUCAAAGGCCGUAUGCGGCGGCCUGACCGCGUCGACGACCGACGCGACGGCUGUGAAAAACAUGGCGCUACGGUGACAGCCACCGCACCGCGCCGCUCGGCCCGCCUCCUGGCACGCGCUACUCCAGCUACCGACGCACCAGGUGGCCCAAGCGUCGCCGCUCGCCCGCGUGUCGCGUCGCCGCGCGCAGACACGCGAGCGAAGGCGAAGGGUGCGAGAGGCGUGCCCCGCCGUGAUGGCUCGGCGGCGCGCUCCCCGGCGGGUCGUGUGGACGUAAUUCCGGGCCUAGACGCGAACGCUCGAUCGGCCGCGACAGACGCACGAGCCGCGGGUCGCCGCCAAGGCACAGGCUCCGCCCCGACCGCUCGCGUCGCCGCGGUCACGCGAACGAAGGGGAAGGACGUGAGCGGCGCACCCCGUGCCGCCCCCGACCGCGGUGGCUUAGCGGCGCGCUCCCCGCCGGGUCGAGCGGACGCCAGCCCAGCCCUCGGCGCCGACGCGCGUGCGAACGCGCCGGAUGCACGAGCCGCGGGUGGCCGCCGUGGCGCCGGCUCCGGCCAUGCCGAUCGCGUCGCCGCCGCGGGCACGCGAGCGAAGGCGAAGGGCGCAAGGGGCGCGCCCAUCUCGUACGCGCUCAGAACCUCACGUGACUCUGAAAACUUCCACGCGGGCGCGGCAGCGCAAAUCCUUUUUAUGGAGCCCGACACUGCUGGCGAUUUCCACAUCGCCCCGGCUUCGUGCGCUCGUGAGGCUCACAUGGGUUUCAUGAAUCCCGUCGUGGGGUUGCUUACUACGUGAGAGGAUUGUUCGUAGUGCGGUCUGCUCGCUUCUAGAUCACAUGUUUUACCCGGAUGGGUUAGAGCUCAGUCUUUUUGUAAUCAGAUCUACUACCUUCGUACAUAGUUCAUGACUAAAUACAUGUGCCUUUGAUGUACGAAGGUACGAAAGUAAAAACUCAAGAGAAAGAAAAAGGGUCCAAAUAAGCGCCGCGCGAUUUCUCCCCUCACACGCACACGAACGCACCCGCACGCACGGUGAAAACCAUUCAUCAAGAUCAUGAGUGUGUUAAUAAUGGAAUCUGUUUCUCCCUUCGCGUGACGAGGUGAUUUAGAUGUAUUUAUAGCGGGGACCAGUUUGCUAUUAUUCGUUUUUUUGGAGGAUUUCAUGCCCCGAAAAGGGAAGCGGGGACAUGGUUGGUGUUCGGAUCGUUUGAAGGAAUUUGAUCGUAUCAGGAAGCAGAUCGAAAGAAUAACUAAUGGAGGUGAUCGGCGAGAGUUGUUUAGAUGCCUCGAGCUCUGUUGUGGGACGAAAUCUUUCUUGAGAGCGGUACGACGACGAUUCACUAAAUCUCGUUGCGUCACCGUGGACGUGAAUCCGAAGUUCGCAGCCGAUGUCAUUGUUGAUGUCAUAAAUUGGAUAGCUGAGCACCGGCAAGGAUGGUUUGACGUGAUCUGGAUCAGCCCCCCAUGCAAAGAAUACUCGAACUCGAAGACCGUUGGUGUGCGCGAUAUAAAGGGUGCGGAUGCUGUGGCGAUGUCGUGCUUGGUGCAUCUCGAGGCCUUAUCCCACAGGUCUGGCUGGAUCCAACGCCGCGUCCCACUCCGGCGCGAGCGGCGGGAAGACGUGGAGCGCGGGCGCGGGCGCGGGCGCGGGCGGCGAACGCGGAGACGGGAGGGAAGGAGAAGCAGAAGCUCGGGUUUCUUCAGAAGUACUACCACAAGGGGGCGUUUUUCCAGGAAGCCGCGGACGAUCCGGCGAGCUCGAUGGGGACGGACGACAUCUACAAGCGCGACUUCAACCAGGCCACGGGCGCGGACAAGGUGGACAAGAGCGCGCUGCCGAAGGCGAUGCAGGUCAGGGGCGACGCGUUCGGGAAGAUUGGACGGACGAAGUGGACGCACCUCAGCGCGGAGGACACGACGUUCGCGGGCGGGGACAACGUGUGGGCGGACGCGCGGAACAAGAGGGUGGGCGAACUGGCGGAGAAGGGCGCGGGGCGGAAGCAGGAGUUUCAAAAGCUUUCGGCGGUUCGUCUUCGGAUCGCUCUUUAAAUCGCAUCGCAUCGUGCGUGCGCGCUCGCAUGCUUCGUCGUUCUCCGCGCGUUGUUCACUCACCCCCCCCUCACCACCCACCCGCUCCCGCCGCGAACGCCAUCGUCUCCCAAGGCACUCAACGAAGGAGGUGCGCGCACGCGCCGUACGCCUUGUUCGCCGCGCGCGCGAACUUCUCCGCGUGCGCGACGGAGCAGUCGCCGUUGUCCUCGAGAUCGAUCAUCAACGACACAUGCUCGCCGCACGACGCGCUGCGGUGCUUGUAAUCACCGCGAGACAGCGCUUUCGUCAUUACGUACAUAUCUCCGACGGCGCUCUGCGGCGCGAACUUGAGCACGUCGAACUUCUUCCCAAUGGCGUGCACGUAAAUCCCGCACGUGCAGCUCACCUCCGCGUACAACAUCACUUUAAGGCGACAGGCGUACGACUUCUUGUCCUCGUGCGUUGCCGAGGUUGAUCCCGUAGACAGCCCUAACUCGGUGUGAUCGUCGAGAACGUCGGCGGCGCGGGCGCGGGCGACGGCGUCCACGGCGGAUUGAAGGGAAUUUCUCUUGUUCGUGAGCGUUUUAUCCUCGCCCCCCUCCGCGAGCGUCUUCAGUAUGACCGCCUUCUUCUCCAAGACACGCACCUCCGCGAGCAUCACACCGAGCUUCUUGCGGGCAAUAGGACCGGCCGGCGUCAGAGACGACGCGGGCGACGAGAGGCCGUUGGUACCGGACGCGACCCCCGCGCCGGACGCGCCGGACGCGACCCCCGCGCCGGACGCGAUCCCCGCGCCGGCGGCGGCGGAGACACUCACCCCCUCGUCGACGACGGCCUUGACGACGGCCUUGGCCUCUUCGAGACCGGCGAUCAACGACGCGCGGGCGUCGUCGGAAAGUCCCGCGUCGCUGGUGUUGAUCACGUCUCCGACGGCGGCGAGGAAGUUUGUCGUGUCCGCGAUGAACUCGUUGUUGAGGAGCUUGAUCUCGUCGAGGCGGUUACCCGCGGCGUCAUCGCAUACGCGGCGUGCUUCGCGAAAGGUAGUCACAGUGCGAGUCAGAGCCCAAGACACAUCGACCCGGAGUCGAUCCGCCGCCGCGCAGCCGAACAAGAUGUACGUGUUCGACGAGAUCUGCCAGCCUUCGUCCGCGAGCUUGCUGCAAAACCCCGCGAUGAAGACGUUUAACUUCUCGGCACCGUCCUCCGUGGGCGGAUCGAGACCGUAGCAUUCUCGCUGCACGGCGAAGACACCGGAAGGCGUCUUCCCGUCCUUUUUUGUCAUCAAGGGUAUCCAAGACCCGCUUUCGUCCUCAACAAGGGUGACGUUCCGCCGAAAGCGUUCAUCUCCGCCUACGCCCCUUUGAGCCAUGAGUUGGUCACCGAAUCCGGCGAGCGACUUCGGCGGGGUGGCGGCCUUCGCGUGAUCGACGCGGACGAUCGCCGCGGUCGUGUCCGAUCCCGCGCCGCUCGGGCGAAUCACGCGCACGCUCGGGGUCGGAACGAUGUUCUCCUUGUUCGAGUCCGCGUCCGCGCGCGUGGCGCUCGUGGUUUUCGCCGUCGCUGCGGACUCCGCGGACCGAACGCCGCCGACGUUCGAGACCACAGUCGCGAGCGAAGAAGGCGCGAGCGAAGAAGGCGCGAGCGAAGAAGGCGCGAGCGCCGCCUUCGCCGCGGCCACAAUCUCCCUCAGUUCGUUGGCUCGCCGCGCGUCGUCCUGCUUCUUCUUCUUCUCCUUGGACCCCGGCGCGGCCGCCCGCGCGUCGUCCCGCUUCUUCUGCUUCUCCUUGGACCCCGGCUCGGCUCGAUACGCGGUGUCCUGCUUCUUCUUCUUCUCCUUGAACUCCGGCUCGGCCAUCCGCACUAUGUGAAGCGCGGCGAGACGCUCCUUCUCCUUCUCCUUGUACUCCGGCGCGGCCGCCCGCACCCUGCUCCAGCACGCGUUGCACAGCGUCCUCGGUCCGGCCGGACCAGGCCUCCACUGCGGCGUCUUUUGCCUCCGGCAGUUAAAGCACACCUUACCGGCGCACGGCGCGAGGUCGCCGUCGCCGCUCGGGUCGAGCGGGGGGAUCGCCGCCGCCGCCCUCGCGCCGUCAUCGGCGGACUGAGAGGACGGCGGCGCCGCCGCGGUCGAUACGGGCGAGUCGUUCGAGUCCGCGACGGCGUCGUCGUCGCCGUCGCCGGACUGAACCACAGCGUCUCUCUCGCCGAGGGGGGCGCUCGCGCGCGCGAGAGGGACGUCGUCAGAGCUCCGGACGGCGCCGCCGCCGCCGCUCGUGGUCCCUUUGGUUGCGAUACGCGGUUGGGGGCGGCGACGCUUCAUCGCGGACGAGCACUCGGUCCGCGCGCGCGCGCGUCGCCGCCGCGCCGUCGACUAAAACCCGUACAGCUGGACGACUCUUUCCGGAGAAGGAGUUCAGAUUUCAGAGUAGUAGACAAGGAAAAUGCAUACAAAAAAACCCAUAGAGUACGAGUACGUUCGGCGGAUUCUUCGCGAGCCGGCCAGUGUCGCGCGCGUCUCAGUGCAGCUGCAGCAGCGCAGCCACGUGGCUCACACGCAUCCCGCGCGCGCGCCCCCCACGGCGACGAUGCCGGCCUCCUUCCUUCGACGCGCGGCGCUCCUGGCUUCGCGCGACGCGACGACGCUCGCGCGGAGCGCGACGAGCGCGUCCUCCGUCGCGUCCGCGUCCGCGCCGCGCCUCCGCCGCGCGCCGCGUCUCUCGCGCGCGACGUCGUCGACCACGACCUCGACCUCGGCGUCGUCGUCGUCGACGACCGCGGUCGACGCGACGUCGCCGCCGCCGCCGCCGCUGUACACGCGCACGCACGAGAUCUUGCGCCCGGAGUCGGUCUCGUCGGACGGCUCAGAGAUCACGAUGACCGUCGGCCUGACCGAGCACGCGUUCGACAUCAUCGGCGACGUGCGAGCGGUCGAGGCGGUGGACGCGGAGGAGGCGGACGGAUGGCGUCGUCGUCGUCGUCAUCAUCAUCACGCGGCGGGGAGGUGAGACUGCUUCCCAUACGACCCCGUUCGCGUGGUGAACGCCGUUCCUUAAGGACUUUUCCCGUCAUCACUCUUCACCCGCGCUUCCCUUUCAACGUUUGACCGGUAAGACAUUCGACUGACCGAUCGCUUCACCCACGCAGGCGGCAGCCGAAUCACGCGGCGGCGGCGGCGGGUCCGUCCUCCACGCUCCUCGCGCGGCUGCACUGGGAAGGAUUCAAACGCACGGCGUCGGACGAGCUGUACCACGCGUCGUGGGCGAACGUCUCGGACGUGCGCGACGUCGCCGUGCCGUUCCCGGCGACGCUCGUGGGACUCAACGCGGCGGCGGUGGGCGAGCCGUACGAGGCGCGUUCUGUCAUCUCACGCCGGUCCCCGCGCGACCGCGUCGGCGCGGCGCGCGCCGUUCCUUGAGGACUUUUCUUCCCGGCGCAUCUCUCCGCUCGCCCCUCGCUUUCAAUCCCGACGCACCUCGACGUCUUUCAACUGCAACUGACGCGCCUUUCAACGCCUCCCCGAUGUCGCCUCGUAUGGGCAACGACCCUCAGACGAUCUCCUCAGCGGAGAGCGGCUGGGUCGCGCGCGUGACGGCGUCGAGAGACGCGAUGCGACGCGCGGGGAGCGACGCGCUGAUGAGCGCGCGGGCGUACGAGGAGAUGGUCGAGGAGCAGCUCGUGGAGGACGAGGCGGAGGCGAGCCGGUCGUAUCCGUGACGGGAUGGGAUGGACGACGGACGCCCCGCGGCGGUUUGGUUUCGGAGGAGUACGAUACGUUUCGUCGACGUCGACCGCUUCCGAUGAUAAAUUAUUAACUCAACGCGCCGCGACGCCCUCGCCGCGCCUCCCCCUCUCGUCGUCGCUCCCUCGCGUGCCUACCUCACUUCUUCGCGUCGCCCCCCCCACCGCCGUUUUCCUUCGCCAGCGACUCUAUCAGCGACCGCGGCGGCGCGUACGUUUCCAACUUAUCCAGAAGCUCCGCGGGCGUGUCCCCGACGACGACGAUGGCUCGCGCCUCGCGUCGAAUGAACCCGCGCGCCGUCGACUCGUCCAGAAACUUCAGGAACAGGUCGAAGUACCCGGCGACGUUCAGCACCCCCACGGGCUUCGCGUGAUACCCCAGCUGCUGCCACGUGAUCAUCUCGCGCGCGCGGUUCGUUGAGGGAACGAACGCGGACGCCGGGGCGACGGCGCGCGCGCGGGAUCGAUCGCGGCGGCGACGGCGAACGCGGCGCCGGCGUUCGAUCGAUCCCGAGGGCGCGGCGAGCGAUCCUCGGUCCUCGCGACGUUCGUUCCUGACCUCACCCCAGUCUCAUCAGCGUCACCGGCUCUGGCGGUGCGACGACUGCCGGUGCUUGUGCGUGUCCGACGCGCGCACGCGGCCGCUCUGGGACGCUCGCAUCUUUUCGGACUCGCGUCGCAUGCGGUCGUACUCCUCCGCGGUGAUCCUGUGGACGCGGGGGAGGGGGGACGGGCGAGGUCAGUCGAAGGCGUCGGGGUGUUGAGAACGAAUGGGAAAGUUAAAUCUCGAGAGGGCGCGAGCGCGCGCGCGCGCGCGCCCGGCCGGCGGGAUCGGGGCACGCACACUUCGUCGUCCUCGUCGUCCAUGCCUUCCGGCUGGCAGCAGUUUUUCGUCAGCGCUUGACCCAUCGCGUCGGGCGCGUCGUGCGGUGCGGAGUGAGGAGACGCCGCAGACGUCGCGCGCGUCUUUUCGCGAGCGUCGUCGCGGUCGGCUGCUCGCGCCAGUCGGCUGACGCGAUGACGAGUCUCAUCAGAGCCACGCCGCGCGUACCCCCGCGCGCGAGCGUCGCGAUGUCGUCGUCGGCCCACGUCACGCUCUCCCCGAGCCUCGCGCGCGCGUCGUCGUCGUCGUCGUCGCACGCCUCCCGCGCGACGUCCGCGCGCUCCCGCGCCGCGUCCGUCGUCCGCGCGGCGACGUCGUCGUCGUCGACGUCGUCGUCGUCACCGGAAUACAACAUCGACGACGACGAAAUCGCACCGCUCCGAUCGCGACGACGCACGGUCUUGACAACGCUGUCCUCCCUCGCGCUCGCGUCGUCGCCCCUCCUCGCGCGCCCGUCUCCAUCGCGCGCGGACGAGAGCGGGCCGUUCUGCGACUACACGCAGACGCUCCCGUGCGACGAGUACCCCAAGUACGAGCGCACGGCAUCGGGGUUGCUCUUCCAGGAUCUGCGCUACGGCGAGGGCGACGCCGUCGCGCCGGGGCGUCGCGUCGUCGUGGACUGGGACGGCUACACGUUCUACCUCUCGCACGUCCUGCAGGCUCGGAACUUGCCCAAGGGGGGCGACUUCGAGCAGAACGACGACGCGUUCUUGUCGUUUAUCCCGGGAGACGGCACGGUCAUUCCCGCGUUCGACGAGUGCGUCAAAGACAUGCGCGUCGGCGGCAUCCGACGGUUCAUCGUCCGCCCCGGUCCGCUGUCGUACCCCGGGGUGCUCAAAGGGAACUGGAAGGAGGGUAAGGACGGCGUGGGCCCGGUCCCGGCGUCGUUGUCGGGGAAGCGCGCGCUGGAGUUUGUGAACAGGAACACGGCCAACGUUGACAAGAGUCUGCUCUUCGACGUGGAGAUUCUCGGCGUGGAGGGCGAAGACGGUCGAAUGACGCGAGGGUUCAGACGAGGACCGGGGAGGUGGGCGGAGGGGGUGAAGCAGCGGUUGUCGUAGCCGUCGUGACGCGACGCGCGAGCGACGUGUCGUCUCGUUCUGUGUUCCGCGUCGUAGUGUUGUGAUGGUAUACGAGCGACCUCGACUGAUACAAUCUGAUCGUCCCUUCUAGUCUCUAGUAGUGUAGUCUCUCUCGUAGUGCUACCUAAGGUGUAGUGGUACAGACGCGCCCCCCCCCCUCCCCCCGGAGAGGCUCGUCGAAUCUUUCGUUUGGUCGCCUCGCCUCGCCAACUUAGCCUUAUUACCAAAACGGACACCAGCCGAUGUACGACUGGCACAAGUUCUCGUGCGACGUCGCGGCGACGAUGAGGCGCUGAACCUGCGCCUCGACGCCGUCCGGCGUCCCGUUCUCGACGUCGUCGUGCUUUGAACCGCUCAGCCCCGGCGUCGUCGACGCGCCGUGGCUCCCCCCCGCGCUCGCCGACAUCGCCAUCGCCGCGCUCGACGCGAACCCGUCCCUCCCCGUGAGCUUGUGCGACAUGCGACGCAUGACGUUCACCGCGCGGUCGUUCAAAACCUCGUUCGUGUCGACGUCCAAGCCUUCGAUGGCGUCCAGCGCGGUGACCCUGUGGCGCUGCAGCGCGGACGCCGCGGCGUAGUUCGCAGCCUCUUGCUCCGCGACCGCGGCGACUUGCUCCGCGUUUAGGGUUUCCGGGAUCGGCACCUCCCCGGGCGCGGGCGUCGUCGGCGUGGGCGUGAACCGCCGCGCGGGCGCGACGUACGGCCCGGGGGAGGUUCGAUCGCGCGCGCCGCCGGCGGUGGCGCCGGGGUCGUACCCUCCCGCCGCGGGCACGGGAGCGGACAGCGGCGGCAUCGCGUGCGCGUGCGCACCGCCUUCGCCGGGCCCCAUCCCCGGGCUCUCGCGUCGUUCUUGGCCGACCGGCGGCGGCGUCCGCGGCAGCGGGGGCGGCGGCGCCGGCGCGGGCGCGCCCUCGGGAACGGGCGGCAUCGUCGGCGCGUGCUGAUGCUUCGGCGGGCUCGCGCUUCUUCGCCCGCCGCCGCCGCCGCCGUCGCUCCCUUCGACGCCGCCGCCGACGGCCGCGGCCGGGGACGUCUUCCCGUCGCUCCCGCCCGGCGACGGCGUCCUCCGGUCCUUGUUGUUCAAUCCCGGCGUCGUCGUCGGCGUCGGCGCGCCCGAGCUGCCGCCGCCUUCUUGGUGCACGACGCUCACGGCCAUCACCGCCGCGCCCGGCUGUUGGUUCACGUUCUCCCCCGGCGCGGUCGUGUUCAGAAGACGCCAGUUGAUGAGCGGGUCGUGCACGAACGCCUCGAGCAUCGCCAUGACGGAGUCUUUGUUCCCGCGGAGGACGGCCAUGACGCCCUCGCACGUGCUGCGAAAGUUGCCCUCGAUGCCGCUUACUUCCAUCGCGCGCACGAGCAUUCGCGUCAGGCGGAACGGCACGCGCUCGGGGAACUUCUCGCGCUGCAUCGACGCUUCGAAGCAAUCGCCAAAGUCGAUGUGAAGAAUCUUGCCGGAGUAGCGAUCCAGCGUGAGAUUCGACGGGUGGCGAUCGCCGAGGCCGAGGAGAUAGCCGACCAUGGACAUCACCGCGAGCGAGCGCGUGUACGUCGUUCGGCGGUCGAGCCAGACUUCGCUGCUGCGGGAUUUGAGCCACAAGACGCGCGCGAGGUCGUUCCCGGGGGUGUUCUCGAGCGCGUGCUCGAAGACUUCGACCUGGAUGGACGAGAGAGGGCAGGGCAGGGCAGGGAAGGGCGAGGAGAGAGAGGUGAGCGACCGCGCGCGAUGCGAAAGAAAAGUGGUCAAAAAAUAAACGCGAGCGGUUCGACGCGCUCUCGCCCGUCGUCGCGUGUUACGUUGCUCAGUCCCUUAGAUGUUCAAUCCGCCCUCACUGGCGCCGCGGCGGUAAGCCGCGGCGAGUCAGUUCGUGUGUGUAAAUAUCAUCAUCGCAACGGUCGUAUGAUAACACGCGAGCGACGACGAAGGAAGGCUCGGCCGAACGCAAAAAAAACGAAAACCAAAAGCCAAAAAAAAGUUUUCAAAAUCCGCGCGACUCGCCUUGUUCACGAGCGGCAGGUGGUCGUAAUCCGGCGCCAUCGCGAGCAUGAGCCGAUGCUCCAAGUUCAGCGGCACCUUGUGCGCGUCCCUGUGCUCGCGUAUCAGCGCGUGUAGCGUGUCGCAGUUGGGAACCCAACCGAUUAAACCGCUGUUCGGCGACAGCGGCACGACGGCGUAUCGCGCGAUGCUCAAAUCUCUCCGCGCCGUCGACGGCGUCGAGUUUAGCAACAUGUUCACGAGCCCGAACAGCUGCAUGACGCGCUCGUCCUGGCGCAAAUCCUCGUGGCCUUUCAGGAGGUAGCCGUAGUCCUUGCCGUCGCUGCCGUGGAUGUGAAGUCGUCGCGGGCGUUGCUUGGAGGUGAUGACGUGCAUCGUCGGCGCGAACGCGGCGAUGGUGACGGAUCCGCCCGGGACGCCCGGCAUGUAAUUGCCCGGCACGCAGAGCUCCAAACCUCGCGCGUUCAGCAGACGCGGGGAGACGUGCUGCAGCUCCAGCGUCGUCAACGUCGGGAGCUGCUUGUUGAUGCGCUUGAAGACGUGGUAGUACAGAUCCCAGGCUUGAUUUAGCUCCUCCUCGCGGCCGGUUUGGCAAUAUUUCCGACACCAGUCGUGCGCCUCUUGAAGCUCUCUUCCGUACGCUUGCACGAACGAAAUCUCGUGUAGCGUCUCCGCGCCCAUGCGCUCGAUGAUGUGAUGCAACGGCGCGAGCACGCGAAGCAUUCCCACGACGUUUUGCUCGCCGAAAUACAGCUGCGACGCCUCCUCGAGCGCCUCGUGCCACGCCUCGUGCCACAAGAUCGCGACGCGAAUCAACUCCAACGACACAACCUGCGCCUGCUCCACGAGCAACGCGCUGUGCUGCCGCAAGUUAUCGAGCACCGCCAUCGCGGCGGACCGUCGCGAGCUGCUCUGCGACUUGCACGCGACGAGAAGCGGGUACAAGAGCGCCUGCGGGUGCUUCCGGCCGACCCUCACGAGGAGCUGGUGGAUGAGCUGUCGCACCGGCGACGAGUUGCUGUGAAUCCUCGCGACGAUCUGGGGAAUCACCUGCAACCACGUGUCGAUGUUCACGUGCCCGAACCCGUCCACGAGCGCAGCCUCCACCUCGGGGGCGACGCCGUGGUUAAACCACAGCGUGAGCAAGCGCAGGAUGUCCUGAAGCGGGCCGCCUUUGCCCUUUUGUUUCGUCGUGCCUCCGAGCGCGAUGGAUCGAAAGAAGCCGGUGAUGGCCGGCGCCACGUGUCUCGCCGACGUCUCCGGCGCGUGCUUCGCGUGGUGCUCCAUCGCCGCGGCGUUGAACAGCGCCCAGUGAUGCCACGCCUUGGCCCACGGCGCGCACGCGUCCGUCGCGGUUCGGAACGCGGUGAGGACGUCGUUGAGCGUGGCGUCGUCCAUGUCCUCGGCGAGGGACCACCGCAUCUGGCCGAGUUUGAGAAACGCGCGCGCGAUGAGUUUGCAGUCGGGGGGGGCGACCUGCCCGACCGACGCCGCCGCGCUCAUCGUCCUGUUUCGUUCGGGUGGGGGGGGGUGGCGGCGGGAGGCGAUGAGAUCAGACGCGCGGGGUGGAGCGACGGCGGGCGGCGGGCGAGGCGGCGCGGGGACCGAUCUACAGACCGAAAACGAAAACGAAAACGAAAAUUAAAUCGCCGCGGGCGCCGUCGCGGCGAGUCAGUGUAACUAUGACAUAAUACUCUCAGCGAGCGUGUGGCUGGAUGAGACACGAAUGUCACCAGCCGCUCGGUCAAGUUAUUUGGUGUUGGCAUCAUCCUCAGCGACGGCGGGCGGCGUUCGAACGGCGAAAAAAAUAAAAGCAAAGAGAAGAGAGGGGGAGGGAGGCGAGGCGGCCAAAAAAAAAACGCAAUCGCAAUCGCACCUCAGCUCCGCGGCCAAAGACUGCAACCGGCCGAACGCGUCGCGUCGAUGCCCCAGCGCCCACUGAUGCUUCACGUACGCGAGCAUCACCUCCGGUCGUCCACUCCCUGCGCCGUACCCCGGCGCGUUCACCUGACACUGCGCGGGGUCGUACGCGAGCAGUCGGAUCAGCGUCCGGUGCGCCUGUCGCGUCCGCCCGGCUUUGCGAUUCAACGACGCGAACUUGAGCCACGUCGGCGUCUCCUCCGCGAUGGGCAACACGAGCGAUCGCACCGCGAGAAGCGCCUGCCACACCUCGACGUUCCGUUGCACGCCGUAGAUGCGCUCGCGCCACAUCUUGCGCAUCAGAUCGCGCCUCACUGCCACGUCAGCGUCCGACAUGGAAGGGUCCGACGGCGACCGGCCCGCGCCCGAGCCGCGCGCGUUGGCGGCGGCAAUUUUCCCCAGCUCCGCGUAUUCGAUCACCUCCUCCAGCUCCGUGAGCUGCUGCACGCGGAUCAUGCCGCCGUAGGACCGGUCGUAGGACUCCGUGACGAGCGCCGCGAGUUCCGCGCCGAGGGCGUCGCGCGCGGCCGCGAUGUGCGCGCGCGCUUCCUCGGUCUCGCCGCGGUGCACGGCGAGGACGGCUUUGAAAAAGUCGGCAUCCGUCGCGAGCCCCGUCGUCGUCGACUCCAACGAGUCGGGAUCGGGACCGCCGCCCGGACCGCCGCUAUGGCCGCCGGUCAGCGCGCGCGCGCCGCUACCGAUGAGACUCAGCGAGCUACGAUGCCGUCCUCCGGACGGGAUCACGCUGGAGCUUCGCGCGUGCCCUCCCGCGAGCGAUCCGCGGGGCUUCCCGCCGCCGCCGCCGCCGCCCGCGCGGUCGCCGCGUUGCGCGGAUACCACCUCCGAGUAUUGCUCCAUGCGCGACCAAUCCCCGAGCUGCCACGCCGCCUGCGUCGCGAGCGGCGCCAUUCGUCCUCGCAGCACCGCGUCGCCGCCGACGCCGACGCCGCCCGCGCCGGGGGCGCCGCUGCCGGCGCUGAGCUCCCACUCCUUGGCGCACAAAACGCCCAGCGCGUCCCACUCGGCGAGCGCGGCGAGGCACCGCAUCUGACCGAGCACGGCUUCGCGUCGCGCGUCCGACGCCGCGGACGCGUUCGCGCGGUUCAUCACCAUCGCGGCGAGGGAUAAGUUCGAGGCCAGAAGCGACGAUUCGUUGUGCGAACCGCCGCCGCCGAGCGAUCCGGCGCUGCCGUGAGAGCCCCACGACCGCGCGCCGAAAGAACCCGCCGCGUCUCGCGGCGACGACGCGAGCUGCCCGGCGAUCGAGUCCGUCGACCCGGACGACCCGACCCGGCGCGGCGGCAACGCGUUUGCGUUCGCGUUCGCGUCGGUUGCGGAGGAUACCGACGGCCUCGACUUUGGCUUUGGAAUUUCCACGCCCCCGCGCGCGACGUCGUCGUGGACUUCAAUUUCGAGCUCGCUCGUGGACUCCGGGUCGUUCCAUACAAGCGAACGUCGGGGUGGAGUUCAAAGGCGUCAGGUGGAGUUGAAAGGCGUCGUGGGCGGGGAUCGAAAGCGAGGGAUGGGCGGAGAGACGCGCCGGGAAGUAAAGUCCUUAAGGAUCGGCGUUCACCACGCGAACGGGGUCGUAUGGGGACCAGUGUAUAGAACGCACCUCCAACGCGGGCGCCGCCGGCCGCCGUUGCGCGAAGCUUCCGCCGCGCGAGUGAACACCGCCGUGCAUCCCGUGUCCGAAGAGCGGCUGCCCGUUCGGCGCGAACCCCGCCUCUUUCAGCGCCUUCUCCGCGUCCGCCGCCUUCCGCUGAUGCGCCUCGAGCGCGUUGUCCCACUGCCCGAGCUUCUCGUACCACCCUUCCUUGAUCUCGAGCAAUAAGUGCGUCUGCGCGUACACGAGAACGCCCAUCGCCGCCUCAGGGAGCUGCAGCUGGUUGUUGAUCGCGAUGAUCGCCUCGACGCACCGCGCCGGGUGCGACACGAACUCGAGCUCCUUGUAGUGGAGCGCUUUCGCGUACGCGCGACAGCGCUCGGCGAUCAUGCCGAGCGUUCGGAUGUCCACCGGCAGCGGCUUCUCGUCGUGCUCGCAAAACUCCGCGAGGUUUAGCAACGUGGUGACAAUCUCCGGCGGUAUCGUCGGCGACCCGAACGCCGCCUCCAGCGACCGCACGAGCUGCUCGCGCGGCGUCUGCGACAGCUCCGCCCAGCACGACACGAACGACGCGCAGAAUAAAUCGCGCGCGAGGUGCGGCUGGACUUGCGCGAGGUCGAUGCACGCGCGCAACGCGGGCGACGGCGACUGCUUCAGAAGCUCCACGGAGAGGUGCCGCAUCCACUCGAGCCAGUCCUCCUUCGUCGAGCGCUGCGACGACUCCCACGCGCGUCGAAGCGCUUGCUCGUUCAUCGCGUGCUUGCCCGAGGAGCCCGGCGGGCCGGGCGAGAGCGAAGAGUGGAGGAGAGGGGAAUCGCCGUUUCGGAGACUCCCGCCGCGGUGACUGCCGCCGCGGAGCGAAUCGCCGCGGUCCCCGCUCGUGCUCCCCCUCCCUCCUCCGUCGCCGCCGCGCCAGUCCGCGUGCGACGCCGCCGGGGAGUCCAGCGACGUCACCGUGGACGCCGCGUUGCUCAGGCGGAACGGCGAGAGCGCGCCUGUCGUCGCGCCGGGGAUCGCGAUCGCGCCGCCGACGCCGCCGCCGUCCCGCCUCGCGAGCAGCUGCUCGGACAGACGCUCAAACACCGGGUCGCGCAUCCCGCGCUUCUUCAUCGUUCGCUGCACGAGCGGAAGGAACAACAAAAACUCCUGCUGCAGCGCGGACGCCAUCGACGUCAGCGCGAGCAGCGCGUCGCGUCGAAGCUCCUUCUGCGGUCCGUCCAGCACGCGCGUGAGCGGAUGCACCACCGCGCUCGCGUGCCCGGCGAUCUGCAUCCUCGGGAGGAGCGUCGCGAGCGAUCUGAGCACCGUGGAACGCACCGCGACGGGAACGGGCGCGACGCCGGGGCGGAACAGCCGCACGAGCGCGGGGAGCAUCAGGUGCAGGUGUUCGUCCACCGCGGACCCGAACGCCUCGAGCGCGUGGAGCACGGACGGCACCGCGCUGAAGUCGCCGCCGCGCUCGGCGUCGGCGAGCACGGCGAUCAUCCGCGGAAGCAAGUCGGGGAGAUGCGCUCGAAACUCGUCGUGCAGCGCCGUCGCGAGCUCCUCGCACAGCCGCAACAUCUGCCGCAGCAGCGCGUUCGGGCCCCAAAACGCGCGCACGAUGGCGAGGAUGUCGUCCAGGUACCGUCGCACGUGGCCGCGGAUGAUCGCGACGAGCGCGGUGAGCUGCGCGAGCAUAAACUCCCGCAAUCCGUCUUCGCACGUGUACAUCACGUGCAUCACCACGGGCAUCACCGCGGGUAAAUACCGCACGCAGUUUAACCCCAGCGCGCGGAAGAUGUACAUGAUCGAUCGCACGACCAUGUGGUGAUGCGAUGCCAUGGUUUGGUCCUUAAGGACGCGGAGGAGCGCGUUCAGGGCGACGGUCGGGUAGAAGUUAUCCGACACCGUGCUGAGGUUCGCGGAGGGAAACAGAGAUUCGUCGUCGAUCGGGUAUCCGCCGCCGGUGCUGCCGACGCCGCCGCCGCCCUUAUCCUUCCCAGGCGCGUCCUUGCCCUCUACCGCGCCUUUACCCGCCGGCGCGCCGUCGUCGCCGCGCCCGACGCCGCGCACGCCCUCCAUGGACAGCAACCCCUGGCCGUGGAGUUUCUCUUCGUUGUCGCGGUGCGCGUGCGGAUCGAGCGCGCCGAGGAUGCCCAACGUCCUGAUGGUCGUUCAUCGGUCAGUUGAAAGGGGACGCGAUCAAAUAUUGAAAGCGGAAAGCGCGGGUGAAGAAAAAGGGCUUCAGAAACGACGCGCGAAACGCGAACGGGGUCGUAUGGGGAGCGGUCAGACGCACCUGAGCACCUCGGCGCGCACCGGCCCGGCUUCCUCCGCGAGCACGCGAAGCAUGAGCGACAGAAGCGGCGGGUGGUCCCCGUACGGCGCGAUCACGUACCCGGUGCUCUCGAUGAGCUGACCCAUCGUGACGACCGCGACGUCGCGCGUGGACCCGAGCUUGAUGCCUUCCACGACGAGGAGAAGCAAGUCCGGGACGAACUGCCGCAUGGACGCGCCGCCGACUUGCGCGAGCUCGCCGAUGGUGCCGAGCACGGCAGCCUUCUCGCGCACGCUGACGAUGUGCGACAGCGCUCUCACAGCGGUCCCCGACGCGUCGGCGAACUUCGGGGCGAGCGCGGAGACGCCGCCGGGCGCGCCGACGGCGCCGCUUCUGGGGUCGCCGUCGGCGGCGGCGGCGGCGGCGAGCGCUGCGUGGGUGAAGCGAUCGGUCAGUCGAACGUCUUACCGGUCAAACGUUGAAAGGGAAGCGCGGGUGAAGAGUGACGACGGGAAAAGUCCUUAAGGAACGGCGUGCACCACGCGAACGGGGUCGUAUGGGAAGCAGUCUCACCGCCGCCGCCGCCGCCCUGCGCGGUCGCGUCCGGCGGCGGCGCGUUCUCGCCUCCAAGGGCGAUGCCGUCGCCGCCGCCCUUGGCCGCGAUGCCCUCGCCGCCGUCGACGGUCUGCCCCGCCGCGGCCGCGGCGCCGGCGCCGGCGGCUUCGAUCCCGCGCUUCGCGAUGCCCGCCGCCUCCGCCGCGGUCGCCGCCGACGCCUUCGCCGCGGCGACCUCCUCCGGCUUCCGCAGCUUCAUCAUCAGCGUCCGCAGGAUGGGCGCGAUGUACGGCAUCACGAGCCGCGUGCACGAUCGCACGAGCGUCGCCAUCAACCGCGCGGACUCCUCGCGCAAGUGCGACUCCGUGGAGUGCUCGAGCUCGGUCAGGAGCUGAAGCAGAUGCCGUCGAAGCGCGGGCAACGCGUACGCGGGAUUCCGCGGCGCGAGUCGACCGACGAGACGAAUCGCGAGCAGCCGAACCUCCGCGCUCUCGUCGUUCAGCGUGAUGAACAGCGCUCGCAGCGCGUCCGCCUGACCGAGGUGCGAGUCCACGGACGGACACGGGCGCAGAAACGACGCGAGCACGGCUCUUCGAACGUUCGCGUCCAGAUCUGAUGAGGGUUUUCCAUACAAAAAUAGUUCAUCGGUCAGUUGAAAAGAGACGCGAUCAAGUGUUGAAACCGAGCUAUGGGUGAAAACUUUUGUUUUGAACGCACCUGACACCGCGACGGCGAGCAAUCGCGACAUGAUGAACUCCUCCGUCCACGCCGACCACCGCGACGGCGCGCCGUUGGUCAGGUGUGAUGCAUGCGAAACGCUCGAAACGCUCGCGCUGUUGGCGUUAAGCGCCAUCAACGCGGCGUCGCCGCCGUGUAUCGACGUCCCGANNNNNNNNNNNNNNNNNNNNNNNNNNNNNNNNNNNNNNNNNNNNNNNNNNNNNNNNNNNNNNNNNNNNNNNNNNNNNNNNNNNNNNNNNNNNNNNNNNNNNACGCUGACGAUGUGCGACAGCGCUCUCACAGCGGUCCCCGACGCGUCGGCGAACUUCGGGGCGAGCGCGGAGACGCCGCCGGGCGCGCCGACGGCGCCGCUUCUGGGGUCGCCGUCGGCGGGCGCGGCGGCGUCUACGCGCUCGCGCCGAAGUUCGUCGACGCGUCGGGGACCGCUGUGAGAGCGCUGUCGCACAUCGUCAGCGUGCGCGAGAAGGCUGCCGUGCUCGGCACCAUCGGCGAGCUCGCGCAAGUCGGCGGCGAUCAAGCUUAUCGAUACUGUCCACCACCGCCGCCGCCCUGCGCGGUCGCGUCCGGCGGCGGCGCGUUCUCGCCUCCAAGGGCGAUGCCGUCGCCGCCGCCCUUGGCCGCGAUGCCCUCGCCGCCGUCGACGGUCUGCCCCGCCGCGGCCGCGGCGCCGGCGCCGGCGGCUUCGAUCCCGCGCUUCGCGAUGCCCGCCGCCUCCGCCGCGGUCGCCGCCGACGCCUUCGCCGCGGCGACCUCCUCCGGCUUCCGCAGCUUCAUCAUCAGCGUCCGCAGGAUGGGCGCGAUGUACGGCAUCACGAGCCGCGUGCACGAUCGCACGAGCGUCGCCAUCAACCGCGCGGACUCCUCGCGCAAGUGCGACUCCGUGGAGUGCUCGAGCUCGGUCAGGAGCUGAAGCAGAUGCCGUCGAAGCGCGGGCAACGCGUACGCGGGAUUCCGCGGCGCGAGUCGACCGACGAGACGAAUCGCGAGCAGCCGAACCUCCGCGCUCUCGUCGUUCAGCGUGAUGAACAGCGCUCGCAGCGCGUCCGCCUGACCGAGGUGCGAGUCCACGGACGGACACGGGCGCAGAAACGACGCGAGCACGGCUCUUCGAACGUUCGCGUCCAGAUCUGAUGAGGGUUUUCCAUACAAAAAUAGUUCAUCGGUCAGUUGAAAAGAGACGCGAUCAAGUGUUGAAACCGAGCUAUGGGUGAAAACUUUUGUUUUGAACGCACCUGACACCGCGACGGCGAGCAAUCGCGACAUGAUGAACUCCUCCGUCCACGCCGACCACCGCGACGGCGCGCCGUUGGUCAGGUGUGAUGCAUGCGAAACGCUCGAAACGCUCGCGCUGUUGGCGUUAAGCGCCAUCAACGCGGCGUCGCCGCCGUGUAUCGACGUCCCGAUGUCGCCGCCGCCGCGCGUGACGCGGUCGCUGCGGAGUUCGAGGAGCCGGCAGCACGUCAACGCGGCUUCGCGGCGCGUGGACGGGUCGUCGUCGUCGAGGUACUCCACGACGUUUCUUCGGACGAAGCCGAGCAAUACGCUCGCGCCGAACGGGAACGUCCCGAGCGUCCGCAGCGCGAGCUGCACUUGGAAGCUGUGGUGUCGCCGCGCUUGCUUGUCACGCUCCGUGCCCGAGCUCGCGGGGCUGCUCCCGCCGGGGGACGACGACGCGCCGCCGCCGCCGCCGCCGCCGGGCGUUCCGGGCGUCGAAACCCUGCCGGGGCUGCUGAGGGCCGUUCUAUACAAGCGAAUGCCGGGGUGGAGUUCAAAGGCGUCAGUUGGCGUUGAAAGGCGUCGAGGGCGGGGAUUGAAAGCGAGGGAUGGGCGCAGAGACACGCCGGGCAAAGUCCUUAAGGAUCGGCGUCCACAUCGCGAACGCAGUCGUAUGGGGACCAGUGUAUAGAACGCGCCUGGGCCCCGCGCCGCCGCGGUCCGGCGUGGACGCUCCCAUCCCGAACGCGUCGAGACCCGCGAUGACGCCUUGGACCGCGGCUCUCGACGACGGCGACGCGUCGCCGGAGCCCCCGGACGCGGCGUCGCCCGAGGAGGCCCGGCGAGCGAGUUUACGGGAUGGGCUCCGCGGCGGCGCGUUUUCGCGACUCCCGCCGUGACUCAACCCGCCCUCGCCCGCGCCGCCGCCGCCGCCGACGAUCGACCGGCUCGCGACGCGUCGCAUCUUUUGCAUCAGCCCUUGCAUCCCGCCUCGCGCGCCUCCCGCGUGACCGUCGCCGCGCGUCGGGAGCUCGAUCGACGGCGCUAACGUCGCGGUGAUCGCGUCGAUGAGUCGCCGCUGAGGGCCGUUCCAUCAUUCAAAGCGACGUCGGGGUGGAGUUAAAAGGCGUCAGAUGGAGUUGAAAGGCGUCGUGGUGUGUCGGGAUUGAAAGCGAGGGGUGGGCGGAGAGACACGCCGGCAAACGUCCUUAAGGAACGGCGUUCACCACGCGAACGCGGUCGUAUGGGAACCAGUGUGGUAACAGAACGCGCCUGAAUCGACGGAAGGAGUGUCGGCAACGCGUCGGCGAUGGCCUCCAGCGCGUCCACCAGCGGCGCGGACAGCCCUCCGACGAACAGCGCCGGGAGCAGCGUCCGCACGCGCGGCUCCCACGCGCCGCCGACGCUCGACGCGAGCGCGCCGGCGCACAGCAGCGCCUCCGCGGCGCCGGGCUCGAUCGUCGGCGCGGGGCGAAGUCCGGUUUUUCGAUCCGCGGGGCCCUGGCGAUUGUGCUGCGCGAAGCACACCUCUUGGAUGACGUCGGCGAUCUCGGGGAGGUACCGCUCGAGGGCGCGGAUGCCGGGGCCGCGCGUCUCGCCGCCGAUCAGCGCGCCGAGCGUUGGGGUGGAGACGGAGGCGACGACCGGAGGAGACACCACCUCCGGCCACCGUUCGGUGCCGGGAAACGGCGAUAGGUCCGUCGCCGGCGUCGGCGUCGUCGUCGGCGUCGGCGUCGUCGUCGGCGUCGCCGUCGUCGUCGCCGCCGCGCCUCCCUCGCCGCGCUCUCGCCUUCGCCGCGGACUCGACGGCUCUAAGAUCCCCCCGAAUCCACCGAACGAGCUCCUGUGCACGCCGUCGCCGAGCAGCGUCCCCAGCACGCUCCCGCCGUGGCUCGAGUUCUCGCCCAGAGAGCUCGCGGUGUCUUCGGCGUCUUCGCGGGCGAAGAAUUUGAUAGGGGGCGGGCGGGUAAACGCGUCGGUCAGCGACACGUCUCGCCGGUAGAGCGUUGAAAGGGAAACGCGGGUGAAGCGAAGUCCUCAAGGAACGGCGUGCACGACGCGAACGGGGUCGUAUGGGAAACAGUCUCACCUUCGCGCGCUUCCUCGUCGCCCUCCGCCAGCGCGGCGGCUAAGUCGCCGAUGGCGUUGAACCCCGCGUCUCGCUCGCUCGGGACGCGAAUCGUCGCGAGCAGAAGCGCCGCGGACGAGCUCAGGUAACUCUCGCUGAACCGCUGCGGGGAGAACGCGGCGAGCUUCGGUAUGAGGUUCGUGACCGAGCGUCGCACGAUUCGCUCCUUACUCUCGUGCAGCCGUAAAACCGUCUCGGCGACUUCUUUAUACCGGCUCAGCAUAAACUCGCCGGUGUGCCGCAACAGCUCCCCGAACGCGAGUAAACUGCCGUGGACGUCCUCCACGCUCGCGCCUUUCGCGCUGAUCCCGCUCUGCGUCUCCUCGUACAGUUUGUAGUACCACUGCACGCGGUACCUCGUCUCGCGUUUUUCUAUGACGACGAGGCACUGCCGCAGCGCCCUGACGGCGGCUUCUCGAAUCGCGAGCUUCGGAUCCCUCAACGCCGGCCAGAUCGCGUCGAUGAACGCGGGGACGUGGACGUUAAACACCGUCGGCGCGUUCGCCGCGAGCUCGCGGAGUAUGAGCACCGCGGCGUACCGCCGCGCCUCGACCCUGUCCGCGGACUCGAGCCAGUCCAAACUCCUCUUCACUUCCGACUCGACGACGUCGGCGGUGAGCACGCCGCCGGUGAGGACCAAGUGCCCGAGCGCGCGGCUCGCCGCCUCCGCGAGCUGCGGCUCGCAGGUGGGCGUGAAGACGUCCCUCAGGUACGUCGCGAAGCGAUUGAUCUUGCCGACGUUCUCGCCCAUCUUGACGUCCGUGAGUUGAUCGAUCGCGUAGACGCCUCCGAGUCGACGCCGCAGAUCCGGCGAGUUGACCAGACGCAAGAUGCGGCCGUAGAGGUCGCGCAUGUACCGCGCGAACGACUCCGGGGGCUUAUCCCGCGCCUCCGCCUCGACGUGCUCGCGGAGGGAGACGCCCACGAGGCCGCCCGCGCGACGCGGGACCCCCGCGAAAGCGCUCGGCCCGUUCUCGCCGCCUGCGCCGCCGCCGCCGCCUUCGACGCCGUUUUCGCGAAAGAAGCCAAACGCGCCGCCGCCUGCGUGGGUGAAGCGAUCGGUCAGUCGAACGUCUUACCGGUCAAACGUUGAAAGGGAAGCGCGGGUGAAGAGUGACGACGGGAAAAGUCCUUAAGGAACGGCGUGCACCACGCGAACGCGGUCGUAUGGGAAGCAGUCUCACCUCCCGCGCCGCCCGCGCGGAAGUACCCGCCGCCGAUCCCGCCGACGCCCAGCCCGCUGCCUCGGUACAGCCCGCUCCCGAUGCUCUGCGAGAGGUAGUCCACGCUCUGAUACGUCUGGUUGUCCGCGCCGCCGCGGCGCGACAGCCCUCUCCCCUUUCUCCACGGCGUCGACGUCGUCGUCGAAAUCAUCAUCUCGCGACUCGGGCUCGUCCUCGACGUCGACGCGCGUCCGCCGUCGUCCCCGCGCAUUGCGGCGUCGCCUCUCCCGGCGUCGUCGCCCGACGCCUCCGCGUACCCGCCCAUGCGGCCUAUGCGCGACCAUCCGCGCGCGUCCCACGGGUUCUCCGGGAUCGCGGUCGCGCCGCGUCCGCCGCCGCCGCCUCCGCCGAAUCCUCUCGCGUCGCCGCGCCGCGCGGUCGCGUUGCAGAGUUCCGUGAGGAGCUUGUCGAGCGUGUCCGUGGUCGCGUCGCCGCCGCCGCCGCCGGGCUUCCCGCCGGAGGUGUUCCUCGCGCGCGACGCCGACGCGCCGCUCGCGGCGGAGGACGACGACUUGCCGGAUCCGGCGACCGCGCCGGGCUUAUUCGACGACAUCGCCGCGCGCGACGCCGCGGAGGGCGAUUGUUGUUAGGCGCGCGCGACGAGUUAUUACAGGUAGGUUUUUGGAGACGACGCGAGACUGCGAUCGAUUUCGCGCGAGCGCCCUCUCGCGCGAUCUGCCCUCGGCCGCCGCGACGGCGCGCGUCCCGAGGCUGGGUGCGCCGCGCGCGCGGCGGAGUCGGGACCGCGCGUCGAGCGUCCGCGGUUGUGGCGAGGGCGACGACGCGAGCGCCAAUUGCCCCGUCGCGUAUUUCUCGCGCGAAAAGCCGGGCCAGCGCUCGAGGAAUCGAGCGGCCCAGCGGUCGCGUCAAACUUGAACUCGAACUACGAGGGGGAAAAAACCCGCUCACUCUUCGCGCGCGCGCCGCCGCCCCCCGCCCCCCAGAUCUGAGCAUGUCCUUCGACGGCAUCCCCGAGAACGUCGCCGCCGUCGUGUUCUCGCACGUCACGGAUCCGCGAGAUCGCAUCAGGCUCGCCGCGGUGAGCAAGGUGUGGAGGGACGCGGAGAAGUCUGACGUGUCGUUGCCCGGGGGCUCUCCGAGGGCGUUGUACAAGCUCGGUAAAGGGCUUUACGACGCGGGGAAGUGGAAGCGCGUGAUCUACUGGUGGCGUAAGGCGAUUGGAGACGUUCACGCCAUGUACUGGAUCGGACGCUGCUACAACAGCGGGACCGGCGUGAAGGUAGACCGUAGGAAGGCGGUCAAGUGGUGGGAAAAAGCGUCCGGGUGUGGGCACGCCGACGCGACCUACCGCCUCGCGAACUACUACUUCUACGGCCUAUAUUCCCGCGUGGAGCCAAAUGCAGCGAAGGCGAUCGAACUGUACGUCAAGGCGGCGGAGCAAGGUUCAGAAUUUGCCCCGUACGAACUCGGGAACAUCUACUACAGCGGCGAGUACGGCGUGGCGGAUAACAAAACGGAGGCGCUGAAGUGUUUUCGCGUCGCGGUGGAGCGCGGCUACGGCACCUUCGCGCUACGGUGGGUGGAAGAACUCGAGGACGAGCUCGCGGAGGAAGCGGCGGCGUGAACGAACGAACGAACGAACGAACGAACGAACGAACGAACGAACGAACGAGCGCGUGUACCGUGAGCGAACCUUUGUAACGAACGCACGUCGAACGUCACCCGCUUCUGUCCUCGCGCACGAUGGACGAGCUUUCCUCAAAAAUUCAAAGUGUCGUCCGUCUUCGCUAGCCCUACUCGUACACGCAUUUAGUAUAACAACACGACACGCGUCUACGCCGCCGCACCGCGAUAACAGUUCGCCCGCCAGUUAAUAAUCCGCCGCGCCCUCCAGCUCGAUCCCCGGCCGCCACUCCCACGUCGCCGUCAGCGUCCCCCGCGGCGUCGUCUCCUCCGAAGUGAACGUCUCCCCCUGCGAUACGAAGCGACGUCGGGGUGGAGUUGAAAGGCGUCAGAUGGCGUUGAAAGGCGGCGCGGGCGGGGAUUGAAACCGGGGGGUGGGCGGAAAGAGACGCCGCCCGGGAGAUAAAGUCCUCAAGGAAUGAAGUUCACAACGCGGACGCGGUCGUACGGGGACCGGUGUGGUACAUAAUAGAACGCGCCUCCGGCAGGCCGUUCUCGAUCCUCGCUGCGACGGAAAACAUCGCGUAGCGACUGCUCAAGUCCGGGUAACUCAAGCUCACGCGAUCGACGUCCGCGCGCACGAGCGACGCCUCGUCCACGGCGAGCGUGUACCCCGGUGCGAGCGCGCUGCCGAGCUCCUCCGCGACCGCGCGCGGCGCCGCGGCUCUCCAGUCCUCCGCGCCGAUCAGUUUCUCGCUGUCGGGAUGAUGAGUUUCAAAGGCGUCAGAGCACACUGGUCCCCAUACGACCGCGUUCGCGUUGUGAACGCCGAUCCUUAAGGACUCCGAUCCUUAACGACGAGUUGAAAGAGUUGAGAGGCAUCGCGGGCGGUGUGUCGGGAUCGUGAGCGAGGGGUGGGCGGAGAGAAACGCAACGCCGCCCGGAAGAGAAAGUCCUCGAGGAUCGGCGUGCACCGCGCGGACGCGGUAGCGCGGGAACCGCCGUGAUAGAUAAUGGACGCGCCUCAGCGGCGAUCCGCGCAUCCGCUCCGCGAUGACUUCCCCGGUGUUCGGAUCGUUCCAUCGCUGCGUCGCCUCCACGAGCGUCCUCCCCGCGUCGUCGCGUAUCAGCAGCCGAAGCACGCGGACGUUCCGUCGCGGGACGCCCCCGGGUCCGACCUCCAGCGUGCUCUCGCCGAGGUCAACCUCGAGCUUCAAGUCGGCGAGGCCUUUCGCGUUGUUCUUUCCGUAGCGGUCCGCGUCGACGCCGUGGGUUUUGAGCCAGGUCGCGAGCGACGCGGUGUCGCCGCCGGUCCACGACGACGACGACGACGCGGCGGCGUCGUCGUCCGCCCCCGCGCGCGUCGUCAUCGUCGACGACGACGCGCGACGUCCAGGGCUGCGAGGAUUAAUCUUUUUUUCCGCCGGAUCGAUGACGGACGCCCAGCAGCGCGGACGCGUCCACGCGGCGGCGGCGUUCCCUCGCGCCGCGCGCGCGAUCGCGGCGGAGAAUGCCCUCGCGCGCGACGUGGAGCAGGCUGUCACCUGCCGCGCCGCGAGGGACAUCGGCGUUCCCGCGCGCGCGAACGACUGCGGAGGCGAGGCGGUUGCAGCAUUUACACCGGAGUGCGGGGAUACGAGAUCCCUGCUAUCCCGCCGCGAUCGCGAUCGAUCGUCGCGAAUCGUUUUCAUCGGAGAUCGUUCUCGCUGACCUGCGAUCAAGAGGUCGACUCUACCCUUUUGAAACCGGCAUCGAAGCCGUCUCGGAGCUUCCGACAGGCGACCGCGCGUGAUUGGCUCGCAAACCGAAAACUUAAAUAAGGGUUUAUAUAUUGUAAAUUUCGAUUCUGGUCAUCUCUCAUCCGCCUCCGACGCAAGUCGGAGACCCUCCGAUCUCUCGCGCUUCAUCGCGCGUUCAGACUUGAAAACUCCGUAUGGGCAAACACCCUGUGGAGUCUCGAUGGUGUAGUUGGUUAUCACGUUCGCCUAACACGCGAAAGGUCCUCGGUUCGAACCCGGGUUGAGACAUUUUUUGCAUUCUUUUCAUGCAGUCAUCCUCCACAUGAUGUGAGGAACCUCUCCACAAAGUUUCAGGUCAAUCGGAGCAGUUUUGAGGCGGCGGCGGUCGCGUCACGUCGAGCAUGGUCCAACCUUCCCUAAAAAAUGUUAUUUUUUCGAAACCAAAAAACCAACAUCCCGUAACGUCGACGCGACGAGGACGGCACACACGCGCGCGCGCUCGGCAGAGAAACGCACAUGCGCCGACCGUUCCCUCGUAUCCCAAAGCUCCUGUACAACGCGGACAACGUCAUGGCGAUCCUCGGCUACGCGGUCUUCGCGUUCUUCUUCGACCGCGACUCGUUCGUCGCGCUGCGGCGAGAUUUGGCAACGAUAUCCGUCAACGCCGGCGCGUGAGAGUCCGCGACGACGACGACGACGACGACGACGACGACGACUGCACACAGUGUAUAAUACGCUAGCCUAGAAGAUGGGGUCGUGCGCCAGCGCGUUGACGCGCGAGGCGUCGAGCCGUAGGGACGAAGCAGACGCGGACGCGGCGGCGGCGGACGCGGUCGCGGGACGCCCGAGGCGCGUCCCGAACACGAACCGUCGCUUUUCUUCCUGCGCGACGACGCAUUCGUCCAUUCCCCGCAUUCGUCCGCCGACUGACCGACGUCUUCCGUCCGACUCUCUCACACCGCAGCGCGGUGAUUCUCACGCGCGCCGGCGUGCCCGCGACGUUAGUCAGAGAGCUGCUGCUGUUCUACGACGGCUUAGACGUAGGCGCGGUCGACGCGGGCGGCGGCGGCGGCGAGACGAAAAAAUGUAAAAGAUUAUUCCCCAGCGGCGGCGGCGAAACGCCGUACCUUCAGCGCGUCCAAACGCUCUUCGACCCCGAACGCGUGGGCGCCGUGCGUUUUCGGUGCUUCGUCCGCGCGCUCGCGAAGCUCGCGUCGCCGCGGCCGCAGUGCCCGGGGGAGACGUACUUCGCGUUUCGAUUUUUCGACGCCGACGACGACGGCGGCGUCUCGAAAAAGGAAUAUCGCGACGCGUUGGAAGCCGCGGAGGCGCACUUCGGCGGCGGGCGGGUGCGGUCGACGAAACCGAAACCGCGCUCACUCGACCGUUACGAUGCAUACGCACUCGAUGCCCCCAGCACGCCGAGCCGCCGCGGCGGAGGGUACUUCAACGGCGCGCGGUGCAACGCGAACGCGCGAGACGCGACGGCGACGCGCAUGUUCGACGCCUACGACCGCGACCGCGACGGCGCGUUGAGUCUGAGGCGCGUCCUGGUGGUCACACUGGUCCCCAUACGACCGCGUUGGCGUGGUGAACGCCGAUCCUUAAGGACUUUUGCCGGCGUUUCUCUCUUCCCACCCCUCGCUUUCGAUCACCGCCCUCGACGCCUCACGACUCCAUCUGACGCGCCCCCGAACUCCCCCCCCGACGUCGCUUCGUAUGGACAAUCACCCUCAGCGAGUUCACGCGCGCGCACGCGGCGUCGCGCGGCACGUUCGCGCCUCUCGCGGAGCUGUACGCGACGCUUCGUCCGCACAUCGUCCCCGCGUACGUCGUGAUGCGGACGCUGCGCGAGCGCGGGACGACGGACUGGGCGUUCAUGGACGCGGGAGAGAGCGUCGGCGAGGCGAAGGGCGGGUCGGAGAAUGAAGAAGCCGCGGCGGCGUCGCGCCGGCGGCUGGUCGCGGUGAAACGCGCGGACGAUGAGCGUUACGACGCGUUCGACAGCGUCUGCGAGGUCACGACGGCGGCGACGACGAAGACGAAGACGGCGUCCGCGGUCGAGCACGCGCGGCGCUCGAGGCGGAAAGCGGAGCGGAGGCGACCGAAGCCGCCUCGGAGCGUCGACGUAGACAGCGCGUUUUAAAAGAGUAAACAGACCUGGACAGGAAGCGCCAGCGAAGUUUCUCGGGGCGACCGAAGACCACCCGCGCCACAACAACCCGCGCCGCCGCACGCUCGCAGUCUCGCACCGCUCCAGAACGCGAUGAACGAGACAUCUAAGCGCCGUCGGGUCGAUCCAUCCGCGCCCGAAACGCCGGGCGGCGACGACCGCGCCCUGGGCGGCGGCGGCCUGGCAGCGCGCGUCCGCGAACUCGAAGAACUGUUGGAAGCCACGAGGACGGAGCUCGGGCGCAAGAAGGAGAAGCUCGCCGCCGCGGAAGCGACGAUCGCAGCGUACGCAAAGAUUUACCCGACGUUCGACGCGGACGAACAGCUCUCGAGCGCGGUGUUCUCGCACGUGACGGACGUCCGAACGCGCGUCGCCCUCGCGCAGGUGAACACCGUGUGGCGAAACGCUUCGAAAGUCGCGUCUUCGCUGAUGGCCUCGCUCGACUUCACGGGGUGUCCGGACAAGUGGAACGAGAAUAUGAGUUGGAAGACGAAGUGCGAAUACAUCCUUGGGAUCGAAGGCGUGCUCGAUCUGCCCGAAACGCGCUUUCACGCCCUUCUCGAACAGGCCGGGGCUGACUUGUCCAACACGAACGAGCAGUGCAACCUCGGUUUUUUCUACGACAGCUCGAAGCGUUACGACAAGGCGCUGGAGUGGUACAUGAAGGGAGCGCGUCAAGGCAGCGAGGUUUGUGAGAAUAACAUCGGAAUUUCCUACAGAUUCGGCCAAGGCGUAGAGAAAAAUAUCGACACGGCGCUGGAAUGGUUCACAAAGUCGGCCGAGAAGGAUCACGCCGGAGCACAAUACGAGGCCGGCGCUAUCCACUACGACGAGGGACGAUAUGAAGAGGCGUUCCAGUGGUUCACGAAAUCGGCCGCUCAAGGCGACACUGACGCGACAUUAGACCUCGGGGAGUGCUACGAGAAAGGCAACGGCGUGAAGAAGGACAUUUCCGAGGCGCUCAAACUGUACGGGAAGGCCAUCGAGAAGGGCCACGCUGAGGCGAAAGAAAACCUCCGUCGUCUGGUCGACGCGUUGCCGUGAACAUGCGUAGACGCGACGUCUUCGAGUCCGAUGAUGUAAAUGUCGCCAUCUACCCCCACCUUCUCUCCCCCUCGCUCUCAUCGCAACCUAAACGAGCACCGCGCGCCGUCUAAGCUCAAGAACCGCGUCGCUCAGCUCGAUCGGAAACGCGCGCGGCGACCGUCGACUGACGACACACAGAAAAAGUUCUUCCUCUCGACAGCGAGUUAUCCGAGAGGACCGCCGUCCUUUCCGCACUUCGUCAUGGCGCUCGCGGCGGCGACCGCGCCCGCGGCGUCGUUACGCCCCCCCGCGCGCGUCCAGCGGUGCGCCUCGUCCGUCCUCUCGUCCCUCUCUUCCGCUCCCGCCAUCGCGCGCCGUCGCCGCUCCUCGCGCGUCGCGUCGCGUCGCCGCUGACGUCGACGUCAUCAUCACCGCGUUUCGUUCCGUCGCGCGUUCGCAGGCGCCGUCGCGUCGUCGUCGUCGCCCGCGCGUCCGCGUCCGCGUCCGCGUCCGCGUCGCCCCCUCCCGGCCGCGCGACGUCGCCGCUGUCCCAACCCCCGGCCGACGCCCCCGCGGACCCGCGCGCGGCGCUGCGGGGCGUGAUGAUCCACCGCGCGUCCGACGGCGAGCUCGUGGACGUCAGGUGCGUUCUCCUUACACUGGUCCCCAUACGAUCCCGUCGGCGUAGUGAACGCUGAUCCUUAAGGACUUUUGCCGUCGUCUCUCUCCUCCCAGGGUCCCUCGCUUUCAAUCCCCGGCCUCGAUGCCUUUCAACUUCAACUGACGCCUUUCAACUUGCAUGGAAUGGCCCUCAGCGCGCAGUGGCGCGACGACGACAAGGCGGUCGUCGUCUUUCUUCGAUCGUUCGGCUGAUUCUUCUGCUGGGAGUUGGCGAUACAACUCCGGCGGGACGUGAAGCCGACGUUAGACGCGAACGGCGUGAAGCUCAUCGCGGUGUCGAUCGGGACGGUCGAUCGCGCGAAAGAGUUCGUGAGAGAGACGGAGUUCCCGAUCGAGUGCCUGUACGCGGACCCGGAGAAUAAGUGCUACGACGCGCUCAGGCGCGUGCUCCUCGCACUGGACUCCAUACGACCGCGUUGGCGUUGUGCACGCCGUUCCUUGAGGACUUUAUCUCCCGGCGCGCGUUUCUACCCGCUCACCCUUCGAUUUCGAUCCCCGCCCGCGACGCCUUUCAACUCCAUCCCUGACGCCUUUCAACUCCACCCCGACGCGACCCUCAGGCUGAACAAGUCGCUGAAAAACUUCUCGCAGAAAUCCACCCCGGAGAUGCUCCAGGCGCGGUGGAAGAAAGACGGCGCGAAGGAUCUGCGCGAGGUGUUCUCGCACUGGAAGCCGUGGAUCCCGCCGAAGCGCGAGCAAGGGUUCCAGCAGGGCGGCGUCUUCGCGUUCGAGGGCGACGAGUGCGUGUACCAAUUUUAUGACCCGAGCACGGGCGUACACGCGCCGUUCGACGACUGGCUCGUAACGCUCGGCGUCGGGCCGUUAGAGUCCGCCCCGGAGCCGGUCCCGAGGCCAGAGAAGAAGAAGAAUGAUGCGUGAAGUAAGUAUACGACGCGCGGUGUAGUAAAGUAGGUCCCGCGCGGGGGCGCGAGCGAACGGAACGUCCGUCGAAGUCUGGAUGACGCGCGCCCGCGUAAAACGCGCUUCGAACGAAGCGCGCCGCGGGCGCGUCGACGACGAAAACGCUUCACGACGGACCGUUAUCUCGACGCCCGCGCGAUGGGAAGCGCGCAGACGCGCGCGAUGACGAAUAGAGUAAACGUUAGCGGAGAGAAAGUGAGUUAGAAGCGAGACGCGACGCGGCGCGAGAAGCGAGAGCAUCGUCGAUUCUCAUAUAAAUUUCAUCAGCCCGCCUCGGAGGCCCUGGCUCGCUCGCUCUCGAGUCCCCGCCGUCAGUGCGCGGCACCUUUCGCCGCUUUCUGCUGCGCGACGCGCAUCAUGUACCUGCGAGGAGGAAACGCGAGGACCGCCGGGAAGGAAAGGUAAACGCGGGGACGUCAGAAGACGCGCGGUGACGGCGCGGCGUUCGAUCGAUCGCGGUCGUCGUUAGGGAUUGAUUCGUUCGCUCGCUCGGUCGACCGAUCGGUCGAUCGGGCGCGGCCCCCGCGACGCACUCUUUGUACUGGCACUUCUCGUACGCGUGCCUCUCGUGGCCGCACUUCCACGGUAUGUAAUACUCCGCCUUGCGGCACUCGUUCAGGGGGAUGAGCAGGUGCGCGCAGAAAUCGCGGUGCGCGAGGUCGAUCUUCGCGUCCUGCAUGUCCUUCUGCGUCGCGACCAUCUCGCGUCCUGCUCCGCCCAUUUGUGUUUUUCUUCCACGUCUCCUCCGCGCAGAGGGUCUCUCUCCUACUCGCGCGCGCGAUCGAGCGGUCGUUCGACGGCGGCGUUCGCGCGGGGAGGCGCGCGCGCGUCUCCGCGGUGGCGACGACGAGCGGCGAGCGGGGCGGGUGGACCCACGCGCGCGUUCGUAUGCGAGAAGACGAGGGAGAGACCGUGCGUAUGCUUGGUCCCUACUACAGAGACGAAAUGCUCCUGUGACCGCGGUCGGUACACCGUGCUGUCCCGGCCCGUUCGCCGGUCAAAGUCUUCUCCCGUUUAGGAAAUCCUUUCGCCGCGCGGCGUCGCCGUCGCAUUGACGAGCGGCGCCGGGCGGACGCGGACCCGGCCGGCUCUUUCUAGACCGCGAAGAGAGUCUCGACGAACGCGCGAGCGGAUUCGGAGUUCGCGCUAGGCGCUCCGAAGCUCGCGCGCCUUAACCGCCUCCGAUCUCCGGAGCGCUGGUGGAGGCGUCGAGGUCGAAUUUGAGACCGCAUCCGCGAGAACGUCGUCAGAGCAAGAGGGGGCUUCCUCGACGUGCGCGCCCGCCGAGCGCGCCGCCGCCGUCGUCGUCCUCCUCCUCCUCCUGACGCGUAUCGGGCAUCAUGGGCGAGGAUGACGAGAAGAAGCAGCAGAUGGAGGACCCGCAAGACGUCCUCCAGCGAUGGCUCAUCGCGCGCGUCGUGUCGUCGUUCAAGUGCAAGCCCGAGCAGGGCGACGCGCUGCUCGCGCAGGAGGUGUCCUACGGCGCGAUCAAUCAGUUCCUCACGGACGUGGAGUGCCCCCGCCUGAUGAUCAUCGCCUCGCCGGACCUCGUCGCGGUGCGCAUCGUGCCCGCGCCUCGAUUUCUCUGCCGCGGGUCUCCGUCCGCGAGGCGGCGCGCGCGCCGUCCGCGGCGGGCGGCCGAUCGUCGACGAUCGAUCGCUCUCGGAUCGAAUCCUCAAACGCCCCAAACGGCGAUAAAAUAAAUGAUGAAACGAUUCGAUUCGAUCCGCGCCCGCGACGAAUCGAUCGGUCGAUGUAUCGAUCGGUACAUCGAUCGAUCGAUCGACCCCCGCGCGCGAUCGCCCGCUCGAUCUCCACCCCGCCCCGCCCGACGCCAUCGCCAUCGCCAUCGCCGACGCCGUCCCUCGCCGACCCUGACCCCCCCCGCCCGCCGUCCCUCGACCGACGCGACGAAUGACAGACGACGACGCCGCCGGAGAAAUUUCGAAAGAAGACGCUGUGUUUCCUCAAGCUCAACCAAGAGGAACUCUCCCCGGAGAACGUCGACCAGGAGGUCAUCUACGGCGAUUUCGGCGACGUCCCGCUGGAACACCUCAGCGUGCUCGCGCGGGAGGUUUUCCUGCCGAUGCUCACAAACCCCCGGAAUCAGGUUGGGUGGCCCGAGGUGAUCACGCGCGAGGUGGUGGAGAACUUGCACAAGUUCAUCGCCAACGUGUACGUGACGAUCGGGCAGACGAAGGGCAAGACGCUGCUGCCGCUGCCGCCGGACGACGACGCGAAGCCGUCGACGUCGUCGAGCGCAGGGUCCGCGGCGGGGUCGGAUGCGGGCGGGCCUUCGUCGGACACGGAUAAGAUUCACGUGUUGGAGAGCGCCAUCGUGACGUGGACGAAGCAGAUCAAGGGCGUGCUGAAGAUGGACCCGGAGGCGGCGCUGAAGAGCGGGGAGAACCCCGGGCCGCUCGCGGAGCUGGAGUUUUGGGAGGACAAGGCUGCGAACUUGAACGCGAUCCACGAGCAGCUCUCCGGGUCGAAGAUUCGCAAAGUCGUCAAGGUGCUGGAGGUUACGAAAUCGUCCUACUACCCCGCGUUUCAUCGCCUGUGCGGCGAGGUGGCGCACGCGCGCGUCGAGGCGAACGACAACGUGCUGUUCCUCAAGCCGCUGGACAAGUACUUCCAACGGCUGAACAUCGGCGACGAGUUCCCGCAGCUAGUGGAGAUCUUCAAGCCCAUCAUGCACGUGGUCCUGAUGGUGUGGAAGCACUCGCACCACUACAACACCCCCGGGCGGAUCGUCGUGCUCAUCCGCGAGAUUUGCAACGACCUCAUCAUGCAGUCGCAGAAGUUUGUCGCGGGGAACGAGAUCUUCGAGGCGGAGCCGCCCGAGGCUGUGGAGAAGCUGAAGCAGACGUUGAAGGUGUGCGGCACGUUCAAGUCGUUCUAUUUCGACUACAAGUCAAAGACGAACAACGAGACGCCGCAGAACCCGUGGAGGUUUCAAAACUCCGCGCUGUUCAGCCGCCUAGACACGUUCCUCGAGCGCUGCCACGACAUCUUAGACUUGACGAUGACGGUGCUGCAGUUCAACAAGCUCGAGAGGGUGGAGAUUGGCGGCACCAAGGGCAAAUCGCUGACGAACAGCGUGCAGCAAGUCUUCGCCGAUUUCCAAGAGGCGGUCGAGAAGUUCCACGCCGUGGAGUACGACAUCAUGGACGUGGACAACAAGCAGUUCGAGAAUGACUUCUACGAGUUCCGGUGCGUCAUCAAAGAGCUCGAACGGAGACUCGGGUCGAUCAUCAUUCAGGGUUUCGAAGACUGCGUCACCGUCGCGGCUUCGUUCAAGCUGUUCGACAGCUUCGAAGGGCUCCUCGACCGCGAGAUCAUCGCGACAGAUCUGGAAAAGAAACAGAUCGAGCUCAUGCGUUUCUACGGCGACGACCUCAAGGACGUCUCGGAGAUUUUCGCGACGCAGAAGGACAACCCGACGUUGGCGAAGAACUCGCCGCCGCACGCGGGCGCGGUGUCCUGGGUGAGAGGCCUCGUGGCGCGCAUAAAGGAGCCGAUGGAAAAACUUCAGGGACUGAACAAGCUCGUCACGGAGACGGACGAGAGCAAGGACAUCCAGAAGCAGUACGACGUGCUCAUGGCGUCGCUGAUCGCGUACGAAGAGAACGAGAUCAAGCUCUGGAGCGCGGAGGUUGAGGCCACGGGUGAGGAAAAGUUGAAGAAAAAUUUGCUCGCGCCGGAUGAGAAGGGCGAGAUCCCCGGGAUCCUCCGCGUGAACUUCGACCCGAUGCUCGUCAGACUGCUGCGCGAGGUGAAGUACUUCCUCCUCCUCGGCGUCGACGUCCCGGCGUCCGCGUUGAAAGUCUACGAGAGGUCCGAGACGCUUCGUCAGCAGACGGGUAACCUCGACCUCAUCGUCGUGACGUACAACACGAUGCUGCGCAACUUGCUCGACGUGGAGAAGCCUCUCGUGGAGAAACGGCUCAAGGUGAUCGAAGACGCGCUUCAAAAGGGCAUCUCGAAGCUCAACUGGAACUCGCACAAGAUCAACGACUACAUCCAGGAGGUGAUGGGGUUCGUGAAGGAGCUCGACACGAUGCUCGAGACGAUCAAAGGGAACGUGGAGAAGACGCGUAAGGUGCUUCAGGGCUGGGCGGAGAACUUGAUGUUCAGCCGCAAGGAGGGUAAAACGUACGACGUCGAGGAGUUUCAGUCCGCGCAGAAGGACCUCCAGGCGAAGAGAAACGACGAGAUUGUCGAGGGCGCGGCGGCGAUCACGCGGUACCUCGCGGCGUCGAGCAAAGCGCUCAAGGACAUCCCGCGCGCGUCCAAGGCGUGGAAAGACUACGUCGAGUACGUCAACGACAUCGUCAUCGAGGGUUUCAGCAACGCGAUCAUGGCGUCCGUGGCGUACGUGAACGAGCAGGUGAACCCGGAGCUGGUGUCGAAGAACGAGACGGUGCCGCUCGUGGAGGUGCAGCUCGAGCUCCAGGCGCCGGACAUCUGCUGGAAGCCGGAGAUUGGCCAAACCGCGGACGGCGAGGGCGUGCGCGAUCGCUUCAACUCGUGGAUCGGGAACUUUCAGGCGAUCGGGACGCUGAUGAAACGCCUGGACAUCGGCGAAGGGAACUACACGCUGGAGCUCGAGGAGGAUUACAACGUCAUGGACGCCAUCUCGGCGAUUCAAGACGUCGUCCUCGCGAACGAGGCGGAGUGCAUCGCGUUCAAGGAGAGCUACACGAAGUACGAGUACCUGUGGAAGACGGACCUCCCGACCGCGCUCGCGACGUUUCUGGAGGAGAACACGAACGCGGAGGAGGGCCAGGACGAGCCGCCGCUGGAGUUAUUCGACGAGCAGAUCGCGCGGUACAAGGCUGUGCAAGAAGAGAUUCAGGCGCUGACGACGACGUCCACGAUCGCCUGGGUGAAGGUGGACGCCAAGCCGAUGAAGCAGGCGCUCGCGACGUGGAUCACGAAGUGGAUUUUCCUGUACACGCAGUACCUGUCGAACAAGGUGAUCAACAGCAUGGACGACCUGUACGCGUUCAUGAAGCUCGGAAACACCGUGCUGGACAUGGACCCGACGGCCAUCGCGGAGCCGUCCGCGGCGACGGAGCCCGCGGAGGACGCGAGCGGCGAGGCCGGCGAGGGCGAGGGCGCCGAAGGUGCCGAAGGUGCCGAGGGUGCCGAAGGUGACGCCGCCGCGCCCGCGCCCGCGGAAAAGAAGGAGAGCGCCGCGGAGAAGAAGCAAAAGAUGCUCUACGACAUGAUGGCGUACAUGCGCGACUUGAGGAAACGCGAGGAGAAGACGGACGUCAUGUUCGAACCGCUGCAGGCGACGGUUGCUCUGUUGAAGACGUACGGCAUCUCCACGUCCGAGGAGGUGCUCAAGCAGCUCGAGGAGGCGCCGCUCGCGUGGAGCGCGCUGAAGAAGAAGAUGCUCAACGUCCGCGAGAAGCUGUCGUUGAUGCAGCAGCUCGAGGCGCGAAAGAUUCGCGAGGAGUCGGACAAGUUUGGAAAGCAGGUGGAGGACUUCCGGACGAUGUUCCAGAAGACGGCGCCCGUCACGGUGGCGGCGAGCACGAUCAAAGUCGACGACGUGCGACCCGCGUACGACAUCCUGGACCACUUCCACCACGGCGAGAAGGACGACAAGUUUAUCUUUGGCUCGUUGUCCACCAUCGCCACGGAGGCGAGCGCGUUGAAUGAAAAGCAAGAGCUCUUCGAGCUGCACGUGAGCGAUUACCUCGCGUUGCAACGCAGCGCCGAGGACCUCGCCUUUUUGAAGGCGCUGUGGGACAUGGCGUCGUCGGUCAUCUUCACGUUUGACAGCUGGAACAUCACGCUGUGGAACGCCAUCGACGUCGAGUUUCUCAUGGACGAGACGAAGAAGCUCGCCAAGGAGGUGAAGAUGCUCCCCAAGGGGUGCCGCGCGUACGACUUGUAUAAAAUUCUGGAGGAUCAGGUCAAGGCGCUGCUGACGUCGCUUCCUCUCGUGAGCGAGCUGCAUCACCCGUCGAUGCGCGAGCGGCACUGGAAGCAGCUCAUGAAGGCGACGGGGAGGCACUUCGUGAUGGACGACAAGUUCAGCCUCGGCGACUUGCUCAACCUCGAGCUGCACACGUGCGUCGACGCGGUGAGCGAGAUUGUCGAGCGCGCGCAAAAGGAGAUUGUGAUCGAGAAGCAGCUGAAGAAGAUCGAGGAGACGUGGUCGGGGUUGAACCUCGACUUCAAGCCGUUCCCGGACAGCGAGGUGUUGAACCUCGUCAUCGACGACUUGAUCUUGGAGGCGCUCGAGAACGACAACCUCGCGUUGCAAAACUUGGGGGGGUCCAAGUACGUCCAAGGGAACGCCAAGUUCAACGAGAUGACCGCGGAUUGGCAGAAGAAGCUCGGCACCGUGGACAACGUCCUCAACGUGUGGCAAGACGUCAGCAAAAAGUGGAGCAUGCUCGAGUCCGUCUUCGUCGGCAGCGCGGACAUUCGCGUCCAGCUCCCGGAGGACUCAAAGCGCUUCGACGGCAUCAACGCGGACUUCCAGGCCAUCAUGCGCGACGCCCCCGACGUGUUGAACUGCGUCGAGGCGUGCAACAUGGACGGCAGACUGGAACGUCUCGAGGUCAUGCUCGGUCUCCUCGAGCAGUGCGAGAAGGCGCUGCAGGACUACCUCGAGACGAAACGCAUCGCGUUCCCGCGUUUUUAUUUCGUCGCCCCCGCGGACCUUCUGGACAUCCUCUCGAAAGGGACCAACCCGCAGCUCAUCCUGCGUCACCUCUCGAAGUGCUUCGACAACGUCCACAACAUGUCCUUCCUCGAGGACGAGAAGGGGAACCCGUCGAAGAACGCCAUCUCGAUGUGGUCCGGGGAGAACGAAAACGUCGCCUUCAAGGAGCCGUGCAUCUGCGACGGUCCCGUGGAGACGUGGCUCGGCGCCGUCGUCGACUCGAUGCGCGAGGCGCUAUUCGUCGAGUUUGAAGCCUCCGCGCCCAAGUACGACGAGAUGCCGCGCGUGAAGUGGAUGUUUGAGCAGUCGGCGCAAAACACGAUCACGGUGUCGCGCAUGAUUUUCACGCAAGAGAUCAACGAGGCGUUCGAUCAGCUCGAGGAAGGGAACGACAACGCGGUGAAGGACAUGUGGCAGAAGCAGGUGGAUCAGCUCGCGGGCCUCAUCGAGGUUGUCAACGGGAAGCUCGAGAAGCUGGACCGGAAGAAGGUGCUGACGUUGUGCACCAUCGACGUGCACGCGCGCGACGUGUGCCAAAAACUCCUCGACGAACGCGUCGACGUCGGCAGCGCGUUCCAGUGGCAGUCGCAGCUGCGGUACGGCGUCCACGAGAAGACGGGGAAGCUCAUGAUUUACGUCUGCGACGCGGAGAUUCCGUACAUGUACGAGUACAUCGGGUCCCCGGGGUGCUUAGUCAUCACCCCGCUCACGGAUCGGUGCUACAUCACGCUGACGCAAGCGCAGAGGCUCGUCCUCGGCGGCGCCCCCGCGGGCCCCGCGGGGACGGGCAAGACGGAGACGGUGAAGGAUCUCGGUCGCGCGCUCGGCAUUCAGGUGUACGUCUUCAACUGCUCCGAUCAGAUGGAUUACAAGGCGAUGGGGCAGACGUACAAGGGCUUGGCGCAGACUGGCGCGUGGGGCUGCUUCGACGAGUUCAACCGCAUCCCGGUGGCGGUGUUGUCCGUGUGCUCGACGCAGUACAAGACGGUCCUCGACGCGAUUCGCGCGAAGAAGUCGCAGUUCAUGUUUGAAGACGUGGAGAUUUCGCUGCGCCCGUCCACGAUGGCGUUCAUCACGAUGAACCCCGGCUACCCCGGUCGCGCGGAGCUCCCGGAGUCGCUCAAGGCGCUGUUCCGACCGGUGUCCAUGUGCGUCCCGGAUCUGCAGCUGAUUUGCGAAAACAUGCUCAUGGGCGAGGGGUUCUUGCAGUCCAAGAUUCUCGCGCGCAAGUUUGUGAUUCUCUACAAGCUCUGCGAGGACUUGCUCUCCAAGUCGGCGCACUACGACUGGAAGCUACGGGCAAUCAAGACGACGCUCUACGUCGCCGGCGGUCUCAAGCGCGACCAGCCGCACCUCUCCGAGGACAAGGUGCUUCUGCAGGCGCUUCGCGAUUUCAACCUCGGGAAGCUCACCGCGGACGACCACGGCAUCUUCAUGGGUCUCCUUAACGAUCUCUUCCCCAAGAUGCUCGACCAAGUCCCGCGUCAGCGGAACGAGUCGUUCGAGGAUAAGAUUGUGAAGUCCGCGGUGGAGCUCGGGUACCAGCCCGAGGAGGCUUUCGUGUUGAAGAUCACGCAGCUCCGCGAGAUUUUCGGCGUGCGGUGGUCCGUGUUCCUUCUCGGCCCCGCGGGGUGCGGUAAAACCGCCGUGUGGCGGACGUUACUUCUCGCGCAAAACAAGUACGGCGAGAAAUCGCGCGCGGUGCCGGUGAACCCCAAGGCGGUGUACCGCAACGAGCUCUACGGAUUCCUCCACCCGUCCACGCGCGAAUGGAAGGAGGGGCUGAUGUCCGUGACGUUCCGCGACAUGUCGAACAACAAGGUGUACAUCAAUCAGUGGAUCGUCCUCGACGGCGACAUCGACGCGGAGUGGAUCGAGUCCAUGAACACGGUGAUGGACGACAACAAGAUGCUCACGCUCGCGUCGAACGAGCGCAUCCCGCUGACGAACUCGAUGCGACUUUUGCUCGAGAUCAACCACAUGGUGCACUGCUCCCCCGCGACGGUGUCUCGCGGCGGCGUGAUUUACUUGAACCAGGACGACAUCGGCUGGCAGCCGAUGGUGGAGUCGUGGAUCCAGUCGCGCGAGGCGGUGGACUACCGCCCGCUUCUCGUCGAGCUGUUCGAUCGCUACCUGGAGAAGUCUCUGGAGCACUGCCGGAGAAACUUCCGGACGAUCGUGCCGCUCGUGCCGAUGAACAUCGCGGGCACGGUGUGCAAGAUUCUCGAGGGAAUCAUCCCGUCUGAGAACGUCCGCGGGCAGAAGCCGGACAAGAAGCUCCUCGAGGCGCAGUUCGUCUUCGCGUGCGUGUGGGCCCUCGGCGGCGCGAUGCUCGUGGACAAGGUGGUGGACUUCCGCCUGCAGUUCCACAAGUGGUGGAUCAGCGAGUGGAAGGAGGUGCUGUACCCCGAGGGCGGCUUGGUGUUCGAUUACUACGUUAACGACGAAGCGCAGAUGACGCCGUGGACGGAUAAGGUUGAGGGCUACGGCUACAACCCGUCCGAGGCGUUCGCGAACAUCUUCGUGCCGAGCGUGGACAGCACGCGCCUGUCGUAUUUCCUGAACAGCUUCAUCAAGAACAAGCACUACUGCAUGUUCGUCGGAAACGCGGGCACGGGAAAAACCGCGCUCAUGCGCGAAAACUUGAAGAACCUCGACGCCGAGGCGUGGACCUUCUCCACGGUGAACAUGAACAACUUCAUGGACGCGCCCGCGCUGCAGGUCAUCUUGGAGCAACCGCUCGAGAAGAAGUCCGGCGUGCGCUUCGGCCCGCCCGGCGCGCGUCGCCUCGUGUACUUUUUCGACGACAUCAACAUGCCCUUCGUGGACAAGUACGACACGCAGACGCCCAUCGAGCUCGCGCGUCAAAACAUCGACUACCGCGGCUGGUACGACAAGAACAAGAUCGUCCUCAAGGAGGUGCUCAACUGCCAGUACAUGGCGGCGAUGAACCCCACCGCGGGGUCGUUCAACAUCACGCCGCGCAUGCAGCGUCACUUCGUGACCUUCGCGGUGCAGAUGCCGUCGAAGGACGCGGUGCGAUCGAUGUUUUCGCAAAUCAUCGACGGCCACCUGAUGGAGUUUGACAACGACAUCCAGAAAAAGGCGGCGGCGCUCGCGGACGCGUCGAUCGAGAUUCACUCGCUCGUCGCGAACACGUUUUUGCCCUCCGCGGUGAAGUUUCACUACCAGUGGAACCUGCGCGAGCUGUCGAACAUCUGCCAGGGCAUCUGCCGCGCGAUUCCGGAGUUUUACACCAACCCCGUGACCAUGGCGCGCCUGUGGAUCCACGAGUGCGAGCGCAUAUUCUCCGACCGCAUGGUGGCGCAGGCGGACAUCACCAAGUUUGACGAGAUGCGCGUCCUCGUGACGAAGAAGUACUUCAGCGACCUCGAGAUGGAACAAGUCGAGGCGCGCCCGGUGUCCUACAACGCGUUUCAGCAGUUUGACAACAACGACGAGGGCGCGUACUGCGCGUGCGCGUCGUACGAAAAGCUGAACAAGACGCUCGUGGAAAAGCUCGCGGAGCACAACGAGUCCAACCCGGUGAUGGACCUCGUGCUCUUCAACCAAGCCAUGGACCACGUGACGAGAAUCACGCGCAUCUUGAACCUCCCGAGAGGGAACGCGAUGCUCGUCGGCGUCGGCGGCAGCGGGAAGCAAUCGCUCGCGAAGCUCGCGACGUUCAUCUGCCAGUACGACGUGUUCCAAAUCUCCGUGACGUCUUCGUACGGCAUCGUCGACUUCAAGACGGAUCUCCUCGGGUUGUACACGAAGGCGGGCGUCAAGGGGACGCCGGUUACGUUUUUGAUGACGGAUUCGCAGAUCGUGAACGAGCGCUUCUUGGUGUACAUCAACGACCUCCUCUCGAGCGGGUUCAUUCCCGACCUCAUGACCCCGGAGGACAAGGAGAACAUGUGCAACGCGGUACGGAACGAGGUGAAAGCCGCGGGGAUCGUGGACACGAAUGAAAACUUGUGGGACUUUUUCAUCGACAAGGUUCGCAAGUACCUGCACGUGUGCCUGUGCUUCUCCCCCGUCGGCGACAAAUUCCGCGUGCGCGCGAGAAACUUCCCCGCGCUCAUCAACUGCACCGUCAUCGACUGGUUCCAGCCGUGGCCGCACGAGGCGCUCGUCUCCGUCGCCGGGCGGUUCCUCGCGGACGUCCCGAACAUCGACGAGGCGCUGUUGGAGAACUUGCAGUUCCACUGCGCCUUCACGCACAUGGCGGUCAACGACGCGUCAGGCGCGUACUUCAACGAGGACCGACGCUACAACUACACGACGCCCAAGUCGUACCUGGAGCUCAUCUCGCUGUACAAGUCGAUGCUCGAUCAGAAGCGACUCGACUUAAAACACGCCAAGGAACGUCUGGAGAAUGGGGUGGACAAGAUCGCGCAGGCGUCCGCGCAAGUCGCGGACCUUCAGGCGAACCUGAAGGAGGAGCAGGUCAUCGUCGAGGAAAAAAAGGCCAACACCGACGCGCUCAUCGUCAGCAUCGGCCAAGAGAAGGCGAUCGUCGACGAAGCCGUCGAAGCCGGCAGCGCGGACGAGGCGGAGUGCGCGGCGAUCGCGGAGGAAGUCUCCGCGUUCCAGGCUGAGUGCGAGGAAGAUUUGAAAGCCGCGGAGCCCAUCAUCCAAGCCGCCGAGGCGGCGCUGAAUUCGCUGGAUAAAAAGUCGCUGGGCGAGCUCAAGUCCUUCGGCUCUCCCGCCGCGGAGGUUGUUCAGGUGGCGUCGGCGUGCAUGGUGCUCACCGCCCCGGGCGGGAAGAUCCCGAAAGAUCUCUCGUGGAACGCCGCGAAGAAGUCGAUGGGCUCGGUGGAUAAGUUCCUCAACGACCUCAUCAACUUCGACAAGGACAACACCCCGGAGAAUUGCGUCGAGAAGUGCGAGAAGGAUUACCUCUCCAACCCCAACUUCAACCCGGAGUACAUCGUGAACAAGUCCGGCGCCGCCGCCGGCUUGUGCGCGUGGGUCGUGAACAUCUGCAAGUACUUCCGCAUCUACCAAGUCGUCGCGCCGAAGCGCAAGCUCCUCGCGGAGGCGAACGCGAAGCUCGACGCGGCGAACAAGAAGCUCGCGGGGAUUCGCGCCAAGGUGAAGGAGCUCCAAGACAAGGUGGCGGCGCUGGAAGAUAACCUCAUGAAGGCGACGGAGGAUAAGAACGCCGCCAUCGCGCAGGCGGAGAAGACGCAGAAUAAAGCCAACCUCGCGGACCGCCUCGUGAACGGGCUGUCCGGAGAGAACAAGCGUUGGGGCGCGGCGAUCGAGCAGUUUGGCGUCCAGGAGACGAAGCUCGUCGGCGACGUCCUCGUCGCGUCGUCCUUCGUCUCCUACGCCGGCGCGUUCAACUCCAAGUUUCGUAAAUUUCUCGUCGAAGAAAAGUGGCUGCCGGAUCUCAUCGAACGCGAAAUUCCGAUGACGCAAGGGAUCGUGCCGCUGGACGUCCUCGCGACCGCGGGACAGAUGGCGCAGUGGGGCAUCGAGGGCUUGCCCACGGAUCCGCUGUCGAUCGAAAACGGCGCCAUCAUGAGCUCCGCCGCGCGGUGGUCGCUCAUGAUCGACCCGCAGCUUCAGGGCAUCCGAUGGAUCAAAGAAAAGUGGGGCGAUAAACUUAAGAUCAUCCAGCUGUCCAAGGCGAACUACAUCAACGACGUCGAGCACUGCAUCGAGAACGGGAUCCCGCUGAUGAUUGAAAACUUGCAGGAUGACAUCGACGCGGUGCUGGAUCCGGUGGUGGCGCGUCAGACGACGCGACGCGGGCGCAACGUCGUGAUGAAGCUCGGCGACAAAGAGGUGGACUACGACCCAAACUUCAAGCUGUACCUGCAGACGAAGCUGUCGAACCCGCACUACAAGCCCGAGAUCGCGGCGCAAGCGACGCUGGUGAACUUUUGCGUCACGGAGAAGGGUUUAGAGGACCAGCUCUUGGCGCUCGUCGUGUCCAAAGAACGCGCGGAUUUGCAGCAGCAGUCGUCGGACCUCGUCCGACAGCUCGGCGAGUACACCGUGCAAAUCACGCAGCUCGAAGACAACCUCCUCGUGCGUCUCUCCAACGCGCAGGGCGAUAUCCUGGAGGACAUCGAGCUCAUUGAAAACCUCGAGGAGACGAAGCGCACCGCGACGGAGAUCGCCGAGAAGGUGAUCCAAGCCAAAGAGACGCAAAAGAUCAUCGACGUGACGCGAGACGUCUACCGCCCCGUCGCCGCGCGCGGCGCGUUGCUCUACUUCCUCGUCGACGUCCUCAACGUCCUCGACCGCGUGUACCAGUACUCCAUGGCGAACUUUGUGUACAUAUUGAAGAAGGGCAUGGACGUCUGCCCCGGCGGCGCGGACAACACGCACGUGCCGCCGGAUAAGCGGCUCGCGGAGCCGCUCCCCGUGGAGAAGCGCGUCGAGGCGCUCAUCGAAUCGGUGUCGUCGCAAGUCUUUGGGUACAUCGCGAGCGGUCUCUUCGAGCGGCAUAAGCUCAUCGUCGCCGCGCAGCUCACGAUGAGCGUCCUGAAGAAGCAAGGGAAGCUCCCGGCGCAGCAGUUUGACUGGCUGUUGCGCGGGCCGCGCGUCGCGGGGGUGGAGAAUCCGCUCGAGGAGUGGAUCGCGCAAGGCAACUGGGAGUGCAUCCAGUCGUUGCAAGAGCUCGACGGCUACGGGCAACUGCCUGGGGAUCUUCAAGGGUCUGCGAAGCGCUGGCGCGAGUGGAUGGAGCUCGAGCGACCGGAGGAGGAGCCGAUGCCGGGGGAUUGGAAGAAGAUGGAGGAUUUCGAGAAGCUGCUGUUGUUCCGCGCGCUGCGGCCGGAUCGGAUGUCCAACGCGUUGUCCACCUUUGUCAAAUCCGUCAUCGGACAGAGGUACGUCACGUCGGCGGCGUUCGACCUCGCGGAGUCGUACAAAGAUUCCGCGCCGGGGACGCCAAUCUUCAUCUUCCUCUCCCCGGGCGUCGACGUCGCCGCCGCGGUGGAAGCGCUCGGUCUCAAGCUUGGGUUUUCGUCCGAAAACGGUCGCUACGCCGCCGUUUCGCUCGGACAAGGCCAAGAGCCGAUCGCGAUGAACAACCUGCAAAACUUCCACAAAAACGGCGGCUGGCUGCUGCUCCAAAACAUCCACCUCACGAUCGACUGGACGAACGGCCCGCUGGAGAAGACCGUGGACAAGCUCGCGGAGGGCGCGCACGCCGACUUCCGGCUGUUCCUCUCCGCGGAGCCGCCGCCGAGCCUCGAGCGCGGCAUCGCCAUCUCUCUCCUGCAAAACUCCAUCAAGCUCACGAACGAGCCCCCGGAGGGCAUGAAGCAAAACCUCAUGCGCGCGUACGGCAACUUCAACGAGGAGAUGUUCGAGGCGGCGUCCAAGCAGGGCGAGUUCAAGGCGAUCAUCUUCGCGCUGUGUUACUUCCACGCCGCGAUUCUCGAGAGGAAGAAGUUUGGCGUCGGGAACAUGCCCGACGCCGCGUCGGGCAUCGGCUGGAACAUGAAUUACCCGUUCAACACGGGCGACUUGCUCUGCUGCGGCCAGUGCGUGAACAACUACCUGGAGAACAACACCAAGGUGCCGUGGGACGACCUGAAGUACAUCAUCGGAGAGAUCAUGUACGGCGGGCACGUCGUCGAGGACUGGGACAGGAGGACAGUGGAGAUGUACCUCGAGUCGUACCUCCGAGAGGAACUCCUCGAGGGGAUCGAGUUUUUCCCGAAAUUCACCACGCCGCCGUCCAAUCUGAACCACCGGCAGACGAUGGAGUUCAUCCAAGAGACGUUCCCGACCGAGUCCCCGCUCGCGUUCGGGCUGCACCCGAACGCGGAGAUCGGGUUCAAGCUCCGAGAGGCGGAGCUCCUGUGCUCGUCCAUCUUGUCGCUGCAGCCUCGCGACGGCGGCGGCGAGGAGGGCGCGUCGGUGGAGGACCAAGCCAAGAUGGUGCUCGACGACCUCGUCGAGCGGCUCCCCGAUCAGUUCGACAUGGAAGACAUCCGCUCGCGCACGGACGACAUCACGCCGUACAUCAUGGUCGCGAUCCAGGAGUCGGAGCGCAUGAACGUGCUGCUCGCGGAGAUGAAGCGUAGCCUCGCGGAGCUCGACCUCGGCUUGAAGGGCGAUCUGACAAUGUCGGAUCCGAUGGAGACGCUUAUGAACGCGCUCGCCAACGGCUCCGUCGCCGGCGGCUGGGCGAAGCUCGCGUACCCGAGCCUCCGGUCGUUGUCGUCGUGGAUCUUUAACCUUCUGCAGCGCGUGGAGCAGCUCAACCUGUGGACCGCGGACUUGAACCUGCCGAAGGUUGUGUGGCUAUCGGGGCUGUUCAACCCGCAGUCGUUUUUGACGGCUGUCAUGCAGACGACGGCGCGUCGCAACGACUGGCCGCUGGACAAGACGGUGGUGUUGACGGAGGUGACGAAGAAGACGGUGGACCAGAUCGAGGCGGUGAGCAGAGAAGGCGCGUACAUCCACGGGCUCACGCUGGAGGGGUGCCGAUGGGACGAGAAGAUUGGCGUGCUGGAAGAGAGUCGCCCGAAGGAGAUGUUUUGCCCGAUGCCCGUGAUCACCAUUCGCGCCGUCACGGUGGACAAGGCUGAGAUGAAGGACGCGUACCAGUGCCCGGUGUAUAAGACAGAGCGGCGGUUCAGGGAAGAAGUUUUCACCGCGCAGCUCAAGUCGAAACACGGGCAGAUCAAGUGGACGCUGUGCGGCGUGUGUUUGUUUCUGGACGUGGUCUAAGAUGGAUGGAGGGACGCAGACGCGUCUUCAAAACCCAAAAAAAAAAAAUCAAAGAGACGGUAGACGGAGGAAAGGAAAAAAACCGGAAGAGACGCGUCCGUCGCGCCGCCGUUCAGUCGGCGGGCGACGCCGCGGCGGGAGGCUCGGUGUCAUUCGUAACCAGCCUUCGGCAAACGUCGCGGCGACGCCACGCGGGGGUCGCGUCUCUCAGUAGAAGAUAACUUAAUUAGCUCGAAGUAUUUGUGAUAAACCCAAGUACGCCUUCCUCAACAAUAAGAUGCGCGUUCUAUCUCACACUGGUCCCCAUACGACCCCGUCCGCGUGGUGAACGCUGAUCCUUAAGGACUUUGUCGAAGAGCGCCUCGCUCGCGUCACAGCCCCUUCGGCUUCGGCGGUUUCCGUCCCUUUCGCGUUCGCUCGCCGCCCGCGAUCGUCAGGUUCUUCUGGUAGUUUUCCGAGUCGACCGACUUUUGCGAUCGCUCCCGCGCGCCUCCAUCAUCUCCGCCUCCUCCUCCACCUCCUCCUCCUCCGCCGCCGCCGCCGCCCUCGCUGCCCUUCACGAACGCGAACGCGGCGAGCGGGACGACGAUCGCGAGGAACGCGAGCGGGUUGACGCCGCCGCCGCCGUCGUCCGCGAGCGCCGCGCCGGCGAAGAGAAGGUUCGCGCCCGCCGCGACGAGCGUCGUCGUCGUCGUCGUCGUCGUCGUCGUCGUCGCGGACGCGCGCGAGAGCGCGACCGCGUCCGCCGGCGCUUCUCUUCUUCUUCUCCGCGGCGCCGUCGCGUCGGACGCGGCGACGGUCGCGACGCGCGCGCGACGCGCGGGCGGCGCGCGCGGCUGCGAUCGGGUGGGAUCGAGUGGCGGGGACGUCGGCGGGUCGGACUGGGGGACUGGAUUGGAUUCGGACGACGAGAGGAGCGAAAGCAUUCAUCGGACGUUCUCGUCGCUCGCGCACCUUGCGAUCGAGGCGCACGACGCGCGCGGCGACGCACGCGAGCGAUGCCAUGUCGUGUGCGCGAGGACGCGAGGGGGGGGGGGGGGUUGGGGACGGACGCGGCGCGGGCGACGCGGCGCGCGGUGUCAAUGCCGCGCGCGACGUCCCCGCCCGCCGAGAAAAAAAAACCUCCGACGCGACGGAAAAUCCGAGUCAUCACUUCAGCGCCCCGUGGCGCGCUAACGAGCCGCGAGCGCCGACCCUAGCUAGCUAGCUAGGCCUAUCUGCUAUGCUCGCAACGUGCGCGGUUCCAGGGCGACCGCGCUCCGCGGUCAGAGCCACGCGCGCGACGAUGUCGAUGUCGUCGAUCGCGCCCAGCGCGUCUCCGCGCAUCGCGCCGCCGUCCGCGGCGUCGUCGCGUCGCCGAGCGCCCGCGACGCGCGUCGACGCGAGCGCGCGCGUCGUCGGAGGCGGCGUCCCCGCGCGUCGCCGUCAUCCUCAUCGCAACGGCACUUCGUCGUCGAUCUCGUCGCUUCCGAGCCGCGUCGAUCGACGCGGCGAUCGCGCGACCGCGCGCGCGCUCGACGCGCUGGAUUCCGUCGGGAGCCUCGUCGGCAUCGGCGCGGGCGUCGUCGCGCUCGCGUUCGCCGCGGGCGCCGCGAACGGCGGCGGCGCCGCGGGCGGCGCCGACGCCGACGCCGACGCCGACGCCGACGCCGCGCGGGGCGGCAGGACCGGCUCCGGCAGAACCGGCGCGCAGGUCAGCGGGAAGCAGACGAUCGCCGGCGGCGUCGCGGGCGCGAACAACCCGAAGAAGAAGAAGCAGAUGCCGGGGAUGCCGGUCAAGCCGAACAAGAAGGCGAGCGGCGGCGGCAAGAAGAAGAAGAAGGGCGACGGCGACGGACUCGGCGUCGGCGGCAUGAUGAACGUCUUAGAUUCGAUAAAAAAAGGCGCGCCCGCGGUCCCGGGUCUGAGCAAGAUGAACGCGCAGCGGUACGCGUGGGGCGCCGCGGAAGCGACCGGCCCGAGGGAGUACAUGGAAGACGCGUGGGUCGUCAAAGAGACCGGCCUCGGCGGCGGGUAUUUCUUCGGUGCGCGCGCGCUAUUUAUUACCGCGCCGGUCUACCCCGCGCUUCCGCGUCCGCGCGGCGCGCCCUUUCUCACCCGGCGCGCGUCACUCUCCGCCCAUUCUCUCCUCGCUCACAAUCCCGACGCACCUCGACGCCUUUCAACUUCACCCGCCUGACGCCUUUCGACCUCCCUCACCCCCACAGCGAGCGUCAUGGACGGUCACGGCGGCGCCGCGUCGAGCGCGUACCUCCGCGAGAACCUCUUCUCGCUCCUCGACGAAAAGAUCCCUAAGUUUGGCGCGGGCGAAGGCACCCCGGGUGCCGUCCCCGACGGCACCCCCGACGGCGGCUACCUCGCCAAGUCCCUCAAGACGGGCUUCGACGCCGCGGACGAGUCGCUCAUCGAUCACAUCGCGCGCCUCGGCGAGCCCGAGUGCUGGAGCGGCAGCACGUGCACGAGCGUCCUCGUCCGCGACGACCGCGUCGUCGCCGCCAACGUCGGCGACUCGCGCGCGGUGCUCAUUCGAAAGGUAAGGCACACUGGUCCCCAUACGACCGCGUCGGCGUGGUGAACGCCGAUCCUUAAGGACUUUCUCUCCCGGCGAUCGUCUCUCUCCGCCCAGGGUCCCUCGCUCACGAUCCCGACGCGCCUCGACGCCUUGAUUCAACACCGCUUCUGACGCCUUUCAACUCCACCCCGACGUCGCCUCGUAUGGACCCUCGACCCUCAGGGCAAGGCGUUGGAGUUGACCGCGGAUCAUCGACCGCUGGGGAGCUCGGUCACGGGAAGGCAGGAGAUGGAUCGGAUCACGCGCGCGGGCGGGUGGUCCGUCGGCGGACGCGUCUGCGGCAUCCUCGCGGUGUCGCGCGCCUUUGGGGAUUACGAGUUCAAGGUGCGUUCUAUUACCACACCGGUCCCCAUACGACCCCGUUCGCGUGGUGAACGCCGUUCCUUAAGGACUUUCUCUCCCGGCGAUCGUUUCUCUCCGUCCAUCACCCCUCGCUUUCAAUCCCGACACACCUCGACGCCUUUCAACUCCGCUUCUGACGCCUUUGAACUGACGCCUUUCAAAAAAGGGCGGACGGUUCGACCUCCUGAACGACCUCAGCGAGGAGCCGCUGGCGAAGAAAGCGACGCUCGCGGAGCCGCCGGUGGUGCCCACGCCGGCGGUGAAGGAGAUCGCGCGCGACGCCGAGACGGACGAGUGGCUCGUGAUCGCGUCUGACGGGCUGUGGGACACGGUUAACUCCACCGCGUGCGCGACGUUCAUCUCGCAGGAGUGCAAGAAGAACCCGGGGAUGCGCGCGGACGCCCUCGCGGACGCGCUCGUGAAGCGCGCGAUUCGGUUCCGGACGCAGGAUAACGUGUGCGUCGUCGUGGUGGACUUGCGACGGAAAGAAGCCGCGACCGCCGCGUGAUGAGCGCGACGCGCGAAGGACGGAGGGAGGGAGGGAGGAGGGAGGAGAGCGAGCGACGCGACGCGACGCGACGCGACGGAUCGACGGAGAACGAACGACGGGCGGCGCGUCGAGCGCGAGUAUUAUCAACUACACUAACAUCAGCGAACGACACGGAUCGCGUCUCGUCUCGUCCCGUCGCGCGGUGGGGCGCCCUAAUUAUGAGCUACGGAUAGAUCUACCGCGGACGUUCGGUUCGUCCGGUCUCGCGACGGACCGACGUCUUCCUAAUACACUGGUCCCCAUACGACCCCGUCGGCGUGGUGAACGCCGAUCCUUAAGGACUUUACGAUCGGCGUCACGAAUUCAUCAUGGCGUACGUCGCCGUGAGCGCCGCCCCCACCGUCAGCCCGAGCGCGAUCGCGUCGUCGCUCAACUCUAUGAACGGUUUCCGCGGCGGCGGCGGCGCGAGCGCCGCCUCUCUCGCGCGACGCUCCUCCUCCGCCUUGGCCUUCGCGGCCUCGAUCCUCUGCCUCCGCGUUUUAAGGUGCGCGUGUUCCUCGUCGCGGAAGAACUGCGACUCGGAUUGCCGCGCGACGACGCGCGGCUCCGCGAGCGUCUUCCGCGAGAGGUCGUCCCCGCCGAUCGCGCGCGUCCAACGCGCGCACGACGCGGGGGGGGAGGAGGAGGAGAAGGUCGACGACGACGACGACGCGAGUCGCGAGGACGCGCGGCGAAGCAUCGCGCGAGAAGUUCUGUCGAGCGCGCGGCGGUCAUCGGGUCGAACCUGUAGCGAUUUCAUCGCGUCGCUGAAAGGAUUGAAAGGUCCUCGGUACGAACCCGGGUUGAAUAGUCCUUUUCAUCGCGUAUCGAGGUAUAUUGCGAAAGGUCCUCGGUACGAACCCGGGUUGAAUAGUCCUUUUCAUCGCGUCGCUGCGCUUUUGGUACUGUAUAUUGCGAAAGGUCCUCGGUACGAAUACAGUAGUCCUUUCCAUCGCGUCGCUGCGCUGUCGCUCAACACGCGAAAGGUCCUCGGUACGAACCCGGGUUGAUCGGCGGGGAUUUCUCUCGAUCGCUUUUUUAUCCGGGGCGCGAGUCGAGGGUUCCGUGACAUCCGCCACCGCGCGAGCCCCCCCACCCGCGCGCGUCUCGCAAGAUGAUGCACGCCGCCGUCUCGACGACGACGACGACGACGACGACGACGACGACGACGCACGCGGCGCCCGCGAUCGGUCGCCGCGUCGCGCGUCCCCGCGCCGCCGCCGCCGCCGCGUCGUCGUCGUCGUCGCCUCGAGGGCGACGGCAAUGUCACCCGAGGGUUUCGGCGCGGCAUCGCCGACCGAGUCAUCAUCCCUUCUCCUCCUCCGCGCCGGUUCACGUCCACCACCGCCACCACCACCACCGCGGCGCGUCGACGCGCGUCCCCAACGCGGUGUCCCCGCCGGGCACCGAGGAAGAGAUCGACGACGCGUUCACGCCGCAGCAGCUCGGCUUCAAGGACAUCGUCUCGCUGUGGGUCACGCAAAUCUUACAGGCGCGUUCUAUGUCACACUGGUCCCCAUACGACCGCGUCCGCGUGGUGAACGCCGAUCCUUAAGGACUUUUCCCGUCGUCUCUCUCCGCCCAUCCCUCGCUUUCAAUCCCCGCCCUCGACGCCUUUCAAUUCCGCUUCUGACGCCUUUCAACUCCACCCCGACGUUCGCUCGUAUGGAACGACCCUCACAGACGUACGGAGACGAGGAGAGCAAAGACGGCGCGCCCGUCUGCGAGGGCUCCGUGGACGACCUCGUCGGCGGGCCCAUCUUCCUCGCGCUGUACCCGUACUUUCUGAAGUACGGCGGCGUCUUCAAGCUCGCGUUCGGGCCCAAGGUGUUCAUGGUGUUGUCCGACCCGGUCAUCGUCAGGCGCGUUCAUAUUAUUCACUCUGGUUCCCAUACGACCGCGUCGGCGCGGCGGCCGCCGAUCCUUAAGGACUUUUGCCGCCCGGCGUUCGUUUCUGUCCGCGCACGCCUCGCUGGUUUCAAUCUCCGCCCUCGACGCCUUUCAACUCCGCUUCUGACGCCUUUCAACUCCACCCCGACGUCGCUUCGCGUGGACGGAAUCGGAAUCGAAUCGCGAAUCGCCCUCGUCGUCGUCGUCAGAGAGGUGCUCAAGGAGAAGCCGUUCGCGUUCAGCAAGGGCGUCCUCGCGGAGAUCCUCGAGCCCAUCAUGGGCCAAGGGCUGAUCCCCGCGCCGUACGCGGUGUGGAAGAACCGCCGCAGGCAGCUCGUCCCGGGGUUCCACAAGGCGUGGCUCGAUCACAUGGUCGGUUUGUUCGGCGACUGCUCCGCGCAACUCGUGAAGAACUUGGGCGCGUCCCAUCUCACACUGACUGGUCCCCAUACGACCCCGUUCGCGUGGUGCACGCCGAUCCUUAAGGACUUUCUCUCCCGGCGCGCGUUUCUCUCCGUCCAUCACCCCUCGCUUUCAAUCCCGCCGCGCCGCGACGCCUUUCAACUCCACCCCUGACGCGCUUUGAACGAUGAUUUGGCCUCGAUCAGACGCGUCCAUCGCGGCGGGGAACGGCGUCGCGCGGAUCGACAUGGAGGAGCGCUUCUGCUCCGUGUCGCUCGACAUCAUCGGGCUCGCGGUGUUUAACUACGACUUCGGGAGCACGACGCGGGAGUCGCCGAUCAUCAAGGCGGUGUACACGUGCCUGCAAGAAGCCGCGCACCGGUCGACGUUUUAUUUCCCGUAUUGGAACAUCCCGUUCAUGUGCGACAUCGUCCCACGGCAGAGGGAGUUCAAGGCGAACAUGAAGCUGAUCAACGACACCCUCAACGGGCUCAUCACGCAAGCGCAGCAGUUCGAGGGGACGGAAGAUUUGGAAGAGCUACAGAACCGCGAUUACUCCAAGGUGAAGGACCCGAGUCUCUUGCGGUUCCUCGUCGACAUCAGAGGCGCGGACGUGACCGAUUUGCAACUGCGAGACGACCUCAUGACGAUGCUCAUCGCGGGCCACGAGACGACCGCGGCGGUGCUGACGUGGUGCCUGUUCUGUCUAGUGCGGGACAAACCUCUGAUGAAGAAAGUCGUGGAGGAGAUCGACUCCGUGAUGGGUCCCGUCGCUGAGGAAGCGCGAGCGCCGAAUUACGAAGAGAUCCAAAAGCUCGAGCUCGUGCGCCUGUGCCUCGCGGAGGCGCUGCGUCUCUACCCGGAGCCGCCGAUCUUGAUCCGGCGGUGUUUAGAGGACGUCCCGCUGCCGAAGGGCGCGGGCGACGCGGACGUGACGCUGAUCAAAGGCAUGGACGUGUUCAUCUCGGUGUGGAACUUACACCGGCACCCGGACUGUUGGGAGGAGCCGUUAAAGUUCGACCCGUUUAGGUUCAAAAAGCCGUAUUCGAACCCGGGGGUGAAGGACUGGGCGGGGUACAACCCGGACUUGAUCAGCGGGAUGUACCCUAACGAGGUCACGAGCGAUUUCGCGUUCGUGCCGUUCGGCGCGGGCGCGAGAAAGUGCAUCGGCGAUCAGGCGCGUUCAUGUUUACACUGGUCCCCAUACGACCGCGUUGGCGUGGUGAACGCCGAUCCUUAAGGACUUUUGCCGCGCGUGUUUCUCUCCUUCCUUCCCACGCUCUCAAUCCCGACACACCUCGACGCCUUUCAACUCCGUUUCUGACGCCUUUCACCUCCAUCCCGACGUCGCCUCGUGUGGGCGAUUACCCUCAGUUCGCGAUGCUGGAGGCGACGAGCUGCCUCGCGAUGACGUUGCAACGGUACGACUUCGAGUUGGAUAAGGACGCUGCGGAGGUUGGGAUGGAGAUGGGGGCGACGAUUCACACCGCGGGGGGGUUGCCCAUGAGGGUGACGCGACGGAAGUAGUCGUAGUCGGUCGGUCAUCGGCGACGAGGGUACCGUCUAAUAGAGCGGACGGCGUUUGGUUUCGUAGUCUAUGAUGAUAAAACGGUGAACCUUUUUUUUUUCCUUCUGUUAUCCGUUGCGUCUCGGACGAGCCGAAACGCGGCGCGCGGCCGCGGCGUGUCGACCGGUCCGCCGCGCGCGGGCCGCCGCGCGCAGAACAGCCGCCGCCGCGCGCGCCGACGAACGCACGCGUCGAUCGCGGCCCGGCGUCAUGCCCCCCGCGCGCGAGUCUUCGCGUGCGUCCUCGUCCUCGUCCUCGCGUUGCCUCUCGCGACCGUCGCGCGUGAAGAAGGCGGCCGCGCGUCGUCGUCGUCGCUGAAACCCUCGGCGACGACGACGCGCCAGACCGGAACAACGACGACGACGACGACGACGACGACGACGACGACGGACGCCGCGCCCGCGGAGGCCGAAGACGACGCGCCCGCGACGCCGACGCCGACGGCGGACGCGCGCUCGCCCCCCGCUGUCGUCGCCGCGCCCGUCGCGACGCCGACGCGGACGCCUCUCGCGGCCCGUCCCGAGUCGACGAACCCGAACCCGAACCCGACGACGACGACGACGACGCGCGAGGCGCACCGCCCGCGCCCCGCCGUCGCCGCGGAGACGGACGAGGUGGAGGAGGAGGAGACGCAGGUCCCUCUGGACGCCGCCGCGGACGUAGGCGACCCGAGCACAAGGCACAAGAAGAAGAAGAACAAGAAGAAGAAAGAAGACCACCAUGGAUGGAAACCAUCGCCGUCGCCGUCGCCGUCGCCGUCGCCGUCGCCGCCCGAGAAGCCCACGGAGGCGGCGAUCGUCGCCGCGUGCUGCGCGGCGUCGUACGUCGUCAGUUACGGCGAGGCACGACCGAGCGCGCCGCGGCCGACGACUCUUCGCCCGCGCGGUGAAGUCGCCGACGCCGCCGCCGCCGCCGCCACCCCGACAUCAUCGGACGCGCGACAUAAGGGAGGAGGAUACGAUGGGAUGUCCUGGAAAGAGUGGAAGGAGCGGCAGGACUGGAAGUACGAGCACGCGCACGGCGGCCACCACCACGACGACAAGCCGUACUACCCCGAAGACGCGUGCAGCGAGUACAUGCGCGGCGUCGUCGACGUGUGCUGCGAUCUGAAGGGCCGCGCGCGCGGGGUGACGUACGAGUGCGGUACGGCCUUGGUGGACGGGUGCUGCGGCGCGGGGCCGUCGCCGUCGCCGUCGCCGUCGCCUGGUCCCGGUCCCGCGCCCGCGCCGGCCCCCGGCCCGGAUCCGGGCCCGGCUCCCGGUCCCGCGCCAUCGCCGUCGCCAUCGCCGUCGCCAUCGCCGUCGCCAUCGCCGUCGCCGUCGCCAUCGCCGUCGCCGUCGCCGUCGCCGUCGCCCUCCCCUUCUCCCUCGCCGUCGCCGUCGCCGUCUCCGGAACCCGACGGGUGCGGCGCGACGUGCGUGAACAACUGCGUGUCGAACUGCGUGUCGAACUGCGUGAACAACUGCGUGAUGUACUGCGGGCGGCAUUGCGCGGAGAAAGAAGAGCCCAGCGCGUCGUACGCGAAGCGCGAUCCUCGGAAGCUUCGGAAGCGCCGGAAAAAUACGCGACGAAGCGACGACGACGACGACGGGAACGGAGGUGGCCGAUGACAGACGCGCGAGCGCGAGCGAAAGACGACGAAGCGAAGGAUACGUCGUGUUAGUUUGUAUGUUUUCUCUGAUGAUGAUGUCAAUGCUUGACCGACUUAAAAGUUGUCCACGUCCGGGGUGUCGUCCGGGAUGUACGUGUCCUCCACAUCUUUCAAAAAGUCCGCGUGCAGGUCCACCUUCUCCUCGGUUUCUGCCGCGCGCUUAGUCGCCUUCUCGCGCUCCCACCGUUGGCACACCUCCUCCCAGUUCGGCAGCGCCUCGGCUUUCUCCACGAAGAGUUCGCCGUCGCGAAUCACCAACACGCCGUCCGCGCCGUGCUCCUCCGCGCCCUUAACGCUCUCCACGCGAGCGUUACCAUCGUUAUCGAGGACGAUCACCGGCUUCGUGAAGUCCAGCUUGCGAUCGAACGCGUGCUUCUCGUCGUGCGGGUUUUGCGCCCACACGAGAUACACCUUCGUCGUGUUCUCCUCGAGCGUGUCGUAAUCCGUCGGGCCGCCGCUCUCGUCGUGGCUCUCCUCCCGCCGCAGCUCGCGCUCCGUCCACGCCACCUCGUUGUAAUACCCUGGCGGUAUGUGCAUCGCCGCGGACGUGUCCACGCGCUGCGCUUCGCCCGCGAAGUUGCCGUCCUCGCGUCGCUUCGCGGCCAUGAUCUCCCGGACGUCGAGCCGGCCGUCGUUGGUUCGCGCGAUGAGGUAAUCGACGCCGUGUAAUCGCAACGGAUGGUACGACUCGAAGUCUUUGGGCAAGCCUCGAGGGAUGACCUCCUUGAAGUCCUUCGCGCUGCUGACGUCCGCGACGAACCCGAGCUCCGCGCCGCCGUCGCUCUGCGACGGCAGGUCCAGAGAUCCAGACUUCGUCUGUCGGACUUUUUCCGACAAAUCCGGGAAAUCCCGCGGCGUCACCGGCGGAUCGUCCGGGUGCCGCUCCAAUCCCAUCUCCCGCGCCAAGUCCUCCUUGCUCCAGCUCCCGUCCACGAAGGACAAGUACCCCGCGCUCCGCGAGAAAAACUCCCCCUGACCAGUCACGCGCUCGUCCGCGACGAAGCCCUCCAUCCCCGGCACGUCCUCGAACCCGGGCGCGUUCAGAGGCGCGUCGUAGUCGUUCAAUCCGACGACGUCGUUGAAACCCAACGGGUCGUCCGCGAAGAUGUCCCUCUUCUGGGUCCCCUCGGCCCCCAUCAUCCCGCCGCCGCCGCCGCCGAAGUCGUCGUCCUCGACGCGGUCGGGGCGGCGUCGUAACCCCGUCCGAGAGUCGCCCCACUCGUAAUCGCCGAGCUGCUCCGGCUCGCGGAAGUAGUCGCCGUCGUCCGCCGCCGCCGCCGCCGCCGCCGCGGGCGGGGAGGACUCCGCCGCCGCCGCCGCCGCCGCCGCCGCCGUCGCGGCGUCGCCGCCCUCCUCUUCUUCUUCUUCGUCCUCUUCUUCUUCUUCCUCAGCCUCCUCCGCCUCUUCCACCUUCCUCGCCGCGAGCUGCGACGGCAACGUCCCCGCCUUCGCCGCCGCGGCGUCCGCGGCCACCGCCGCCAUUUCGCCGCCCGUCGUCCCCACCGACGUCGGCGUCUCCUCCGACGGCUUGCGUCCGAGCAGCGUGAGAAAGUCGUUGUCCGUCGUCAGAGCCGCCUUCAACCCCUUCGGCGGCGGCGUGCUCUUCGCGACGCCGACGAUGGCGCGUAUCGCCGCCUCCACGGGCGCGGGCGCCUUCGCGCCCGCCGCGCUCAGGCUCCCGAGCGUGUAGUACGCGUUCUCUUCCGGCGCCCAGAUGCACACGGCGGGGCACUCGCGCUCGACGGCGUCGCCGACCCAGCACACUUUCCAGCCUCUGCCGAUGGAAGAGAGCGGCGCGUGCGCGCCGCUGGGUUCGAUCCCGUGCUCCUCCAUCGCGUCCACCCACCGCUGCUUCGGCCACUCGAUGACCGCGCUCGGCGGCAGCGGCGACCCGGCCGCCUCCGCGGCGGCGGCGACGACGUCUUGAGAGAUGACCCCCGCGGGGCCGUGGAAAUCGAAGUGGACGCCGUACUCCGCGUGGAACGCCGCCGCGGAGACGCCGCGCCCGACGCACCACUUCGCGACGCACGUCUGCGGCUCCGGCGCCGGUUGACGUUUCGUCGGUCGAUCGGUCGCGCCUCGCGACGCUUCGCCUUCCCGAGUGAGAAGACCAAGACCGUCGCCGCCGUCGGCGUCGUCCGAGCCGGGGUAGGGCGCGGCGGCCGCCGCCGCCGCCGCCGCCGCCGGGUCCGUCGCGAUGGCGUACGCCUCGGCGAAGCUCGCGUUGGCUUCCUUCUUUCGGAUGCUCUCGAUCGCGGCGAUCACGCCGUCCGCGUCCGUAUCCGCCUUGGCGUUCGCGACGCCGUUCUUCACGUCGGUCAUGGUGUAGAAUCGCCGCUUCCCCGGGACGUACAGCAACGCGACGCCGUGCUCCGCCCAGCAGAUUCUGAGGGUGAUUGCCCAUACGCGCGAACGUCGGGGUGGAGUUGAAAGGCGUCAGAAGCGGAGUUGAAAGGCGCCGAGGUGUGUCGGGAUUGAAAGCGAGGGACCCUGGGAGGAGAGAAUCGCCAGGCAAAGUCCUUAAGGAACGACGUUCACCACGCCGACGGGGUCGUAUGGGGACCAGUGUGAUAUAGAACGCGCCUGAAUCCUCGCAGCGACGGCACGGACGCGAACGUGUCGAGGAACGUCACGUCCCCUCUCUCCGGCUUCGCCGCCUCGAUCCAGUCCUCCUUCCUCCAGUCGCUGCUACCCGUCAUCUUGAUCCCCUUCGCCUCGCACGCCUUGCGCGUGAUCUUGCGGCCGUCCGUCGACGACGGCGUCGUGAACGCCCACGCGAGGCCGGUGAGAUCGUGUAGCUCCACCGCGUCCCAUCCGACGCCGCCGCUGUCGAGCGGGUGCGGGUUAACGCGCGGCGGGCUCGGCGUCGUCGACGUCGCGGAGAGCGCGAACGAUCCGAGCGCGGCGGAGGAGGGGGAGGGGGAGCUACACGAUCUCACCGGCCUCGCGUGGGCGUUCACGACGCCGUCGUUGACGGACGGCCGCAAGAUCACGCGCAAGGCGUGCGAGGCGAAGGGGAUCAAGAUGACGGGUAGCAGCGACUGGAGGAAGGAGGACUGGAUCGAGGCGGCGNNNNNNNNNNNNNNNNNNNNNNNNNNNNNNNNNNNNNNNNNNNNNNNNNNNNNNNNNNNNNNNNNNNNNNNNNNNNNNNNNNNNNNNNNNNNNNNNNNNNGUCGUCCGCCGCGGGCACUUGAGAGAUGCUGCGGCGACGCGGACGGCGCUGAGACGACGACGUCGCCCCGCGUCCGCGCGGUCGCCGCGCGGAAUCGGCGCGCGCGCGAUCCACGCGCGCGCCGCCGUGGCGGAGGUCGCCAUCGUGGAUUGGAUGGACGACGCGCUCGAUGCGUGACGUGCCGUGCGGUGGCGUCGACGGCUUUGCCCGGCGGCGGAGGCAAUGUCAUUUCGAGGGUUUCGUCAGCGGUCGGCCGUGCCGGUCGUCGCGCUGCGCUUUGUGCGCUUUUUCUGUCGGCGCGACGGCAGUCGCGUCGCGCGCGCCUCCGCAGACGAUGAGGCUCGCGCUCCCCGCCCUCAGAAGCGCGGCGUCGACGGCGUCGCGGCGGUCCGCGAGUCGAGCGGCGGCGACGGUCCGAGGCGCGCCGUCGACCGCGGCGGCAGCGGCGGCGAUGCGACGGCGGGGACGCGGAAUCUCAAACGGACGCCGUGGACGACGCGGAAUCUCGCUCUUCUCGGCCACCGCGUCGUCGUCGUCCUCCUCCUCCUCCUCGACCCCCGCGUCUUCGAUCUACGGCAACCCCGCGCUCUACGAGCUCGCGUUCGGGUUCAGAGACUUCGACGACGAGGUCGCGUUCGUGAAGCGCGUCAGCGAAACGCUCGGCGUCGGCGCGUUUCGCUCGAUGCUCGAGCUCGGCGCCGGCCCGGCGUGGCACACGACGUCCGCGGCGUCCAUCGACGGCGUCCGCGCGGUCGCGGUGGAUCUCGACGCCGCGAUGGUGACGCGCGCGAACGAGCGCAUCGAGGAGGCGGGUUUGGGAUCGCGCGCGACGGCGAUGCGCGGCGACAUGAUCCGUCUCGACGUCGACGCGACGCGACGCGCGCUGGCGGAGAUGAUGGGGGGUCCCGGCGGCGGGGCAUCCGACGAAAGCGACGGCUUCGACGCCGCGUGCGUGCUCCUUGGAACCGCCGCGCACCUCGUGGAGACCGCGGACGCGAUCGCGACGUUCGAGUCGAUCGGGAGGUGCCUCAAGCCCGGCGGCGUGUGCGUGCUGGAGCUGGAGCAUCCCUACGACCUCUUCGACGGGGGAUUGUUAGGCGCGUCGUUCUUUUCUACGCGACACUGGUCCCCAUACGACCGCGUUCGCGUUGUGAACUUCAUUCCUUAAGGACUUUCUCUCCCGGCGUUCGUUUCUCUUCGACACUCAUCCCUCGCUUUCAAUCCUUCAAUCCCGAAACGCCUCGACGCCUUUCGACUCCGCUUCUGACGCCUUUGAACUCCACCCCGACGUCGCUUCGUAUGGGCAAACACCCUUCCUCGUCAGACCCGACCGGGGACGCGUGGGACCGCGCGUUCGAGGAUAAGCGCGUGCUCGUGGAGUGGGGACGCGAGGGCGACGCGUUCGACGUCAAGACGCACGUCGUCACGCGGACGGUGGGGUUGAACGUCGUCGACACGGUGAAAGGGACGCCGGUGAAAGGGUGGGACCCGGUGGAGGAGCGGGUUCGGUGCAGAAUUUUCACCCACCCGGAGGUGGCGUUGAUAGGGGACGUCGCCGGGUUCGACGUCGUGGAGACGUUCGGGGACAUGAAAGGCGAGCACGGGUUAGAGGACGAGGACGCGCAGAACAUGGUCAUCGUGUUGAAGAAGAGAUGAGACGCGACGAUCAGACCGAACGCGAACGCGAACGCGAACGCUCUCUUUAAAUACGACGCCGUAGUCUACCGGCUGGCGUCACGUUUUUCUACUACAGUUUGAGUACUCGUAGCGCGGCUAAUAAAUCGGUCGAACGCCCUCUCCCUUCAGCAUCAACGUCACCCUCUCCGACUUGGUCAACACGUCGUCCCAGACCUGCGCUUCCUUUCGCAGCUCCUCCCCGAGCGCGAGCGCGUCUCGAAGCGCGAGCAGCUCGUCCGAGCUGUCCAUGUCGAGCUCCACGCCCGCCGACGUCAUCCCUUUCGGAUUCAACCCCAGCCUCGCCGCGAGCUCCACGACGUCGCCGUCCGCGGCGGCCACCUCCGAGGCGUAGUGCGUCGCGACGGCGCACGGGCGACACCGGACGCCCUUGUGCAUCUUCGCCGCGAGGUGGCACAUCGCGUCGGACUCCUCGAAUCGAGACGCGAGCGGGGAGACGCCGGCGAGGACGGAGAGCCGCCCGGACCCGCCGAACGCGUGCGCCAUCAGACGCUGUGGAACCACGUGGAGGUGAUCGAUUGGUCAGCGUGCGAUCCGACGUGAAGACGUGGAAGAAAGAUUCGAUGACGUGUAAGAAAGAUUAGAUGACGUGGAGGGAAGCGCGGUGGAGAACGCACCGUGAGUUUCGAAUCGCGGUGCGGGACGUGCGACCGCGCGUCGUGGAGGCUGUCCACGACGCGCGUCAGCGCCUUCAGCGCCGCGUCCUCCGCGGCGCCGCCGCCGCCCGAGCCCUUCUUCCCCCCCGCGGCGCCGCCGCCGCCGCCGCUCCUGUCCACGCCCGCGAAAUCGACAAUCUGCACGCGCGCGACUGUGGGUCGUUCCAUACGAGCGAACGUCGGGGUGGAGUUGAAAGGCGUCAGAAGCGGAGUUGAAAGGCGUCGCGGUAGUGGAUCGAAAGCGAGGGACCCUGGGCGGAGAGAGACGACGGCAAACGUCCUUAAGGAACGACGUUCACCACGCCAACGCGGUCGUAUGGGGACCAGUGUGAAGGAGAACGCGCCCGUCUCGCGAUGCGGCAGAAAGAUGCCCUCGUCGUCGCACUCGCCCUCCCUCGUCCGCCUUCGCACGUUCACCUGCAGCAGACAGUGCACGCGCUCACCGGACCCGGACCCGGACCCGGACCCGCCAGACCCUCCACACUGCGCCUCCUCGUGCUUGAACCCCGCGAGCGCGGCGGCGACGAGCCGCUGGAGCUCGUCCGCGUCCGUCGCGACGACUUCGAUCGCGCCCUCCGCGAAAAAGCCGCGCGUCGGGUGUUCUCGCACGUCGAUGCGCGUCGGCGCGCUCUCGCCGGCGCCGUGAAACGCGCUCCGCACGCUCCGCGCGCCUUCGCCUCUUCCGCCUCUGAGUUCGACGCGCUCCGGGUCGAACACGCCGCCGCGCUCGAGCCCGACGAGGUCUAACCCCGUCGCGAGCGCGUCUUUUAAAACCUCGUGCGUUUUUCGUUUGUUCGGAUUGAUCGCCGACGCGUCCACGGGAGCGGUGAUGACGUCCGCGAUCGCUUGCAAGGAGACGAUGAACUCGUCGUUCUCGCGCUCGCACACGUCCCCGAUCGCGGCGAAGACGUCCGCGGCGAUGCGCCCGCAGACGCCCAUCUGGUCGAGAGCCCCCCCGUUCGCGAAUGAGGAUCCGGAUCCGGAUCCGGAUCCCCCGCGAACGAGGCUCGAUUUCCCGCAUCCGUGAAUGCCCAAACACGCGAGCGUCGCGCUCACGCCGUCCUCCACCGCGCCCCUCACCGCGGCGCCGAAUCCGUCGCGCGCGCACGGGUUCGAUCCGGACGGGAUCGCGCCGGUCGCGACGCUCCCGCCGCGGCGCAUGACGACGCUCGCCGGAUCGGGAUGCGCGCCCGUGGGCUCGGCGUCGACGCACGCGCUCGCGGCGUGGCGGCGUCGGAUCGACUGGAGUUCAUAGGCGUCAGAUGGAGUUGAAAGGCGCCGAGGUGUGUCGGGAUUGAAAGCGAGGGAUGAGCGGAGAGAAACGCCGGCGGGUGGAAAAGUCCUUAAGGAUCGGCGAGCACAACGCGUGCGGGGUCGUAUGGGAACCAGCGUGAGAUAGAACGCGCCGUCUUCGGGCGGCACAUCGUGACGGUCACGCCGCCUCCCGCGGCGAACGACCCCUCCGGCGCCGCCGUCACCGACAUCGUCGUCGGCUCCGUCGCGUCGUCGUCGUCGUAGUUCUUUCCUCCUUCUCUUCCUCCUCCUCCGCCUUUCGACCUCGCGCCUCCUCUCGCCGCACUCUUCGCCGGCGCUCCGAAUACGAUCUUCGGGUUCACGCUGCCGCGGAGGAGCGCCACGUGCGCGGGCUCCUGCGGCGGUUUCGGCGCGCGACGGGAUGAAUGCGACGACGCCGACGAAGGCGUGGACAGGUUGGACCGCGCGCUGCCUGGUCGAUGAAGAAGCCCGCCGCCGCCGCCCGCGAAUCGAUUCUGAAGGCGCGACGCCGGCUGCCCCGGGGUCAAACCGUGCGCGCGCGACCCCGGGCGGUCGGCGCUGAGGGGCCCGCCGCCCGGGGUCGCGGCGUACCGACGCGCGUAGGAUCCCGAAGAACCGCCGCUCCACGGCGUCAUCGGGGGCUUCCCCGCGGACGGGAGCGACGACGACGACGGCGACGCGUCGACGAGGUCGUCGUCGUCGUCGUCGUGAUUUCGCGACGGCGCCGGCGACGGCGCCGCGGACGCGACGCCGACGCGUCCGCUCGACGGCCGCGCCGCGGACCGCCGCGCUUUCAGCGCCGCGAGCCGGUCCGUCGUGCUGCUCCGCGGCGGCGCCGCGUCGCCGCUGGACGGAUAAGGACGUUGAUGGUGAUGGUCCGCGCCCCGAGAUCCUCUCGCGAGAUCCGCGGAAGAUGAUGAUGGCUCCACGUUCUCUUCCUCGCCGAAGCGCGCGCCGAGGCUCCGCGCGACCGCGCCGCCGGCCUCGCGCUUGCUUCGGAACCGCUCGAGCGCGGACGUGCGCGGCCGCGACGACGACGACGACGGCGGCGGCGCGCUCAUGACGAGACGACGACGACGACGACGCGCGCGCGAUGCUGUGACGCCGCGCACGCUGGCGGUCAACGAUUCGAACGGAAACAUUCGCCGCGCCGUUGAAGUGCCGAGUGGUGGUGGCCGCGUCAUAAGCCCAAAUCGUCGUCCCGGCGCCUCGCGACGGACGCACUCCGUCGCGCGCCGGCCGCGAUGGCGCCCAAGGUUCCGGGCGCGGUGACCGUCGCCGGCGGGCUCGCCGCGGUCGCGGGUGCGCGCGCGCGCCGCCCCCCCCUCCGCGUCGCUCGCUCGCUCUCCAAUCCGACCGCGCCCCUCCCCCCCCCCAACGCCCGUCGUCGACAGCGCUCCCUCGAGAGGACGCCGCGCACGCGGCCGCCGCGCUCGGCGCGCUCGGCUCCCUCGGCGUCCUCCUCGGCGUCUACCGCAUGCCGCUGAAUCGCUGCCGGUGCUCGAGGGAAGCGCGCGACGAGGCCGCGGCGCGCUCCUCUAAGCGGGGGGACUCGGGGUCGAAGAAGCGUCACGGCGCGCGUCGGAUGCUCCCGCGGCUGCACUGCGGACGGUGCCUGAAGCGCACGCGCGGCGGGAUCGCGGUGUCGUUUCUCACGUCGCCGAUCUACUGCGCGUGCGCGGCCGUGGGCAUGACGCAGGCGGCGCACGUCGUCGGGACGCCGCUGCUGGAGAAGAUCGUCAAGCCGGCGGUGAGGAAGGCGCGAUCGAUACGAGGACGAGGGCGAGGCGGGGACGAGAGGUAGAGGAGCUAGGAUCUAGUUGUGGAUGCGACUCGGCGAGAAGACGGCACGCGAAAACGCGCGCGAAAUCCGUUCAAAAACCAAACUGUCAUCGCCCCUCGGACGCCGCGACGACCGCGCGUCGUCGCGCAUCACUCCGCGACCGCGCGGCGCCCCGUCGUCCGUCAUGGCGCACGUCGACGCGUCCCCCCCCGUAUCGCCGGCACCGGACGUCGUCGCGGUCGCGCCGCCGCCGCACCCCGGGAAACUCGCGCACGCGCGCGUGGAGCGCGCGCGAUGGAAAGAGCGCGUCGUCGCCGCGCGCGCGGAAUCAGAUCGACCUCUGCAGACGCUCCGAGAGAACGCCGCGCGUCAUCGUCCCGCGCCUUCCUCACCGCGGCCGGAUUGGGUCGGCGGCGCGACGCGCGAAUACGAGGACGAAGAAGCCCCGCGGACUCGCGCGGCGGUGACGUGCCACGACUCCGUCACCGGACAGAGGCUGUUCGUCGCGCGUCGCGUGCAUCGUCGCGAGACGCCGCACGCGUCGACGGCGACGACGACGCGAACGGACGACGACGCGAUCGACGACGACGCCGACGACGCGUCGACGCAGCCGGUGCUGUUCGCGGGCGGCGGCGACGUCGCGACCGCGCUCGCGUCGCGCCUGCUCGACGGCGGCUUCCCGCUCGUCCUCGCCGCGGCAUCGUCGUCGCCGUCGUCGCCGUCGUCGCCGUCGUCGUCGAACGAGGAGCGUCUCCGGUCGCGCGGCGCGACGCUCGCGUCGUCCGUCGCCCACGGCGCGCGCCUCGUCCUCGGCGCGUGCGCGAAGGUGGGUACGCCGAGGCGGUGGGGCCCGGGCGAGCGCGCGAAGGCGCUUCGGGACGCCGCGAGGCCCGGCGGCGGCGGCGGCGGCGGCGGCGCCGCCGCCGAGCCGCGCGCGCGUGCGAAGUGCGUUCUAUACACUGGUCCCCAUACGACCGCGUUCGCGUGGUGAACGCCGAUCCUUAAGGACUUUUCCCGUCGUCUCUCUCCGCCCACCCCACGGUUUCAAUACCCGCCCUCGACGCCUUUCAACUCCACCUGACGCCUUUCAACUCCAGUCCGCCGAAACCGCCGCUUUUGGUCGCGAUGUGCGACUCCGAGCGCGAGUUCAUUUCGCGCGUGCUCGACGAGCUCCUGCGAGGAGACGACGAGCCGAUGGAGGCGUCGUUCAACACGCCCGGCGGCGAACCCGCGAUGUGCGUGUUGAACCUGACGCCGAUGCCGCCGCUCGCGGUGGACCGCGCGAGGUGCGAUUUCCUUACACUGGUCCCCAUACGACCGCGUCCGCGUGGUGAACGCCGAUCCUUAAGGACUUUUCCCGGCGUCUCUCUCCGCCCAUCCCUCGCUUUCAAUACCCACCCUCGGCGGCUUUCAACUUCAACUGACGCCUUUCAACUCCACAGGGCGCGUUUGAACGCGGUCGGGAUCGAGUUCGUGCAGGGCGCCGUCGCGUCGCGAGACGCGAGGGACGCCGUCGACGGCGGCGCGCACGUGUUCGUCGCGGGGGGUAGGCGGCGCGGUGGUAGGGUCGGGGUCGACGGGCUCGGCGGCGAGGACCGCGACGACGACGGCGGCGACGACGACGACGACGACGACGCGACGGUUCAUCCCGCGUUCGUCGACGUCGACGCGGCGUUGCGCGCGAUGACCGAUCGGGCGUACGUGAUCGAGGGCGCGGACGCGACGGCGGCGGCGUCGACGAGAGUCGUCAAGGCGUGGAGCGAUAACUUCGCGGACGCGGUGUCGAGGUAUCGCGUCGAGGCGAAGGAGGCGACGAGGGCGGCGGAGGCGCAGCGGCGGCGCGCGGACGCGGCGGAGCGGGAACUGUCGCGGUUGGAAGUCGCGUCCUGCGCGGCGGCGAAGAAAUGCCGCGCGACGGAAGACGAGCUCGCGCGCUUACGCGCGACGCGCGCGCAGACUGAAACGCGCGCGAGCGAAGCAUCACGAGCGGCCGCGGCCGCGGUGGCGGCGGCCGAAGCGCGCGACGCGGAGACCGCGGCGAAGAUCGCGAAGGCGACGGCUGACGCGCGCGACGCCGCGGACGCGGCGCGGAGAGACGCGAGCGCCGCGGAGGCGUCGCGCGCUGCGCUCGAGCUCGAGAUGGCGACCGUCCGCGAGGCGCUCGCGGCGGCGCGAAUUCGCGCGGACGCGGCCGAGGCGCGCGCGACGCGAUCCGACGCCGCGGUCGCGGACGCGGAGCGCCUUUCGGCGGCGGCGUUUGAGGCGGCGACGCGCGAGGCGAAGGACGCGAAGGACGCGCGCGAUUCAGGCGCGUUCUAUACACUGGUUCCCAUACGACCGCGUUCGCGUGGUGAACGCCGAUCCUCAAGGACUUUGCCCGGCGUUUCUCUCCGCCCACCUCUCGCUUUCAAUCCCCGACCUCGGCGCCUUUCAACUCCAUCUGACGCCUUUGAACUCCACCCCGACUUCGCUUUGUAUGGAACGACCCUCAGCUCGCGUCGCGGAGACCGCCUCGAUCGCGCGCGCGGACGCCGCGGACGCGCGCGUCGAAGCCCGCGCGGCCGACGAGCGGCGGCGACGCGAGGCGGCGGAGGCGCGCGCGGCCGAGGCGGAGGCGAGCGCGGCGCGGCUCCGAGGCGAAGCGGAGACGACGCGCGCGGAACUGACGUUUGAACGCCAACGCGCGGCGACGUCGGCGGCGAAAGGUGCGUUCUAUCUCAUGCACACUGGUCCCCAUACGACCGCGUUGGCGUGGUGAACGCCGAUCCUUAAGGACUUUGCCCGUCGUCUCUCUCCGCCCAGGGUCCCUCGCUUUCAAUCCCCGCCCGCGUUUCCUUUCAACUCCGCUUCUGACGCCUUUCAACUCCACCCCGACAUCGCUUUGAAUGAUGGAAUGGCCGCGAAAGCCGCCGCGGAGCGCGCGGCGUCGACGGAGGAGAGAGAGACGAUGCGCGCCGCGCUCGAGGACGCGCGCGUCCGCGUCGCCGCGCUCGAGGCGUCCGCGAGCGCGUUCGACGCGCGGGGCGACGAGGAGCGGCACGCGAGCGCGAUGGAGUCGAGGGCGCUUGCGGCGCGCGUUUCAAAGUUGUGCUCCGAGCUGGAGACCGCGCGCGUCGAACGCGACGGCGCGACGAAAGCGCUCGAGAGCGCGAAGGAGGAGCGCGAGUCGGCGGUCGGCGCGCUGAAGCUGGAGAUCGAGCGUUUGAGGGCGACGACGCGCGCGACCCGGGUCGACGCGGGAGAGAAGGAGGAGGAGGAGGACGACGACGAGGAGGAGGAGGACUCUACGGACUCUAAGGGUCGAAAGAAAGGCGGCGCUUCCGCGAGGAGAAAAGCGACUCGGAAAAGUCCAAUCGUGAGCGCGGACGCGGCGGGAUGGGCGACGGCGACGGAGCAGUGCAAGACGCUCACGACUCGGCUCUACAAAGAGCGCGCGCGCGUCGCGGAGCUCGACGGGAAGCUGAAAGCGUGCGAGUCCGCGCUCGCGGCGCUGCGAAAGACGAGCGAUCUCGAGAUCGAUCGGCUGAAGGGCAAGUUGAAAGCGAGAGGGGUCGCCGUCGCGAGGCUCGAAGCCGAACGCGACGGGUUGAGGACGACGUUGAAAGGGAAGACCGACAUCGCGGACGCGUUCGCGGCGAAAGCGCGAUCGGACGCCGCGAUCAAGAGCCGCCUCGAGAGCGAGCUCGAGAGCGUUCGCGCGACGAGAGACGCGCUCGAGCUUCGCGCGGCGGAGGCGCGAAAAGCGCUCGAUCAGGCGCGUUCUAUACACUGGUUCCCAUACGACCGCGUUCGCGUGGUGAACGCCGAUCCUCAAGAAAUUCUCCCGCCGCAUCUCCACGCCCACCCCUCGCUUUCAAUCCCCGCCCUCGACGCCUUUCAACUCCAACUGACGCCUUACAACUCCACCCCGACAUUCGCUUGUAUGGAACGACCCUCAGAACGCGGCGGCGUCCGCCGCCGCCGUCGCGCGCGCCGACGCCGCGGAUGCGGCGCGCGUCGCGCUCGCGACGCGCGUCGCCGAGCUCGAAGCCGCCGAGGCGCAGUCGCGAUACGCGAUGGCGCGCGUCGCGGAGGAUCUGGACCGGUCCGCGUGCGAUGCGACCGCGCGCGCGGAGGAGUCGUCGCGGCUUCGGAUCGAGUUGGAGGAGACGACGCGGCGACUCGCCGCGGCGCGCGGCGACGGCGGCGACGUCAUCGAAACGGCCGUGAACGAAGCGUUACUCGAGCAAGCCGGCGCGCACGAGAAGGCGAUGGACGCCCUGCGAACGACGCACGCGUUCGAUCUCGAGGAGGCGACGCGCGCGUACGAGGAGACGGUGGCGCGGUUGGAGAGAGAGAAGGAGGACGCGGCGGCGGCGGCGGUGGAAGCCGCAGAGGCGGCGGACGCGAUGGCGCGACGAAUGGAAGAAGACGCCGCCGCCGCCGCCGCCGCCGCGGUCGCGGUCACGGCGAGAAAGAAAAAGGCGAGAGCGGACGAGGAAGCCGCGGAGGCGCGGCGCGCCGCCGCCGAGUGUCGGACGAGUGUCGGACGGUCGUCGGACGAGAAGCCGCCGACGGCGCCGAAGCCGAAGCCGAAGCGCGCGUCCGACGAUCCGAAUCCGAAUCCGAAUCCGAAUUCGACCGCCGCCGCCGACCUCGCGGACCCCGCGCUCGUCAUGGACGCGAUGAUCGCGAACGCGGACGAGCUCGACGCGCUCGCGCCCGCGAAGCGCGCGAUGGAGGCGUCGUUCCAUCGCGUCCCGGAGCUUCGAAGAGCGCUGACGAAGAUGGCGGAUGGCGCCGCGAAGCCGACCCCCGCCGUCGCCGUCGCCGCGACGCUCGCGUCCAUCGUCCUCGGGUCCGCGUCCGGGUCCGGGUCGAGCGACGCCGGGGAUGGGCCGUGGGUCACGCGUCUCCCGCCGCGCGUCCGCGACGGCGACUCGCCGGAGCUCCUCGCGGCGUUCGCGAUGAAGACGUUCGACGCGAAAUUUUUGGCGCCGGAGGUGCGUUCUAUACACUGGUCCCCAUACGACCCCGUUCGCGUGGUGGACGCCGAUCCUUAGGGACUUUGCCCGUCGCAUCUCCCCGCCCACCCCUCGCUUUCAAUCCCCGCCCUCGGCGCCUUUCAACUCCAACUGACGCCUAUGAACUCCACCCCGACGUCGCUUUGAAUGAUGGAAUGGCCCGGAGACGCGGCGGCGAUUCGGCGGCGGCCGCGUCGACGCGCUCGCGACGCGAAUGGAACGCGCGGACGCGUGCGACGCGGCCGCGCUCGACGCGUCCCUCGCCGCGAUGAGAGCGCUCGAGAGGUGCGGGUUCGGGGAGGCGCAGUGGGCGAACUGCGGCGACGCGGUCGCGAGGGCGUUGUGGGAGUGGAGCGCGACGACGACGCGCGUGCGGCAGGUGCGUUUUUUUGGUUUUUUGGUUUUUUGGUUUUUUUGAUUUUUUGGUUUUUUUGGUUUUUUGUUUUUUUUGGUUUCGGUCGAUCGGUCUUCUGUCGUUCGAUUUGGUUUUUGAUCGGUCCCGUCUCUCGUUUUCGGUUCGAUUUCAUCGAUUUCAUCGCCCGCGUUCGAAACUGACCCGCCGCCCACCGCGCUCCGCGCGUCCGCAGCUCACGAUGCGUCAGGCUGAGCUCGAGAUGGCGAUGGAGGACGCGGAGGAGCGCGCCGCCGUCCAGCGCGGGAGGGCGAAGGCGAGCGGCGCGCCCGCGCGCGGGGAGAGCUCUCCCCCCUCGGUACUGACGUUGUAGGUAGUACACGUCGUUUUUUUAGACUAAUUGCUCGGUCGCGAAAUCGUCCGUAUCAAACGCGGCGUCGGUCGGUCGGUCGGUACCAGCAGGGCGAUAAAAUCUCUCGCGUCGCGCGAAACUCGUGGUCGACGUGGCUCGUCCUCGCCUUACCCCCUGGCAUCUCGUCGCUCCCGAGUCGUCGCCACUCCGCGACUCGCGCGCGCACACUAUGGCGUCGCACUGCGCGAAACCCUCCGUGGCGCCAUGGCGCGCGCCGCCGCCGCCGCCGCCGUCCUCGCCCUCGACGUCGACGUCCAACCGCGGCGGCGCCGCCGCGGCGACGCCCGCGCCGCGCGCGUCGUCGUCCCCGCGCGCGGUCGCGGUCUUCCGACGCGCGUCUUCGUCGUCGUCGUCCUCGUCGUCGCGCGGGUCCUCGAUCCUCGCGCGCGCGGUGGAGACGCGCCAGGGAGUCGGGACCUCCUCCUCCUCCUCCUCCCCGCCGCCGCUCGUCCCCGCGACGCCCCCGCCGUCGUCGCGGAUCGUUCCGGGGAUCCCCGGCCCCGUGCCGUCCGUCGAAUCGCUCGAAGCGCUCGAGAUGGAGAAGGGCGCGUGCGAGAUCACGUCCCGGCGCUACACCCCCGCGCUCGUGCGCGAGCGCGCGCUUCGCACGCCCGUCGAGGCGAUCGCGACCGCGGCGCGAGGCGCGCAGAUCGUCCUCGCCGGCGCUGGGUUCGCGGCCGGGCUCGUCUUCGACAAGUUCCGCGCCGCGGAGGACGUCGUGAGCAGGAGCGACGAGCUGAGGAUUCUCCUCGCCGAGCUCGGGCCGUCGUUCGUCAAGGCGGGGCAGGUGCUCGCGAACCGCCCGGACAUCGUGCGCGCGGAUUACAUGGAGCAGCUCACGAAGCUUCAGGACGACGUCCCGCCGUUCCCGAACGACCAGGCGUUCGCGAUCAUCGAGGGCGAGCUCGGAAGGCCGAUCGCGGAGGUGUACAGCGCGAUCAGCGACGAGCCCAUCGCGGCGGCGUCGUUGGGUCAGGUGUACAAGGCGACGUUGCGAGAGACGGGGGAGGAGGUCGCGAUCAAGGUGCAGCGGCCCGGGAUCGAGCCCAUCAUCUACCGCGACCUCGUGCUCUUCCGCGCGCUCGCGUUCUUCAUCAACGCGGUGUCGCAGCGACGGCUCGGGUGCAACGCGCAGCUCAUCGUUGACGAGUUCGGGGAGAAGCUCCUCGAGGAGCUGGAUUACGUGCAGGAGGGACGCAACCUGCGCGACUUUUACGCCAACUUUAAGAACGACCCGAUCGUGAAGAUCCCGAGGCUCUACCCGGAGCAGAGCGGCAAGGCGGUGCUCACGAUGGAGUGGAUCGAGGGCGUCCGAUGCACGGACCCGGACGGGAUUCGAGCCGCGGGGAUCGACGUGGAUACCUUCAUUCGCGUCGGCGUCAUGAGCGGCUUGCGGCAGCUGCUCGAGUUUGGGCUGUUUCACGGCGACCCGCACCCGGGGAACAUCUUCGCGCUGCGGUGCGUCCACGAAUUGAAUCGCGCGAAACACGUUACGUUUUUGACCCCUUUCACCCGGUCACACCCGGUUUCAACCAAUGCUUGAUCGCGCCCAGUUUCAGCCGACUGACUGACCGACCGACGCGCGGAAUCGAAUCGCCUCGUUCGUCGUAUCGUUGCAGGGACGGGCGAAUCGCGUACGUGGACUUUGGAAACGUCGCGCAACUGACGCAGACGAACAAAGAGACGCUCAUCGACGCGGUCGUGCACGCGGUGAACGAGGACUACGACUCCAUGGCGGGCGAUUUCAUCCGCCUCGGGUUCUUAUCCCCCGGCACGGACGUCCGACCGAUCGUGCCGGCGUUGGAGAACAUCUGGCAAGACGCGAGGUGCGUUCUGAUUCACACUGGUUCCCAUACGACCGCGUUGGCGUGGUGAACGCCGAUCCUUAAGGACUUUUGCCGUCGUCUCUCUCCGCCCAUCCGUCGCUUUCAAUCCCCGCCCUCGGCGCCUUUCAACUCCGCCAACUGACGCCUUUCAACUCCACCCCGACGUUCGCUCGUGUAGAACCGCGUCGCUCGCGAAUUUCAACUUUCGAACCGUAACCGCCGCGUUCAACGAGCUCGUGUAUCAGUACCCCAUUCGCAUCCCCGAGCGCUUCUCGCUCGUGAUUCGCUCGCUCCUGACGCAAGAGGGCAUCUGCAUGACGCUGCAGCCGGACUUUCGGUUCCUGGAGGUGGCGUAUCCGUACGUCGCGAAGAGGCUACUCACCGACCGCGACGCGAGCCUUCGCGAGCGCCUGCUUCAGGUGCUGUUCAACAACCAGGGCAAGUUCCAGUGGGCGCGCCUCGAGAACCUGAUCUCGCUCGCCAAGUCCGGCGGCGACGGGUCGAAGUUGGACCUCACGGACACCGUCGCGGACGGCGCGCAGCUCUUGGUCACGGACGAGGACCUGCGAAGGCGGCUCAUUCUCGCCGCGACGGAGGACGACAGGCUGCGCGUGGACGAGAUCGCGCGGCUCGCGGAGCUUUUGCGGGACGACGUCAAGGUGGACGAGCUCGCGAGGGAGGCGGUGACGGGCGGGCCGGAGUUUCUUCGGAAGAUGGCCCUGAGCUGGUCGCAGAAGGUGCUCAGCAAGUGAUCAAUCCGCGUCGGCGGGCGACGGAAGACCUACAGUACGGCAUCUAUUUUUUCCAAUCGUUUUUUCUUUCUGUUUCGGGGGAGGGGGGGUCCCGACGCGACGGCCGAGGGGGCGGCGGGGAGGUCGCGAGGCGCGGCGGGCGGCUCGCGGCUCGGGACGGUGUACCACAUAUUACUUACGCGCGCGCUGUUUCGUGAUGAAUACGACGUAGAGCUAUGCUAUCAUCGCGCGCGCGACGACGAGCCGCCGCCGAAACUUCGCGACCGCCGACUCGAGUGAAAGUACCGUAGUUCGAACGGAAUACGUAGUACGGCAACUGUAUGAUACAGUAUGCGUAUCAUCAGUCUAAAAAUACGAAACUCGAAACGCGCGCGAUCUCGAUCCACGUGUCCCCUCCUCCGGCGGUCAGGGGGUGCCGGCGCGGAUAAAGGGACCGACCGAUACCGAUCGACGUCGCACGCGCGCGCGCCGAGCGACGCGCACGCCGCCGCGCUCCUUCAGGGCACGCCCAUCCCGUCGCUGUCGUGACGUGACGUCCGUCGCCGACGCGCGAUAUGGCGAUGGCAAUGGCGACGACGACGCGCGCGUCGGCGACGCGCGUCGGCCGCGUCGUCGCGCCUCUCGCGACGCGAACGACGCGAUCGGUCGUCGCCGCGUCGUCCGUCGUCGCCUCCGCCGCGUCUCCGCGUCUGGCGACCGUCCGCCGCCGCGCGUCCGUCGUCGUCGCGUCCGCGUCCGCGUCCGCGACGAAGAGAGACGCCGCGGCGCCGCUCGCGGUCGUCGACGCCGCGCCAGCGCGCCUUGUGGACGACGAUCGACCCCGCGAGUCGUCGUCGUCGUCGUUCUGGCGAGCCAUCGCGCCGAAAACGACGAACGACGACGACACCUCCGCGUCGAUCCUUCGCGCGCUCGCGACCGGCGGCCUCGCGUCGCUCGCGCUCGCGUCGCUCGCGCACCCGGAGCUCGCGCGCGCGGGCGAGGACGCGCUCGCGCUCGCGGCGGAGGAAGACCCCGUCGGGCUCUUCGACGGCUUCCUCUCCGCCUUCCUCCUCAUCUUCUUCAGCGAGAUCGGCGAUAAGGCGCGUUCUGAUUCACACCGGUCCCCAUACGACCCAAUCGGCGUGGUGAACGCCGUUCCUUAAGGACUUUCUCUCCCGUCGUCUCUCUCCGCCCAGGGUCCCUCGCUUUCAAUCCCGACACACCUCGACGCCUUUCAACUCCGCUUCUAACGCCUAUGAACUCCACCCCGAUAUCAUCGCUUUGUAUGGAACGACCCAAAGACGUUUUUCAUCGCCGUGCUCCUCGCGCUGCAGCAGGACAAGGCGACGGUGUUCGCGGGAACGUUCGGCGCGCUGGCGGUCAUGACCGUCAUCUCCGUCGGCAUCGGGCAGGUGUUUCACCUCGCGGACGAAGCCCUCGCGGGAUUCGGCGCGUCGUCGUGGGACGAUUACCUCGCCGUCGCGCUGCUCCUCGUGUUCGGCAUUCAGGCGCGUUCUAUCUCACACUGGUCCCCAUACGACCGCGUUGGCGUGGUGAACGCCGAUUCUCAAGGACUUUCUCUCCCGGCGCAUCUCUCCGCCCAGGGUCCCUCGCUUUCAACGCCCGCCCUCGACGCCUUUCACCUCCGCUUCUGACGCCUUUGAACUCCACCCCGACAUCAUCGCUUUGUAUACAACGACCCUCAGACCAUCUUGAGCGCGGAGGAGGAGACCGCGGAGGAGGAGGAGGAGGACGCGAAGAUCGCCGUCGCCGGGAUGGAGUUCGACGGCAACGCCGCGCUGGUGCUGAGCACGUUCGCGCUCGUGUUCGCCGCCGAGUGGGGGGAUAAGAGUUUCAUCGCCACGAUCGCGUUGUCCGCGGCGGCGAGCCCGGUGGGCGUCAUCGCGGGCGCCGCCGCGGGGCACGGCGUCGCGACCGCCAUCGCGGUCAGCGUCGGGGACAUCCUGAACAAGAGCGAUCUGGUGAGCGAGAAGGUGAUCAAGUACACCGGCGGCGCGUUGUUCAUCCUCUUCGCGAUCCUCACCGCGCUCGAAAUUCAGUGAUGAGGCGAGCAAGCGAGGAGGACGACGGACGAAAAGUUUUUAUUCGAUCUAUUUAUUAAUUACUCAACGCGCGUGCGCGUACCUCAAACGCCGCCGCCGUCGUCGUCGCCGCCGCCCUUCUCCUCCUUCUCAACAACCUCGGGCGGGGAGAACAUCGCGAUCGGCAGCGGCGACGCCUUCGGCUUCGGCUUCGGCGGCGGCGCGUCGUCCUCCUUCGCGCUCGCGGCGACCGCGUCGCUCCGGCAGUCCCCGGGCGAUCGCAUCGCGCGCAUCGCCGACGCGGCUCUCCGGUCGAUCCGACGCGCGAUGGCGUCGGACGUUUCCGACAUCUCCGACAGCUUCCAUGUCCCCCGCGGCGGGCUCCGCGGCGGCGGCGGCGGCGUCGGCGUCGCGCGCGUGAGGCGGUCCACCGCGGCGAUCACGGGCGACUCCCAGUCCCACGCCGCCGCGGAGGGACUCCUCUCCCGGGGUGUCGGGGUGGCGGCGGCGGCGGCGUCGUCGACCGCGCCUUCGUCGACCGCGAAACCGAACCUCGACCCUCGCCGCGAGGUUCCUUUGAACCCGUUCCACGCGACCGAAAACGCGUUGAACCCUCCAUUUCCCGUCGCGUUCGCCGCCUCGAGCUGCGCCCGGAGCGCCUCCACCUCCGCGCUCUUCUCGCGCAGCGUCCGGCCGACGCUUCGAAGCUCGCUCUCCGCGCGCUUCGACGACGGCGACGGCGUAACCGCCGCGUCGUAGCCGUUACAAGUGUCACCGCUGUUACCGCGCCACGGCAUCGGCGACGUCGCGAUCUCUCUGCGACUCGCCUCCGCGGUCGCUAACGCGUCCUCGAGCUCUCUGCGUCUCUUUUCCUCGUCCGCCUUGGUCUCGAUCAUCGCCGCGACUUUUCGCUGCAUCGUCUCCGCGCUCUUCAACGCCGCGAUGGCCCUCGCGCGAUCCGCCGCCGCGGCUCGAAACGCGCCGUCGAACGCCGCGGUCUGCCGCUUCGCGUCCACGACGACGCCGACCGCGUCGGUUCGUAUCCCCGCGAUCGCGUCCCUCACGGCCACGCGCGUCAGCGUCGCGACGUCCUCGCUCUGCUCGAUCGCCUCCCUCGCCGCUUCCUUCGCGGCGGCGACGCGCACCGUCAUCGCGUCGAUCGCCGAUCGCGUCGCGCGCGUGAACGCGUCCGAGUCCUUCACCGCCGCGACCGCGACCGCGUGCGCGUUGACCGCGGCCGCCUCCGCGCGGACGGUCAAACGCUCGCAUCGCUCGGACGCGGUCAACGACGUCGUCGUCGCGGCGGACAUGUCCGUCGACGCCUCCGCGGCGACCGUCGCGUGUUCGCGCGCCGCCGCCGCGUCCGCCGCGCACGCCGCCGCGUCGGACGAGAUCCUCUCCGCGAGCGCCGCCGCCUUCGCGGUCGCCGCCUCGGCGCCGUCCAUCUUCACCGCGACGUCCGCUUUGAACGCGCCGAGCUGAUCGGCGACCGCGUCGAUCGCGUCCGCGACGGCGGUCUCGACGAGCGUCGCGCGCGUCGACGCGCGCGCCUCGCCCUCGGCGACGCGUCGCUCGAGCGCCUCGGCGCUCGCGACCGCCUUUGCCGACGCCGCGACCGCGUCGCCCGCGUCCGCCAGCACGCGCUCCGCGACGUUGACGCCGUCGGCGCACUCCCGCGCGCACUCGAGCGCGAGCUCCGCGGCUCGCCUCGCGUCGGCGACGCGCGCUUCCGUCUCCGCGCACCGCGCCUCGAUCACGGCGGCGCGCUUCUCCGCGCGGACGACGCGCAUCCACGCCUCGUUCGCCGCGAGCUCGUGGCCCUCCUCCGCGGCGACGCGCGCUUUGAGCUUCUCCUCGACCGCGGUGAGUUUUAUGCGCGCCUUGGAGAGCUCCGUCGUCGCCGUCGUCGCUUCCGCGGCGGCUGAGGGUCGUUGUAUACAAAGCGAUGAUGUCGGGGUGGAAUUCAAAGGCGUCAGAAGCGGAGUUGAAAGGCGUCGAGGGCGGGCGUUGAAAGCGAGGGGUGGGCGGAGAGAUGCGCCGGCAAAAGUCCUUAAGAAUCGGCGUUCACCACGCCAACGCGGUCGUAUGGGGACCAGUGUGAGAUAGAACGCGCCGCUCUCCGCGGCGGUCGCCGCCGCCGCCGUCCUCGCGUCCACCUUCUCCGCGAGGCGCGCGAUGGCGGCGUUGAGCGCCUCCGCGACCGCGGCCUGGUCCUUCGCCCACUCCUCCCUCGCGUCGUCGCGAGUGCGCUGAAGCUCGCGGCGCGCGGUGGCGGCCAUCUCGUCGCGGACCGCCUCCGCGGCGGUUUGAGCGUUUUUUUUUGCCGAGUCGUCCGCCGUCGCCGCCGCCGCCGCAAACGCCGCCGUCGCCGACUCUGCAGCCUCGACGCGCGCGCGCAGCGCGAUGACCGCCUCCCUCGCGCGCGACCGUUCGUCUUCCACCGCGUCCGCGACGGUCGAUAUCCGCGUCGCGACGCGCGCGUCGAGCGCUUCGAUCGCCGCCGCGACGCGUCGCGUCGCGUCGCCGGAUUCCGCCGCGGCGCGGUUUUCCAGUCUCGCCGCCGCCGCCGCCGCCGCAUGUGCCGCCUCCGCCGCGUCGUCCACGCGCGCGUUCAACCGCCGCGACAGCGACUCCACGGCGUCCUCGAGCAACACCGCGCGCGAGGUGGCGAUCGACGCGGCGUCCGCCCACCCGGACGCGCGGCGUUCCGCGUCCUCGUUCGCUCUUUCCAACGCGGCAACGCGCUCGGCGAGCGCUCCGACGUGCGCGUAGACGUCGCGCGCGCGGUCGUCGUCGCGACGGUUGAUAUCCACCGCCGCCGCCGCCGCGGCGCGGUGCGAGGAGGCGCGGCGUUUGGAAGACGAACGGUCGCGGUCGCGGUCGGCGCCGGCGCCGGCGCCGUCUCCCCCGCCUCCGCCGCCGCCGCCGCCGCCGCCGCGCGAUGCGCGAUGCGCGCGCACCGCCGCGCGCUCCGACGUCGUCGACGCUAUGACGUCGCGCUGUUCCUGUACCGUGCGCUCUAACGCCGCGAUCCGCGCGAGCGCGUCCGCGGCGGUGGCGUCGACGGCGGGCGGCGGCGGCGGCGGCUCGACGGUGGUCGCGGGUGGUUCGUUCUUCAGCGGCGAGAGCGACGCUCGUCGCGCGAUGAGUCGCGUCCCCGGCUUCGGCAUCGCGCCGCCGCGCGCGCCCGCGCUCGCGGCGGUCUCGAACGCCUUCGCCAUCGACGCGACGGAGCCUGCCGUCGCCACCGGCGCGGCGUUCUCGUCGUUCUCGGCCGCGACGCCCUCGGCCGCGGGCGUGAUGACAUCGUACACAUCUCGCUGGCAUCCACGAGUCGCGCCGUCGCCGUCGCCGUCGCCGUCGCCGUCGCGCGGCGCCGCCGACGCCGCCGUCGGCGGCGUCGCCGCGGCGUCGCGCCCUCGCGCCGUGUGCGACGCGGCGACCUCGCGCGCGAUCGCCGCGACGUCGACGUCCGGGAGGCGCAUCGUCGAGUGCUCGUCGCGACGCUCCUUCCUCUCGGCCGCGACGAAACGGUCGGAUAUGAUAAAAGAACCGGAACGCGCCACGCGCUUUCCGACUCCUUGCCGACUCUUCGCGGAGCUCUUCAUCGCGCGGCGCAAAAUAUCAAGGGUCACCCGCGACCGCACGCGCGCGCACGCAUCAUGGCGUUCCCGCUCCUCCGCGCCGCGCGCGACGGGCUCGCGACGCGCCUCAUGAGCGCCGCGCCCGCGGCGUCGACCGCGAUCUUCCAGGUGCGUCGUCGGCGUCGAGUCAGUCCUUAAGGAUCGGCGUCCACCUCGCGAACGGGGUCGUAUGGGGACCAGUGUUCGAGUCGUUCGAUCGGUCGAUCGCUCGCACGGUUUUGGGCGCGAAUGAAUGAUGUUGAAUUAUUCCGCGCCGAUCGCCGCCGCCGCCGUCGGCCGCGUCGUCGCCCGCCCNNNNNNNNNNNNNNNNNNNNNNNNNNNNNNNNNNNNNNNNNNNNNNNNNNNNNNNNNNNNNNNNNNNNNNNNNNNNNNNNNNNNNNNNNNNNNNNNNNNNNNNNNNNNNNNNNNNNNNNNNNNNNNNNNNNNNNNNNNNNNNNNNNNNNNNNNNNNNNNNNNNNNNNNNNNNNNNNNNNNNNNNNNNNNNNNNNNNNNNNNNNNNNNNNNNNNNNNNNNNNNNNNNNNNNNNNNNNNNNNNNNNNNNNNNNNNNNNNNNNNNNNNNNNNNNNNNNNNNNNNNNNNNNNNNNNNNNNNNNNNNNNNNNNNNNNNNNNNNNNNNNNNNNNNNNNNNNNNNNNNNNNNNNNNNNNNNNNNNNNNNNNNNNNNNNNNNNNNNNNNNNNNNNNNNNNNNNNNNNNNNNNNNNNNNNNNNNNNNNNNNNNNNNNNNNNNNNNNNNNNNNNNNNNNNNNNNNNNNNNNNNNNNNNNNNNNNNNNNNNNNNNNNNNNNNNNNNNNNNNNNNNNNNNNNNNNNNNNNNNNNNNNNNNNNNNNNNNNNNNNNNNNNNNNNNNNNNNNNNNNNNNNNNNNNNNNNNNNNNNNNNNNNNNNNNNNNNNNNNNNNNNNNNNNNNNNNNNNNNNNNNNNNNNNNNNNNNNNCCUCAACCCAAACCCUAAACCUCCUCCUCCUAAACCUCCUCGCAGCGCCGCGCGACGUUCGCGAAGAAGACCGGCGCGACGACCGACGACGGCAAGAUGAUGAUCGACGUGCCCAUCCCGUUCGUCGCGCACAGAAUCGACCCGCCGUCGCAGACCGUCGAGACCUCCAAAGCCGAGAUCGUGGACAUGUUCACGCAGUCCUACCUCAUGCGCCGUCUGGAGAUCGCCGCGGACGUUCUCUACAAGGGGAAGUUCAUCCGCGGAUUCUGCCACCUCUACGACGGGCAGGCGCGUUCUAUCUCACACUGGUCCCCAUACGACCGCGUCGGCGUGGUGAACGCCGUUCCUUAAGGACUUUGCCCGGCGAUUCUCUUCGCCCAGGGUCCCUCGCUUUCAAUCCCCGCCCUCGACGCCUUUCAACUCCGCUUCUGACGCCUAUGAACUCCACCCCGACGUCGCUUUAAACGAUGGAACGGCCCUCAGGAGGCGGUGUGCGUCGGGAUGGAAGCGGCGCUCAACAAGGACGACGCGAUCGUGACGUCGUACCGCGACCACUGCACGCACUUGGGGCGCGGUGGGACGCCGUUGGAGGUGAUGGCGGAGCUCAUGGGGCGAAUCGACGGCGCGAGCAAGGGCAUGGGAGGGAGCAUGCACAUGUACAAGAGAGACGCGCACUUUUUCGGAGGGAACGGCAUCGUCGGCGCGCAGGCGAGUUCUGACUGGUCCCCAUACGACCGCGUUCGCGUUGUGAACGCUGAUCCUUAAGGACGUUCUUUUGCCGCCCGCCCGCGCGUUUUUCUCUCCGCGCACCCCUCGACGGUUUCGGUUUCAACGCUCGACCCAAUCUACGACGCCUUUCGACUUCGACUCUGACGCGCCUUUCGAAUCCGCCGCCGCCCCGAAUGAAUUUACGCAGACGCCCAUCGGCGCCGGGCUCGCGUUCGCGAUGCAGUACGAGAAGAAACCCAACGUCGCGGUCGCGAUGUACGGCGACGGCGCGGCGAACCAAGGGCAGCUCUUCGAGGCGCUCAACAUCGCGGCGCUGUGGGACCUGCCCCUGAUCUACGUCUGCGAGAACAACCACUACGGCAUGGGCACCGCCAUCGCGAAGAGCGCGAAAUCGCCCGAGUACUUCAAACGCGGCGACUACGUCCCCGGUUUGAAAGUCGACGGCAUGGACGCGCUCGCGGUGAAGCAAGCGAUCAAGUUCGCGAAAGAGCACUGCGUCUCCGGUAAAGGCCCGAUCGUGCUCGAGAUGGACACGUACCGGUACCACGGGCACUCGAUGAGCGACCCCGGGUCGACGUACCGCACCCGCGACGAGAUCACCGGGAUCCGACAGGAGAGGGAUCCGGUCGAGAGGCUGCGCAAGCUGAUCGUCGAGCACGAACUGCUGGACACGGCGGAGAUCAAGGCGAUCGAGAAGGCGCAGAGGAAGAUCGUGGACGAGGCGGUAGCGGCGGGGAAGGCAUCGCCGGAGCCUCCGGUCGAGAAUUUGAUGAAGAACAUGAACCAGAUCAUGGACAACGUCGUCGUCAGGGGCGUUGACUCGGAGGCGCGGACGCACCUCACGGAGGCAUACGGGGUGAAGUGAGGAGCGCGAGCGAGGCGAGGCGAGGCGGCGGCGGUGCUGAGAGACGACGGACGACGGCGUAGCCGCGCGCGCGCGUCCGCGUUUUGUAUUCUUUACGUCGAUUGAAUUGAAUUGAUUAUGAUUCGCCGUCCCAUCACGCGGCGCCGUUCUCAAGCAGCGGCAGACGGACCGCCGCGUCUCCGCCGUGCCCUUCUACUCUCUCGCGCGCUCUUCCGCGCGUCGCCGUCGUCGGCGUCGCUCCUCCGCGACGGUUGACGUUCCAUCUUCCGCCGUCUGUCGCCGCGACGUCGUCGUCGAUGUCCACGCCCGUCGUCCGAACCCGCCCUGCGACGCGAUGAAGAGACACGAGGGAGGGUGACGAGAGCGUCCUCAGCACUACGAAUCGGCGCGACGCGCGACGCGCGUGCGGAUGGGGGUCGUAUCGUAGUAUGGGUAGCAGUCAGUCAGGUCGCACCCGCGUGCGCGGAGAUCACGCCGGCGCCGCACGUGAUGCACGCCAUGCCAAUCAACGUGACCCACGUCGGGACCGCGUUCACCCCGACCGCGUAGCCUAUGAACGCCGCGAGCACGGGUUCGAACAGCAUCACGAUCGCGACGACGGUCGGGGAGAGGUACUUCAACGCCGCGACGUACCCGGCCGUGCCCGCGAUCGUCCCUGCGAGAUUCGAUUCGUCGGUCGUUAUUAUGUUACAGGGUCAAUCGGUCAAUCGAAAGGGGUCGAAAGGGAUCGAACGUCGCGUCGAAACUGAACCGAGCGCUCACGCGCGCGCACCUAACACGCUUAUGAACAACUGCAAACCGAUCUGCUCUCGCGUCAACCACCCGAGGACGCCAACGGCGGGAUCGAACGGCCGCGAGAACGAUAUGUCUUCCAAGAUCAUCGCCGCCGCGAGCGACAUCGGAAGGUUGACGACCAUGGACAGCCACAUGUAGUGCGACAGCUCCACCUUUGCACGAAAUUUCUUCGCGAGCACGAGGAAUGCCGCGCCGAAGCACGCGCUCGAGGCGGCCACGACGUCGCCAAUCACCGUGGGCGUCCACCGCGGGCACGGGCUCGCGGCCGGUGACAAGGUUGAAGACGACGAUGAUGGCGCUGUGCGUGUUGGCGAGCAUGUACGCGUGCGCGAUAGAGCUCUCGACUGCGAGUGGUCGAGGUAAAGACACGUGCGAAAGGACGAAACGGAAGCGAAACGCGAAAAUAAAAACGCACCGAUGCCGUAAUAGAACCCCGCGAACCAGCCGCUCCAGCACACGGCGGUCACGAUCAUCAGCGCGAACGUCUUCGGGUCGCUCGCGCCUCGAAGCCCUUGCGUCCGCAGACUCCACAGCGCCCACGGCGCCAUGACGACGAUGCACGACGUCGCGCGCCAGACGCACUGCGUGAACGGCGUCGACUUCUGAAGGUCCACGGUGGCGCCGACGCCGGAGAGGGAAAUCGCCGCGACGAGCAGGAUGGCCCAUCCGACCCACGGCACGCUUCGCGUCACGGUGACGUUCGCGCGGAGGUCUUUCAGGGAGACGUACGACGCGGCGGCGACGUCGGGAGGGCGCGCGAGCUCGACGCCGCCGUCUGCGAGGCGAUCGGUCGAGGGGAAGAAUCGCGUCAGUCGGUCGCGCGCGCGCGCGCGAUUGGUGGAUACACGUCACACGUGUCAAAACGUGAGGUUCACAGCGCGCGAACGAAUGCACGCCUUAAGAGACGACGUGCGACCGACGGGAGCGCACAGGAGGGAAGGAGUCUCACCGCGUCGCGGCGGCGGCGGCGGCGCGCCGGCGUCCGCCGCGAUCCCAAUCGACGGCGGCAUGACCAUCUCCAGCGUGACCCUCUUCACCUCGCUCGGGAGCGAUAAGCUCGUGGACGUUCCGCCGCACGCGAGCGGCUUUCGGUCGAGCGAGCUCGACGCUCCCGGGCUCGCUUGCAUAUCCGGGACCGCGAAGAUGACGCGCCGAACGAGCACGUCCUCGUCGGGGUGGCACGCGUCGCCGUGGCCGCCGUGAGGGCCGUUCUAUACAAGCGAACGUCGGGGUGGAGUUGAAAGGCGUCAGUUGGAGUUGAAAGGCGCCGAGGGCGGGGAUUGAAAGCGAGGGGUGGGCGCAGAGACAGGCCGGGAAAAGUCCUUAAGGAACGGCGUUCACAACGCCGACGCAGUCGUAUGGGGACCAGUGUGUAGAACGUGCCUGAGGGGAAGGCGUCGUCGUCGCGGCGGCGGCGGCAGCGGCGGCGGCGGCGGCGGCUUCGGUCUCGCGCGCGGCGACGGGCGACGACGGCGGCCGCCGCGCGUCGUCCGGGAGCAGCGAUGCCGUCACGGGGAUGCCGAUGAUGUAUCCCCCGAGCGGCGAUGGCGAUCGAGGACUGCCGCCGCCGUUUCGGUUUCUUCGGUUUUUGUUAUGGUUUUGGUCGUCGUCGGGGGGCGUGAAAAUAAUUUCCAAGGUUCGACCAGACUCCACGUCGACGUCCGCGGCGACGCCGCCGCCCGCGGCGAAGAGCGCCGCGGACGCGGCCGCGAGCGACGCGUCCCGCGACGCCGCGCGGCGCGCCUUGCGCGCGAGCUGCGCGCGCGACAGCGAGCUGUGCGCGUCGUGCGCGGCGGCGCUGGGGGAGAACGACGCGGGAAGAAGAGGCGCGCGCGCGUCGUCGUCGUCGUCGUCGUCGAAGUCGUCGUCGUCGUCCUCCUCUUCCUCCUCCUCCUCCUCCUCCUCCUCGAUCGUUCCCGUCGCGUCGUCGGGGUGCGCGACGAGCGGGACGUCCGUCGUGGACGUCGAGCCGGAGAGGCCGCCGUUGCCGGCGGUCGCUUCGCCGCCGCCGUCGCCGACGCCGACGCCGACGCCGACGCCGCCGACGCCGCCGCCGCCGCCGUCGUCGCCCCCUAAAAGAGCGGUGAGCAGAGAGCGCGGGGUCACGUCGAGCCUCGACGCGACCUCGCGCAGGUCCACGCGCCGGACGGGCAGGCGCGGCUCGCGGGUCGAUGAUCGCGGCGUCAGCGGCGCGGGGUCUUCGCGCGGGGGCGACGGCAUCGUCGCGAUACGACGCGGGAGAGGGCGCGCGCGCUUCUGUCGAGCGGGCCAAAAAAAACUGAUGAAUGUCGUGUUAAAUCUUUCUGUUUGGUUUGGCGGAGAAAGCGACGACGAAAGCCCCCGGGGCUUUCCUCUUCCCCGCGCGCGUCAGCCUGAGCACGACACCGCGCGGCUGCAUACGAAGGAACGGGCGAGCGAUCGAACUACUAGUGAAUGCGAACGACGUCACUAAACUACGGUAGGGCCUAUAAUAUUAUAACCUCUCGUUGCGCGGCCUCCCUCGGCGAAAAUAAUAAACUAAAACAGAACGCUCUCGCUCUCGCUCGUCACUCGAUGUAAAACGCCGCGACUUUCAGCGGCCGCUUCCCGUCCUCCAUCGCCGGAUGAUCGUCGUCGUCCGCCUCCGGGGCGAUAACCUCCACGCCCGCGACCUCGCACCCAGCCUUCGUCGCACACUUCCGAACGAUCUCGAGCCAGUCGUCCAGACCCACCUUCGCGGAGUGAUUCGUCGCGACCAAGACGCCGCCCGGAGACACGCACAACGCCGCCGGUUUCGCGAGCGACUGGUAGUCGUUCUCGAUGUCCACGGCGCCGUAGCUAGUCUUCGUCAGCGUCGGCGGGUCUAAGAUCACCAGGUCGAAGCUCUCGGGUUUGAUGGGCGCGGAUUUCUUCAGCCGCCGCUUGUCCCCGCGACCGCGACCUCCGCGACCGAAAUCGCUCUUGCGUCUUCGCCCGGGCGUCGACAGACCCGCGAGCUGCCUCGCCGCGGGGUAAAAGUCCUCGCACAGCGACUGCGUCGCGGCCGCGACGUCGUUGAGCGCCGCGUUGCGCGCGCCGUAUCGCAGGUAAGUCUCGCUGUGGUCGGUGUUGAGGACGCGCGACGCGCCCGCGGACGCGGCUGCGACGCCGACGCCGCACGUGUAGGCGAACGCGUUCAACACGGAUACCGGUUUCGGCGCCGCCGCGGCGUUCUCGGCAUCCGCGUUUCGUUCCGAGACGAUCUCCGACACUUUAUCCCGGACCCACCGCCGCGUCGGGCGGAAGUCCAAGAACAGCGACGGGUCGCCGAACCGUCGCGGCGGGACGAAGUCGUACCGCAGACCGAGCUCGGAGAACGCGAACGCGGCGGGGUCGUCAUUCUCGUCGUCGUCAUUCUCCUCCUCCUCCUCCUCCUCCUCCUCGCCUCGUCUCCCCGCGCGGUCGUCGCCCGGCGCGAACUCGCCCCCCCCGUCCAGCGCGUACCUCCCUCCGCGCGCGAUCGCGUCGUCUCUCGACCGCCCCGCGUCGUCCGGACCCCACGCGAGCGCGCGCUUCGUCCGAGGUUGGUACCACAGACUCGUGAACGAUUCGCCGCCGUCGUCGCUCAGUCGACCCGCGCGCGCCGCCUCCGCGAUGUCUCGGAGCUCCGCCUCCGCGAUCGGCUCGCGCCACGACUGCACGUACAGCGCGUCGCCGUAUCGAUCGAUCGUCACCCCCGGCGCGCCCUCGCUGACGCCGUGCACGAGACGGAACGCGUCCGUGCGCUCGCGUCGGCAUCGCGCGAAGACGCCGCGCGCGGCGCGGCGAGAGACCGCGUCGACCGCGAUUUCCGCGAGGGACGCGGCGGCGGCGGCGCGCGGCGGCGGCGGCGGCGCGCGGCGUGAUGAGGAGGAGGACGCGAGCCUCGCGGACGCGACGCGCGGGGAUGGGGGAGGCGCGAGGGACCGCAUGAUGACGCGGGGCGCGAGUGGGGAGUGGCGGCGCGGGGGAGUGACGGCGCGACGCGAUUCGUUGUUAGCGACGACCGGACGAAACUCGUCGGAAAAGUCAAUAACAACCGCCCGCGCGUCCCAGAUCCUCGGGCGCGCGCCUCCCCGGUGCCUCGCCGGUUUCCUCCCCGCCAUCUUUUGUCGCGAUGUCCGGGGACACUCGAUCCGCGCUCGCGCGACUGAAAGCGUCGCGCUCGUCGCGCAGGCAGAACGCCCCCGACGGGUGCGUUUCCUCGCUCGUCGCCGCUCGUCGCGUCGCGCCGACGUAUUAUUCUUUUCAAACGAAACGAAAUGGUGCCGAGUUCUCGACCGUCGCGUCCCGCGCGCUGACCGUCCCCGUCCCCGUCCCCGUCCCCGUCCCCGUCCCGCGCAGCGCGUCCCCGUCCCCGCCCGCGCACUCCGCGGCGACGAGCCACCGCGCGGCGGACGAUUACAUGGAGGCGAUGGACGAGGGCUUCCGCGCGAUGGGCGUGGGAGGCUCGCGCGAGGCGGACGAAGAUGGCGUCGACGACGAAACCGUUCAUCAUCGCGCCGCUCCCUCAAGCGGCGCGCUUCUUCGCGGCGAGUCCGCGGCGCCGACCGCGAGCUCCUUCGCCGCGUCCCGCCCGGCGUCCGUCCUCGCCGCGAACUGGUUCGAAUCCCCGGUGAGCCAGCAGGGGACGGUGACGAGGCUGAGCGACCGACCGCUCGUGUGCGCCGACGUCGACGCGCUCGGCGCCAAGGCGUACGUCGGAGGUGAGGUUUCCAUGACCGCCGCCGAGACUGCUUCCCGUACGCUCGCGUUGGCGGGGUGAACGUCGUUUCUUAAGGAGUUUUGUUUUUUCGUUUCGCGCGCCGUGGACCUCACGUUCGUUUUGACGACACGGAAGAAUGAUAUACAGUACACCGAUAACGGACUGACGCGCGUUUUCCCUCGACCGAUCGCAACAGGCACCGACCACGCCGUGUACGAAGUCGACGUGAAGACGUGUAAAAAGUUACGCACUCUGUACACGAAGACGCACGGGCACAAGGAGUGGGUCACAAAAGUGCGAUGUCUCCCGGACGGCCGCGUGUUAUCGUCCGGGAUGGACUCGCUGAUUUGUCUGUGGGACGCGCGAGGGACGAGGUGCAGCGCGUUGGAAGGGCACAACGGGUCAGGCGCGUUCUAUACACUGGUUCCCAUACGAUCGCGUUGGCGUGGUGGACGCCGAUCCUUAAGGACUUUUGCCGGCGUGUCUCUCCGCCUACCCCUCGCUUUCAAUCCCCGACCUCGAUGCCUUUCAACUCCGCUUCUGACGCCUUUCAACUCCACCCUGACGUCGCUUUGUAUGGAACGACCCUCAGUGUCCGACGUCGCCGUCGGCGCGAGCGGCCUCACCGCGGUCAGCGCGGGGUACGACAAGACGUUGAAACUGUGGAAUCUCGCGCCGAAAGGGUUCACCGCGCGGAGCGAUCGGUGCGUCGGGACGUUGCACGGGCACAAAGCGCCGGUGACGACGCUCGCGUGGGGCGAACGACGCGUAGCGAAGAACGCUGAGGAAAAAAAAGACCAAGACGACGCGUCCGGCGGCUUGGGCAGCGGCGACCGCGACGGCGUCGUCAUGCUCUGGGACGCGGGCUCCGGCGCCGCGGUCGGACGGCGAGGCGGGCACAGAGGGCACGUCACGUCGCUGGCGUGGAUAGACGGCGGCGGCGGCGGCGGCGGCGCGGUCCUACUCAGGUGCGUUCUAUACAAACGUUUUUCACCCAUCGCCCGGUUUCAACAUUUGAUCGCGCCCCCUUUCAACUGACCGGUGAACUUGUUUUGUAUGGAACGACACUCAGCGGCGGUCAAGACGGAAAAGUGCACGCGUGGGACCCUCGCGUCGGCGGGACGUCGCCCGUCGCGUCCGUCGCCGCGCACGUCCAGAAAGCCGGCGCCGGCGCGGUCGGCGACAUCGUUCAGACCGUCUCCGGGGCGGUCGUCACCGCGGGCGCGGACGGUCACGUCGCGGUGAUCGACCCGAGGGCCGGGUUCGCGGCGAGAGGGAAAGUCGCGUGCGGCGAUUUCGUCUACUCGCUCGCGGCGAUCGGGCCGCUGGCGUUGGCGGGGACGGGCUCGGGGGGGAUCCACGUCAUCGAUAUCGACGUAACGGACGAACCUAAGACGUUAUAUGGUCUCGGCGCGAACGAAGCCGCGGUGCGAUGCGUGCACGCGAGCGAGGACGGGCUGUUCGCGGCGGGGGACGACGGCACGUGCAUCUCUUACGCGUUUUGAUGAGACGGCAUUUUUGCGGAAAAUCUAAUCGUAACUCUCAUCACUUCCUCUUCGCGCGCUUCCCUCCCGAGGCCGUCGCCGCGCCGUCGCCGCCGUCGUCGUCCGCCUUCUUCGCCGCCGCCGCCGUCGCCUUCGUCUUCUUCGCCGCCGCCGCCUUCGGCGCGCUCUUCCCCUUCCCGCUGAACGUCGCGCCUUCGCCCCGCUUAGGGUCGUUCCAUACAAGCGAAUGUUGGGGUGGAGUUCAAAGGCGUCAGUUGGCGUUGAAAGGCAUCGAGGACGGGGAUUGAAACCGUGGUGUGGGCGGAGAGAGACGACGGCAAAAGUCCUUAAGAAACGGCGUUCACCACGCCAACGCGGUCGUAUGGGGACCAGUGUAUAGAACGCACCUUAAACACGAACGUCCUCGGUUUCGUCUCCUCCGCGAAGCUCCACUCGCCGGCGACGCCUCGAAACGCUUUCAACCCCUCCGUUCGCGUGAUCUUGUUCACCGCGACGUGUCGCGCCAUCGCGCCUCGCGCGGCUUUCGCGUGCACGCUCGGCCCGGGAAACACGCACGUGUACGUCGCUAUCCCCGCGCGUUCCAGAACGUCCGCGCGAACCGACUUGAAGGGUUGUUCCAUACGAGGCGACGUCGGGGUGGAGUUCAAAGGCGUCAGAAGCGGAGUUCAAAGGCAUCGAGGUGUGUCGGGAUUGAAAGCGAGGGGUAGGCGGAGAGAUGCGCCGGGUGGAAAAGUCCUUAAGGAACGGCGUUCACCACAUCGACGGGGUCGUAUGGGGACCAGUGUGAGCUCGAACCAAACCUUGAAGUACUCCGCCGACGCGCAGUUCACGACGAAUCGCUCCUCGACCGGCUGCUCCAUCAGAUCCUCCACGAUGAGCUCCGCGAUCGCGUCGCCCCAGAACUCGUACAGAUCCUUCUUCUGUGUCUUCGGCUUCUCACCGCCCGUCGCGAGCUUCGUCCCCAUCUCGAGCCGGUGCGGCCUGAUCGCGUCGAACGGUCGAAGCAGCCCGUAGAGCCCUGAGAGACAUCGCACGUGCCUCUGCGCAAAGUCCAGCGACGGCUCGUCCAUCGUCGGCGCGUCGAGCGCCCUGAACGCGGGCCCGUCGAACGCGAACGCGCACGCCUUCUCGGGCUGCGUCUCGAACGCGGCGUACCGCGAUCGGUUUAAGUCCGCGAGAGGCGCGGAGAUGGACAUGAGGGAUCUGAGCUGCGCGGACGAGAGCUUCGCGGCGAUCGCGAGCAACGUCGCCGUGCGCGACCGAAGCCGCGGCGCGGUGACGCGCGAGAGCGCGGACUUGGACGCGAUCGGGGUCUCGUCCAGGGUCUUCGCGGGGGAGAUGAGGACGAUCGGCAUCUGAUCGGAGUCGACGCGCGGCGAGCGGCGGGCGGCGGAGGCGACGCGCGGCGGAUCGAUCUGUAUCGGCUAGUCGGCACCCGUCGAUCGAUCCGAGUAAUUUUUCUUUUGGACCCCAUCGAUGCCACACGACGGGACGCGCGCGCGACGCGACGACGGCCGCAGUCGUCCGCGCGGCGGCGAUGCGCGGCGGCGGCGACGUCUUGCGCGUCGGGACCGCGGCGUGGAGCGCCGCGAGGGACGCGUGGCGCGACCGCGCGGCGGCGUCCGCGCGCGCGCUCAUCGCGUCGCGGACGUCCGCGGCGAAAUCGCCCUCGACGAUCUCGACGCGUUUCGAGCACCUCGCCACCGGCUCGCAUCCGACGCCGACGCGGACGACGCGUCGUACGCGAGAUGGUCGAGACGUAUCAUCGGUCGACGCGCUUCCCCCGUGGCCGCCCGGCGCGUCGCCGCGGCCCGGACGCUCGCGACGGCACGUCAUCGACGGCGCGUUCGACGCGCGCGACGUCGCGCGGCUCGAGCGCGUCGCGGCGACCGCGCUCGAUCCGCUGCGCGAUCGCGCGCGCGGCGACGCGUGCGUCACGGUGGGGCGCGCGAGCGAGUCGCUGCUGGGCGAGGACGCGCACGUCGUGAUGACGCGCGUGCUGCGGGAGAUGCGCGUCGCGGCGGAGGACGCGCUGCGAGGGGACGAAGGCGGGAAGGAGGACGUCGCGCUGCAUCCGGUCGGGGGGUUGCUGACGCACAUACGCGCGGCGACGACCGGGGGCGACGGCGACGACGCGGCGACCGCGGCGGGCGGCGGACGAGAGGAGCACGGGUACUGGAGCCCGCACGUGGACAAGGCGAACGUCCCGGAGUACGAUAUCAGCGCGGUGCUGUACUUGUCCUCCGGCGCGGGAGGAGGGAGCGACGACGACGCGGACGCGGAGGACGCGGACUUCGAAGGCGGCGAGGUGCGUUCAUAUAUACACCCGACUGGUCCCCAUACGACCGCGUUGGCGCGGUGCACGGCGUUUCUUGAGGACUUUCUCUCCCGGCGUUCGUUUCUCUCCGCCCAGGGUCCCUCGCUUUCAAUCCCGACACACCUCGACGCCUUUCAACUCCGCUUCUGACGCCUUUCAACUCCACCCCGACGUCGCUUUGAACGAUGGACCCUCGACCCCGAGUUCGCGUUCCUCGACGGCGACGACGACGACGGGGUGAGAAGAAAACGCGUCGUGACGCCGCGCCGCGGGCGCCUCGUCGUCUUCAGCAGCGGCGAGGAGAACGUGCACGCGGUCGGGAAGGUGACGCGCGGGGGACGGUCGACGUUGAGUCUGUGGCUCAGCGGGGACGCGCGCGUCGCGGCGGCGGAGGAGUGAGCGUUUUUUUUUUCUUCGCUCCGCCGCGUUUGCGUUUGAGACGCGACGCCGGCGUUCUAGCUACUGUAGACUACAACUAGGCGUAUCGCGUCGCUUCAGUCCGCUUCGGUUUGUAGCCGCGGGCGGCCGCCUGGGCUGCACUUCGGGCACCCGCGGGAGUGCGCGGCGCGCGUGCGGCCAUUGAUCGUCGCAUCUCACUCGUGACCGCACCCGCCGCACUUCCACGGCACCUUCACUUCUGAGGCCGGCGCGAAGUCCUUCAUGCUCUUCGUCGGGUGCGCCCACUCCCUUGGCAGAUGAUCCAGUUGCCCGUCGCUCUGCGCGCAGUGCACCUCGAGGUCGUGCAGGUGGCGACCCGCGCACUUCGGGCACCCGCGGGAGUGCGUGGCGCGCGUGCGGUCAUGGGUCGUCGCAUCCCACUCGUGACCGCACCCGCCGCACUUCCACGGCACCUUCUCGUGUGUGGCCGGCAUGAAGUCUUUCAUCCGUUUCGUCGGAUGCGCCCACUCCCAUAUCAAGUGUUCGAGUCUUCCGUCGCUCUCCUUGCACGUCACCUCGAGGUUGUUAUACCACGUAGGCACUUUACCGGCACACCCAGGGCAGCCAGUUGGUUUCUUGUCUUUCGUGCGGUGUGCCAAUCCUGUUCUCCACGUCCAUCCGCACUCGCGACACGUCCAUCGAAUGCGCUCCGCUCUCGCUUUCGUCAGCUCCCCCGGUGAGAACAAGUCGUCGUCGAACUCUUCCAGCAACCUCUCCCCCCGCUCUCCGUUCUCGCGGCACCAUUCCACGAAAGGUUUUCCUGGUCGCGCGUUCGGAGGCGGGCACGGCGCGACCGCCCCACGACGCCUCGCGAGCGCGCUCCCGAUCCCCCCCGCGAGCGGCGCCGACGUUCGCGCGCUCCAACGCGGCGCCGCCGACGCGGCCCCGGCGCGCGCGAGACACGCCAUCGCGCGCGGCGAACUGACGCGACGUCGUCGACAGUAGGGAUCUCGCUCGAUCGAUCAGCAGAUUGAAACUUCAACUCCAGUCCGCCGUCCUGUCACUUCGCGCCGCGCGGAAAACGCAUCGAAACCGUCGCGCCGCCGCGCGCCAUGCCCGUCGCCGACGCCGACGCGGACGCGCUCGCGCGCCGCGUCAACCUCCUCGAGAUCCUCGCUGAGGACCACGAGAGCGUCCCGCCGCCGCCGGAUCACGCCGUCAGCGAGUGGUGCGCUCGCGCGCGCGCGCCCCGCGAUCCGGGGGACGCCUCGUCUCCCGAAGCAUCGUUUCUCGUACGCGUACUCGUAUUCGUAUGAGCAAAUAGGUAGUACGCCUGUCGUCGGCCCUCCGUCUGAUCCGAUCGACGCGUCCAUCCCGCCCGUCGCCCCAACUCCCUCCAGGUCCGAGGACGACAUCGAGCGCUACUACGCCACGAACGGCGUCGAGUCGCCGCCGACGAAACCGCAAAAGUCGUCGCCGUCGUCGUCGUCGCCGACGCCGACGACGCGCGACGACCCCGCGCGCCUUCGCGCGGCGUUCCCUCCCGCGGACGACGUCGUCUUCCGACGCUGGUUCCCGGGGCUAAAACGCAGCGGCACCGAGGUGGAGGACUCGGGCGGCGGUACGACUCGUAACGCCGUCAAACUGACCGUUUUGUGCUUCGCGAACGCGGGGAACGCGGAGGAUAUGUACACGAACGAAGGGCUCAGCGCGCGGCGCGCCGCGAGCCCGCUGCUGGAGUGGUGCCGCGCGAACGACGCGGAGGUCCUCGCCGCGCAACUCCCCGGUCGAGGGACGCGGCUGAGGCGCGUUCUAUACACUGGUCCCCAUACGACCGCGUUCGCGUGGUGAACGCCGUUUCUUAAGGACUUUCUCCGGCGUUUCUCUGCGCCCACCCCUCGCUUUCAAUCCCCGCCCUCGACGCCUUUCAACUCCGCUUCUGACGCCUUUCAACUCCACCCCGACGUUCGCUCGUAUGGAACGACACUGAGGGACGAUUUCAUCGACUCCGCCGCCGCAAUCGCGAGAGCGCUUCUUCCGGUGAUCGGCUCGAGGCUGAUCGACGCGCCGUACGUCGUGAUCGGUCACAGCGUCGGGACGUGGCUCGGGCACGAGUUCGUGGAGGCGGCGAGGGAAGCGGGGCUGCCGUCGCCGCGACGCGUGUUCUUCAGUAACUUUCCCGACCCGGGGAUUCCGAAGAGAGAGCGGCCGUGGACGCCGAACCGAGGUGCGCGCUCGUAUGAUUUAAUAACGCCCGGAAUCCGCGCGUUUAUUUCGUGAUCGGUCGUUACCCUUUCAAAACAACACAAACGACGCUCACGCCCGCCCAUCGACCGACGACAGGUUUGACCGAGGACGCGUUCAAAGACGAAGCGCGAACCUGGGACGUGAACGAGAUGGUCUUCACGCACCUGUGGAAGACGUACCACUCCAUCAUGCGACACGACUUCGCGUUGUUCGACGAAUACCCUGAGCCGCGAGAAGAUGAAUCGUCGCGGCGGCGGUUCGACUUCCCGAUGACGACGUUCUACGGGACGAGGGACAGGAAGGUCACGCGCGCGAUGGUCGCGAAGUGGCGCGCGUUCGCGCGAGGGAACCGCGAACGCGAUUCCGACGACGACGACGACGACGCGCCGGCGUUCGAGUGCGUAGAGAUCGAGGGGAACCACCUGUUCCCGCUCGAGCCGGGCGCGAAGACGACGUGGCUGCGUCACAUCGCGGAGAGGCUCGAUCGCGUCCUCGCGUCGUCGUCGGCGUGAGGGAGCGCGAAGGCGACGCGGCGAGACGACUGACGGCGCGGACGGCAGGGACCGCGUUGAAAAAGCGACCGAAAGCGAAAGCAGGUGAAAGCGAGGUUGCCAGCUGGACCCGCGAUGAACGCGACGAUUCGCGAAUCUGGAGAAAUUCGCUUUGUUUGCGACGCGCACUAUCUGCAGACUAAAUGCGCAUACGCGAUCGUUGAUAUUUUGCGCGCGGAAUUCGCAGACGCUCGCACUUUUGCCAAAUCCUGGCCAAAUCGGACCAGUGAGCGUUCGCG
rnacentral:lncRNA from 1 species